rnacentral:lncRNA from 1 species
UCAAAUUUUCAAUAUUUUUCCUUCUCAUGCUAGAGGGAACGCAUUGGUGUGACGAGGCAGGGCCUCAGCCAUGGCGUUGAGGUUUUUCUUUUGGCUUGGAAGGAACGCCCAGUGUGCAGGAGUCCUUUCAUCUGAAUUUAGAACUCUGAUGUUUCUAACAGUAUGCACAUUUGUAAAUUGCUCCAUUGAACAAAUUAGUAUACAAAGUGCUCUUCCCAUCAGGUUAUUCUCAGCCAUCGUGUGGAUAUUUUUAUUUUGGCCUAGAAGGAACGUCCAGUGUACAUGUGUCCUUUCCUGUGAAUUUAAAACUAUGAUAUUUCUAUUAGUAUACAAGUUUGUACAUUGCUCCAUUGAGCAGGUUAGUAUACAAAGUGCUCUUCCCAUCAGCUUGUUAUAUAUGUAAGCGCUACAAUUUCAAUCCACCAUUGGGUAUGCCUUUAAUUGGCAAAGUUUAUGAUAGAUAUAGAAGCAUCCGCAUUUAAUAUCUUCGUAUCUUAAAUAUGUUAGAAUUUUAGCUGCUAUUUUAUUUAUGAAACACAUAUAAGUAGAUUGAUGUUGACCGAUUCAUAUAAUGAUUCGCUAAUGUGGCCAAAUAAGUUAUUUCAUGCAGUACAUUCUACGUGCUUCUUUACAUAUUGUUGUUAAUUAAUUGCCCUAAGAGAUCUUGAUUUUGCAUUUGUAUACAUUUUUCCUGCCUGCUGCAUCCUGCCGAUUUGGAGAUGGUAUAAUAACUUAUUAUGGCGCCAAUCUAUUUUGUAAUUGUGCAAGUUUAGUGUUCAGUACAGUUGUUUCGAUGCAUUAGGAUACGUCAAUUUUCACAGUAAAAAAAAUACUCUUUAAUGUUUCCUUAAGUUUUGUUACAAGAUCUCCAUAAGAUAUAUAUGAUUUUGGUUAGUCCAUUCCACAUUGUCUGCCAUAGGUAUUGGCAAUUUAAAUACGGUCAUUUUGUUGAUGCAAUUGCAAAUUAAUUGUGGUGGUUAUUUGUAUCGAUUCCAAGUCUAACUGAACAUAGUUCCUUUUCGUAGGUAACUUGUGUAGCUAACAUGUAACAUUCAUAUUAGUGAGGAUGGUUUCUUCAUAUAUGGAGUGUUAAGGAUAAGACAUCGGAUAUCACCGAAACAUAUAGCAACAAUUUCAUGCAGCAACGUGCGGGGUAUUAUUUAGUUCUUAUAAAUCUUACCAACUAUAGCUUUUGCUAAAAAAACAACUAUAUAGCUAACCUCAAAGAUGUAAAUCCAAACAACUAAAAAAUAUCAAACCCCGGUGUCAGGUUUUGCUUAUAACCCUUCGAGGUUCAUAAACCAGCAUAAAAAUCAUCCCUUUUUUCUCAGUAAUCACCAGCUAUGAUAAAUCUCAAGCAUGUGCAAAACAUAGCCAAAAAUAAUUUCGACGGGGCAUAUCAAAUCCCACUAACGCAACACAGCGAGAAUUCUUACUCAAUAAUCUGAAACAUACCAAUAAUGAAACUUUUAAUGAUGUCUAGAAGACCUAGGAAAUGGCAAUGCCAUGUCAUCUUUCUGAAAAUCAUUCUUAAUUUUGCCACGAUGAAGACUUUUGAAUAUCCCUCCUCGGUCAAUGUAACACACCAUCAAAUAGUUAAGCCAGCCACCAGACAUCAUAUUGCGCAAUUCGGUCUUAAUGAUUUUCGUUGCUGAGAAGGCUCUUUCAAUUGUUGUAGUCACUACUGGUACUAGCAAUGCCAACUCAAUGAGGCGAUAAAUCAUAGGAAACAUGAUGUAUUGUUCUAGUUCAACUAUCUUUUUAUCCAGGCUUGCAAUACCAUGACAAGUUUUCAAUCCUUCUCGUAUGAAUAUGAAUAGCUCAAGGUUAUCUUCUAUAUGUUCACGUUCAUACUUAGAGAAAUACUCUUGAUAAAUCUCUAUGAGUCUCAAGCUUUUUCACAUUGAACCCAGAAAAUAAGUCUCUAGGGUCAAGACAAGAGAAGUUCUAGAGCAGCUCUAAAGAUACCUCAUUAAAAUGAUGAUCAGCCUUUGUGGCGAUGGAGUCUAUAGCAGCAUAGAAGGUGUCCACAUGGAAAAAUGAUCAAUAGUGACAUUGUUUGACCCACCUUUUCUUGAUUUUCCCCAUUUAAUAAAUAUGGCAUCCAUAUUUAGUAUCUGAAUUCCAUUUUUUGGUGCAAAAGGCUAUAACAUCUUAAAAGAGUGGAUCCCAACCAUCAUUUCUUCGUUCCCAUAUCUGUAACCAAACACAUUGCCUAGAAUGAAACAAUUACAAUUUUGGAUGCAUGUAUGUUUACAUGAACAGAAUAUCAAGCAAACUGGAUACAUAUAACAUAAUCCAUCACAUACCUGAACAACUUAUUCAACAACCAAAACCCAAUUUGGAGAAGACAACAUGACCAAAUUUAUCAUCCCAUCGGCCAGGCAUAAAAAGAUAUCAACCUAAUCAAUAAGUCAUAUACUUUUGUGCACCAUAUUCCAACCAAACAAAGGCUACAUUACAUAGUUUCACAUAUGAACCAAGAUGUCAUCCAUCUUUGUUUUCCUAAAUCUACAACACAAUCACUACUAACUACAAUUGCAUAAUACAAGUUGUUUAAAAUUCAUAGAAAUAUACCUCUGCCUCUCCCCUUUUCCAUUGGCUUUUUCUAGCCCCUUACCUCUCUAUCUUCUGUCAGGUGUUGGCAACAAACGCAACAAGGCACUGCACCAUACCGAUCAUGAAGGAUGUGAAGCUUGCUUCCACUAACUGCUAGGCCCCACCCUCCAUCGACGCUCGUUGUGCAGUACGCCCUACACAGUUGCACCCAACCACCCGCUUGCUCGAGGCCCUUAUUUGUCGUUAACUGUCAUGUUGUGUGAUGGUAUGUGGCGUCCUAGCCAGCCGCCGCCCUAGCUAGGUUUUGGAGUGAAGCAUGUGCGUCUCGGUCUUGCGAUUUGCGCCCCAUGCAUGCACAUCGUCAGUGGCACUGGGUUCUUGCUCAAUCUACAUGUGGCCCAACUACGUCUUAGAAUCUUAGUGGCCCAUUCUCAGGUGAGCGGGGCUCUUUUGUCCGUUAGAGGCAAGAGUGAGCAUAGGUAGAAAUAAUUACAUCGAGUUAAGGUAUGGUGGGAACAAGACGUUGCUCACUAGAGUCCUCCGCCGUCGAGUAGAUGGCCAUGCGUCCAGGGAACAUUGGGAGAGCCUAUCAAUACUAAUCCACCUCGACGCCACCCCACCGACAAUCAUCAUCGAGUAGAAGCCGCAACCAGACAUCGGUGAUGAAGAUGGUGGCCGACAACACAAAGGUGGACUAAGAUGAGGUCUCAAGUAGCCUCUGGACACAAAGGAUCAACGGCUCGUUUACACAAAGGAUCAUGUAGAACAACAUGCGCUGAAGAGGAAUAAGCCCCUUGAAUGGGUGGUGGCCUCCUUAUAGAAGCUGAAGCAACACUAAAAACCUGACUGCCUGGGAUUUGCAUCCGAAGACCGAAAGUGGGCCUCCAAGAAAGGAGGUUGAGAUGGAUGUCUUCCUCUGCUUGCACAGGGAUUUGACAGACUCCCCACUAGUUUGAUUUGUAGAUGUGGUUGAGGAAAUCUCGAACUCAAGUGAGGAGAAAUGAUGCCUAUUCAUUAAAGAAGAAAGAAUAUGCACCUAUUCGAAAGGACCAUGCAUGCUUUUCUGUCCAGGAGACCAAAAGUGAAGCACGAGAUCUCUGUUCAGGGUUUUAUGUGUCUCUGGAUAUCGGGUAGGGAUAAAAUGGCAGGUGAUUAAGGGAUAGGGUAAGGGCAACGAUCCAGUGAGAUCCUAGACACAACCCUUGGCCGACAUCUUGGCACCACCGUGGUGCCGAGAAUAAAAAAGUAUGAAGAAAUCACUCAAAGGGAAGGGGGUUAUUUAGAAGGGCAUGUUCGGGACGAACCCAACAGAAGCCAUCGAUGAGAAAGCCCAUGACAAAGACCAUGCUGAGGACGACCAUGAGAGGAGCUCAACGGUGCCUCCACUCAUUGUGGAACACCCGGAUCUAUCCAUUAAGGACGCAACCACUCUAAGAAACAAACCUACAACUAUAAAACAGUAGCGGGACCCACCCCCCUGACACCUCACCGGUAUGGGGAGGAGGAUAAUUUCAAGAGGGUUGUGGAGAAGAGAGGCAGAGAGAACAAGGCGAGAGGGGGUUGAGGUGCUUGUGAGCUCUGUUUGACCUCAAUCAGUUUUAGAUGUCAAUUCACAUCGUCGGUAAGAUAGACACGAUGCGUGUACAUACAUCUAUUGCCAAGUAUAGUUGCUAAUCAAUACAAUGGCAUGGCAGUAAAUAUUUUUGAUUGAUUCCCAAUUUGAGAUGUAACUAGACAAACAAGACCUAUAAAUUGUUCUUCAAUACUUGAGUUGUAACUCGGGUCAUUACAUAGUCAAGAAACACGUAAAUCAUUCUUGUUCAAUUUUACUACUAUAGCUAAUAUAAAAGACGUAAAACCCAAACAAAUAAAAAUAUGUAUCUAAAAUAUAAAAUUGUGAACUGAGCAUAGCUCAGAUGGUUAGUUCCUUGUGCUGGAAUUAGCCCACCAGGGUUCAAGUCCUACACUUAGCACCCGUGCUCGCAUUUUUCUGGAUUUAUUUCAAGUCUCCUGGCGAUGUUCGUUUAGUGGGAGAGGGGACAUUUCCGUUGGGUAUGAAGCGCCAGUGGUGACUUCAUCCAUCUCAAGAUUUUGUGUCCGCUUGGUAUUUUGAAGGUGCUCAUAGAAAUAGGUAGUGCGUACAUGGAUUCAUAUGGGUGAGUAUAUGUGCAUAUGUGGUUGUACUAUGUUAAAAAAAUCGUACCAUGGUCAUAUUUUGCUUAUAAACAUCUUAGGUUCAUAUGUGAAACAUAUAAAUCUUUUUAUCAAUUAUCACCAACUAUGAUAAAUCUCAAUCAUGUACAAAACAUAGCCUAAAAUAUUUUCCACAAGCCAUAUCAAACACCAAUAACGGAGCACAACAAGAAUAUUUACUGAUCUUGGAUUUUAAACAUCUUUUGUAUUGUCUAAUACUCAUCCGUUUCAUAAUGUAGUGUGUUAGAUUUUUUUGAAAAGUCAAACUUUGCAAACUUUGACCAAGUUUGUAGAGAAAACUAUUUAUAUCUACAAUAUCAAAUAUAUAAAAUAUGAAACUACAUCUUAUGUUGAAUCUAAUGAUAUAUGUUUGACAUUUUAGAUGUAAAUGUUUUUCUCGAUAAACUUGGUGAAUGUUUGUGACAUUUUACUUUUCAAAAAAAUAUGCACUGCAUUAUGGAACAGAGGGACUACGUGUAAAGGAAUGUGUAACCCAUAUAUUUUAUCCUAUGUCACAAACUGAGCCAUGACAUGGCAUAAUGGCAUACAACAUUUGUUCACCAGCUUAAUUCGCAAAACUCAAAACCAUAAUGCAUCAUUAGUUUUUUCUUGAUCAUUGAAUUAGAGUUGUCAUUUGCAUCAUGAGAUAAGAUAUGUUAAGUUUUUAUCACUUGGCACUAGUUAAAGAAAUUCUUAGAUACAUAACUCUAUAACUUUGUGGCCUUUGGCUAUAUAAUAUCUUGAAAUGACAAUGCAAGUUCUUUUAAUUUAUGGUCCGACAGCCAAUAGUCGUGUAGAUUAUUGGUGUUAGUUGUGGCUAAGGAAAGCAAAAUCUCAAAAAUUAUACAAGGGAUAUGAAUAAAACAAUUGCCUCUCAUUUUUUGGAAAAUGCCAAACCACACCACAAUGAUCAAUUUUGCUUGACCAUGUAUCCGGGUUAUUCAUUUAUCAUCAAAUAAUCAAGAAAGGUUUGAGUCUAUUUUUUAAUCAAUUGCCCGACGAAAUUUUUAAAACCAUAGCAAAUCAUAUAUACCACCAUGUUAUAUGUGUACUAUUAAAACUGUUAUUCGUGAGAAAUGUCAAUCAUGUUUGUUGACAAAAUGUCACAAUGUAUAACUAGGGAAGAAUGUUAAUCACGUGAUUAGUUAGUGGCUAACUAAUCGCAUCUUCAUCUCCUAUUGCAUAACUACUAAUUGGUAUCUUUAGAAAAUAACUAAUGGGUGAAAGCUACUAGUGUAUACAUGUCCAUCUCCUCUUGAAUCACUGAUGAUUUGUAUCUUUAGAAACUAACUAAUGCAUCCUAGUUUCUGUAGUUUUCGCGCUCGAAUACACCUGCACCCAGAUGAUCAGUAAAAUCCGGAAAAAAUGGUGAAAAUAUUUUAAAAAACUGAUUGACAACAAACAUGCUUGAGUAUUAUACUCCCAUACAAAUUUGAUGGAAACAACAUUCGACGUGUCUAGGGAAAAAAACAAAAAUUGUACUCCGAGAAUGCUAUUUUUGAAGCAUUAUUGGAGUGCCUAUAUUUUUUUACCCAAAGAAUGUGAAUGUCAUCUCUUCACAAAAAAUAUGCGUAAGGAGAACACUUAAGAAUGUUUCUCUCCAAAAAAAACUUCAAAUUUUUCUUGCUAUGCAUGUCCAUCUACGAUCAGAAUGACACUUUCACAUCUCCUCUUGCAUCACUAUGGGCUAACGUUAACUAUGUGUUUAACUUGGAGUAAAAUGCAUAGGUGGAUUGUCAAAGAGGACAUGAAUAUUUCUUAGUGAUAGACUAACCCCAGAUGACUUUGAAUUUCUUAUGGUUGUAAUCAUUAACCGUGUAGUUCAUGAGUGGAGGGAAUUAUUUUGCAAAGAAUUCUUAGACAUAGAUCACUAGAACUCACAACCUCCCGUGAACUCACACCCUCCCAUGAACACCCACCCUUCUGUAUGGCUCAAGCGGCAAUGCUACACACCAAGCCAUACCAUGACUGCAUCCAUCAGUUACAAAUAUGCACUAUCUCCUAUCCAACUACACGGCUGGCAUUUGCUAGCUAGAACUCAUUAGCUUCUAAAGGUAUACUAUUAAUUUCUCAAUAUAUACAUGAUUAAUUUCUCAAGAUUUACCAUAAAUAUAUACGCAUUUAUUUGGAGAUUUCUUAUUAUGACCUGGAUUUAUCUCAAGAGAGAACUCAUAUAUAGGAAAAUAGUUGUAUCUAUCAAAUUGUUGAGUAUGUACGCGUAGUAUGCAGUAUAUAAGAAUGUUUAGGUAGUAUAGAUACUACUAUUUUGGUAGUAUGUAUCAUAUUUUGAGUAUGCUUCUUUUUACGUACAAAUAUGUACAUAUUUCACAAAUAUAAUAAAAACAAUGGGUCAACUUGCAGUUUUUUCAUGUAACUUACUUUGAAGUAUCUUAUAUAUAGUGUAUAAACAUGCUUAUAAUGAUAAAGUAUUAUAUAUAUAUAUAUAUUACUGCAUAAUAGUAUGUGAGACAUGAGGGUAACUAACCCCAGGUGGUAGGAUGUACUUUCCAUAUAUAGAGCAACACUAUUCUGAUCUUAGGAUCAUAAUAAUAUUCAAAUUACCGCGCGCCCUAUAUAGGCCCUGAUGGACUUGUUCCCGAACUCCUCACCUGCAGAGACAAAAGAAAAAAGCAACCCACCCGCCCGUCUCCACCUUCCUCCGAAAGCCACCAGCCGUUGGGAUCCUACCGCUGCACUCUGCGCGCCGAUGGCUACCGAGUCCCGACGCUCCACCCAGCACGCUGCCAGCCGUUGUUUCAUGCUCGUCGAUACCCAGUUGUUGCCCGCCGCCGCGUGCAUCCCCAGGCGUUGCCUCCCUCGCACCGUUCCCUAUCUCACCACCCCUUGCCCCGAUUCACCCGCCGGCCUCCGCCACUUCGUCGGGACCAGAUAACCGGCCGCCGUGCCUCCAAGGCCAAAGAAUACGGUCAUUGUCCCACCUUCCUAGUUCCUACCCCAUGCAGUGUCCCUCCUUCCUCCCCCGACCGCACCCGCCUUCAAUGCCAAAAAAUACAGUUCCCGUCCCACCUUACUACCCUGUCUGCGGACCCACCUUCCUCCUCAGGCUGGGUUUCGGCGCCCCACCUUCCGCCUCCGGUCGGGCGCACGACUCGUCUGCUGCCGCCACACAACUUCCCCCAUCGCCUGCAUUUCCCGUAGAAAGCGGCUGCCAUGUGGCGAGUGGCUGCCACUUAAUCACUCUGCGGCUUCACACCACACUGAUUGAUGACAUGGGUCGAGGUGGAGUGGUUGGGUGAGGUAGUUUUGCCUCCGUGAGUCCCGGCAGGCCCUGCCGGGACGUCUUGGACAUUUUCUUCCGGAGGCGACCCUGCCCUCACCGAGCUCGUCUGCCCGGCAAGGGAGGCUUUUCUACUGGUGGUUCUUGCUUCUCUGACUUGAUCUUGCUCCUCUUGAUCUGCAUGCUGGUCAUUCGAAGAUCUCAGUCUCCUGUACUCUGGUAUGGCCUGGUGCCGUAAUUUCGCUCCCGUGCCUGUGUACAGUAUGGGAAACAGACACAGGGUUUGUUGCACCGACAGAAGCCCCCGGGCCUGCCCUGAUCACGCUGCUGAGCAUCAUCAGGGUAGGCCCUAAUAAGUGCACAGGNNNNNNNNNNNNNNNNNNNNNNNNNNNNNNNNNNNNNNNNNNNNNNNNNNNNNNNNNNNNNNNNNNNNNNNNNNNNNNNNNNNNNNNNNNNNNNNNNNNNNNNNNNNNNNNNNNNNNNNNNNNNNNNNNNNNNNNNNNNNNNNNNNNNNNNNNNNNNNNNNNNNNNNNNNNNNNNNNNNNNNNNNNNNNNNNNNNNNNNNNNNNNNNNNNNNNNNNNNNNNNNNNNNNNNNNNNNNNNNNNNNNNNNNNNNNNNNNNNNNNNNNNNNNNNNNNNNNNNNNNNGGGGGGGGGGGGUGCUGAAGAGGCUGGUUUCUUGAGGUCUUCUUCGCUCCUUCAUUAAUCUUGAGCCCGGGCCAGUUUCCGAUUUCUCCGCACGUCAUAUGUGACGUUAUGAAAAAACUCAGAUCGUGGUCCGUCGGGCCCGGGCCAGGUCUACCCUCAUCUUUCAUCCAUGAUUUAUUGUUUGUCGAAGAAACAAAACUAAGUUGAGGUAUUGCUUUCUCAUAUGUGAAUGAGAUGCCAUGUAAAAAAAGUAUAGUAGAAGAGAAAUUGCUUUGUUGUUGUGCUUGCACAACUAUGUAAUUUUUUUGUUUUUGCGAAGGUGAAAAUGGUGUGUUUGAGAAGGUCAAAGUAUGCUGAGUACAUAUUGUCAUUUUUGCAACCACCGAAGGCAAACAAUUGUAAAUUUUAGUAUGAAUGUGACUCGAAGUUCUCUGGAAAAUUAGUAAUAAAAAAUAUGGAUGUCCAGAAUGUACUAAGGGAUGCAGGCCAGGGUGUUGAUUUUCUAUAGAUUUUGCACGGGACUGUAACUUUGUAUAAUUUGCAGCACCCUGUGAUAGGUGGAAACUUGUUUUUUCCUUGUGAUAUUACCACUUCAAAGUCGUGGGGAAAGUCCUGCUUCUAAAGGUAUACUAUUAAUUUCUCAAUAUAUACAUGAUUAAUUUCUCAAGAUUUACCAUAAAUAUAUACACAUUUAUUUGGAGAUUUCUUAUUAUGAGCUGGAUUUAUCUCAAGAGAGAACUCAUAUAUAGGAAAAUAGUUGUAUCUAUCAAAUUGUUGAGUAUGUACGCGUAGUAUGCAGUAUAUAAGAAUGUUUAGGUAGUAUAGAUACUACUAUUUUGGUAGUAUGUAUCAUAUUUUGAGUAUGCUUCUUUUUACGUACAAAUAUGUACAUAUUUCACAAAUAUAAUAAAAACAAUGGGUCAACUUGCAGUUUUUUCAUGUAACUUACUUUGAAGUAUCUUAUAUAUAGUGUAUAAACAUGCUUAUAAUGAUAAAGUANNNNNNNNNNNNNNNNNNNNNNNNNNNNNNNNNNNNNNNNNNNNNNNNNNNNNNNNNNNNNNNNNNNNNNNNNNNNNNNNNNNNNNNNNNNNNNNNNNNNNNNNNNNNNNNNNNNNNNNNNNNNNNNNNNNNNNNNNNNNNNNNNNNNNNNNNNNNNNNNNNNNNNNNNNNNNNNNNNNNNNNNNNNNNNNNNNNNNNNNNNNNNNNNNNNNNNNNNNNNNNNNNNNNNNNNNNNNNNNNNNNNNNNNNNNNNNNNNNNNNNNNNNNNNNNNNNNNNNNNNNNNNNNNNNNNNNNNNNNNNNNNNNNNNNNNNNNNNNNNNNNNNNNNNNNNNNNCAUAAUAGUAUGUGAGACAUGAGGGUAACUAACCCAGGUGGUAGGAUGUACUUUCCAUAUAUAGAGUAGCACUAUUCUGAUCUUAGGAUCACAAUAAUACUCAGAUUACCGCGCGCCCUAUAUAGGGCCUGAUGGACUUGUUCUCGAACUCCUCACCUGCAGAGACAAAAGAAAAAGGCAGCCCACCCGCCCGUCUCCACCUUCCUCCGAAAGCCACCAGCCGUUGGGAUCCUACCGCUGCACUCCGCGCGCCGCCGGCUACCGGGUUCCGACGCUCCGCCCAGCACGCUGCCAGCCAUUGUUUCAUGCUCGUCGAUACCCAGCUGUUGCCCGCCGCCGCCUGCAUCCCCAGGCGUUGCCUGCCUCGCACCGUUCCCUAUCUCACCACCCUUUGCCCCGAUUCACCCGCCGGCCUCCGCCAUGUCGCCGGGACCAGGUAACCGGCCGCCGUGCCUCCAAGGCCAAAGAGUAUGGUCAUUGUCCCACCUUCCUAGUUCCUACCCCAUGCGGUGUCCCUCCUUCCUCCCCCGACCGCACCCGCCUUCAAUGCCAAAAAAUACAGUUACUAUCCCACCUUCCUACCCUGUCUGCGGACCCACCUUCCUCCUCAGGUUGGGUGUCGGCGCCCCACCUUCCUCCUCCGGCCGGGCGCACUACUCGUCUGCUGCCGCCCCAUAACUUCCCACAUCGCCUGCAUUUCCCGUAGAAAGAGGCUGCCAUGUGGCGAGUGGCUGUUAAUCACUCUGCGGCUUGACACCACACUGAUUGACGACAUGGGUCGAGGUGUAGUGGUUGGGUGAGGUAGUUUUGCCUCCGUGAGUCCCGGCAGGCCCUGUUGGGACGUCUUGGACGUUCUCUUCCGGAGGCGACCCUGCCCUCACCGAGCUCGUCUGCCCGGCAAGGGAGGCUUUUCUCCUGGUGGUUCUUGCUUCUCUGACUUGAUCUUGCUCCUCUUGAUCUGCAUGUUGGUCCUUCGAAGAUCUCAGUCUCCUGUACUCUGGUACGGCCUGGUGCCAUAAUUUCGCUCCCGUGCCUGUGCACAGUCUGGGAAACAGACACAGGGUUUGUUGCACUGACAGAAGCCCCCGGGCCUGCCCUGAUCGCACUGCUGAGCAUCGUCGGGGUAGGCCNNNNNNNNNNNNNNNNNNNNNNNNNNNNNNNNNNNNNNNNNNNNNNNNNNNNNNNNNNNNNNNNNNNNNNNNNNNNNNNNNNNNNNNNNNNNNNNNNNNNNNNNNNNNNNNNNNNNNNNNNNNNNNNNNNNNNNNNNNNNNNNNNNNNNNNNNNNNNNNNNNNNNNNNNNNNNNNNNNNNNNNNNNNNNNNNNNNNNNNNNNNNNNNNNNNNNNNNNNNNNNNNNNNNNNNNNNNNNNNNNNNNNNNNNNNNNNNNNNNNNNNNNNNNNNNNNNNNNNNNNNNNNNNNNNNNNNNNNNNNNUUCUUGAGGUCUUCUUUGCUCCUUAAUUAAUCUUGAGACCGGGCCAGUUUCAGAUUUCUCCGCACGUCAUAUGUGACGUUACGAAGAAACUCAGAUCGUGGUCCGUCGGGCCCGGGCCAGGUCCACCCUCAUCUUUCAUCCAUGAUUUAUUGUUUGUCGAAGAAACAAAACUAAGUUGAGGUAUUGCUUUCUCAUAUGUGAAUGAGAUGCCAUGUAAAAAAAGUAUAGUAGAAGAGAAAUUGCUUUGUUGUUGUGCUUGCACAACUAUGUAAUUUUUUUUGUUUUUGCGAAGGUGAAAAUGUUGUGUUUGAGAAGGUCAAAGUAUGUUGAGUACAUAUUGUCAUUAUUGCAACCACCGGAGGCAAACAAUUGUAAAUUUUAGAAUGAAUGUGACUCGAAGUUCUCUGGAAAAUUAGCAAUAAAAAAUAUGGAUGUCCAGAACGUACUAAGGGAUGCAGGCCAGGGUGUUGAUUUUCUAUAGAUUUUGCACGGGACUGUAACUUUGUAUAAUUUGCAGCACCCUGUGAUAGGUGGAAACUUGUUUUUUCCUUGUGAUAUUACCACUUCAAAGUCGUGGAGAAAGUUCUGCUUCUCAUGUUGUUGUACUGCGAACAAUAUAUACACAAAAAGGAUAUAAUGCAUACACAUAAAAGUUCUGGAUGCUUAAAAAAGAUGUUGAAGAUCAUUUACCAAACUUCAUUUUAGUCCAUUAUGUAAUACGACACAAAAUAAUUGGUACAAGAAAGAUAAGACAUUUAAAAAAUUGGGUGAAAAGGGAGAGAGGGUUAGAGCAAAAAAUUAUUAACAAAAGCCACACCCAUAAAAAUUGUUAACUUUAGAAGUUCAAAUUCAAUAAAGCUGAGAGUUCAGGAAUAAUAAUAAAAGCAAAAAGGUGACACACAGAUGUUUGUACAGAUUUCCUCCAUGUAUUUCCUCGUUACUAGUAAUAAACAAAACGUCCAGAUAUCCCUUGUUUGCAACAACCCGAGUAAAUAAUUAUUUUUCAUUUUUUCUUGAAGUUCAAACUGGUGAACCCAGGCCGUUCAAUGUUGCGAACCCAGGCCAUUCAAGUCCCCUGAUCUCCCUCGUUUCUAAAAAAGGAUUUUCCCCAUUUUAAAUUUGAAGUUAUAAAAAAGGAUGUUCCCCGUUUCUAAAAAACUAGAAGGUCAAAUUAAAAUAAGGGAGUGGUUCAAUGUUUUUCAUUUUUUACAAAACUUGGAUUUUUGACAUUAAUGAAAAAUAAAACAAGAAGUCCAAAUUAAAAGAUGGAGCAAUUUAAUGUUUAUAAAAAACUCAGGUUUUCAUCGUUACUAAAGAACAAAACCAAGAAGCCCAAAAGGGAUUUUCUUCAAUACUAAAGAAUAAAGCCAUGAAGUUCAAAUUUGUAAAACGAAGUAGUUUAACCUAUAUAAAAAACUCAGAUUUUCCUUGUCAAUAAAGAAGAAAACCAAGAAGUUCAAUUGAAAAAAGCGGAGCAGUUCGAAAAUUAUAUAUAGGAAAAUAGUUGUAUCUAUCAAAUUGUUGAGUAUAUACGCGUAGUAUGCAGUAUAUAAGAAUGUUUAGGUAAUAUAGAUACUACUUUUUUGGUAGUAUGUAUCAUAUUUUGAGUAUGCUUCUUUUUACGUCCAAAUAUGUACAUAUUUUACAAAUAUAAUAAAAACAAUGGGUCAACUUGCAGUUUUUUCAUGUAACUUACUUUGAAGUAUCUUAUAUAUAGUGUAUAAACAUGCUUAUAAUGAUAAAGUAGUAGGGUAACUAACUCCAGGUGGUAAGAUGCACCUUCUUCUAAUCCCAGGAUUAGAAUAAAUCACGGCGCGCUGUAUAGGGCCCGAUGGAUGUUCCUGAGAUCCGAAAAUUCCACCGAACAGAAUAAUAAAAUAAUCCCCCCGUACCUCCCCACGCCCCCACUUCCUCCCCGAUCCAGCCACCAUGCCCACGCCCCCACUCCCUCUCCCAUCCAGCCACCCACCAUCGUCGGCGUCGGCCCACCAACGCCCCGGGAAUCGGCUGCCGCACCGCCCCCGCUCCGAAAACCGGCCACCGCUUCCCUCCCUUACCGCGCCGCCGCCGCCGCUUCCCUCCCCGGACUGCGCCACCGCCGCUGUCACCCUCCACGGAUCAUGCCACCGCCGCCUCCCUCCCCGGAUUGCGCCGCCACCGUCCGCCGCUAGCUACCGCUGCCUGUGCAGUCCUUCGCUAGCUACCGCUGCCUCUGCAGUCCUUCGCUAGCUACCGCUGCAGUCCACUGCUAGUUCUUGCGGGGGAGGCAGUGCUGCUCCGGCUACCCAUGCGUCACCGGCUGCCGCCGCGAACGGCGUCCGGACGCCAUCACGUACUGCCCCCCGGAGCCGCCUCCAGCGCGUACCUACUACAGCCUCAGGACAAACCUCUUCCACGCGGGCGACUGGCCGCUCAAACUUCCCCUCGCCGGCCGUCAUGGGCCUCUGUAUCCUCUCAUGGCGGCUCCUCCCCUGUGGCACAAGCAAGGUCAACUGCGACUGGAUGAGACUCAAAAAAUGGUGGUACGUACUGGAACAAAUACUCCUGGCAUACCCAUGUCGUUGGCAGCAAAAGGUAUUUCAGUUACUAGUUCUUCCAUAUGCUAGAGGAAUUUCUUUCAACCCACCUUGAGCAGAGCUCGUGGCAUCAAUUCUUCAUUGUUCUGUGUGAAAAUUUAUGAGCAGGAAGGAAUAGUUCUGCCCGAUGAGCAGUUCCAGUUGAGUUCUCCCUACAGAUAGUUUGACUUUUAUUUUCAAGCAUUAAGUUAUCCUAGAUAUUUGAUUGGUACUCCACCUUGCAAUCAAGGAAGCUCUGAAAAUGAAACACGUGAUGUUUGAUACACCUUGGUACACCACGACUCAAGCUCUCUGCAUUUUUUGUUAAAGGUCAUCGGGCUGGGCACCGGCUGCUUAUGUGUUGUACGCCUUGGGCGUCCCUGUGCUGGUGAUGAGCGUGAUGGCCGUGCAUUGACCUGCAUCGCCUGUCCGAACUGUGCCGGCCAUGCGUCCGACAACCUCGUCCAUCCCUGAUCACCUCUUCCGCGCAAUCAGCGGCACAUACACAGACAUGCCUGUGCUGUAUUAUACUUGAACUUCAGAGCUUCUGAACUCUCUGAAUCGGUGUGCAUGUUUUUAUAUUGUGUCAUUGCAUAGCUCCACCACUGAAUUUGGAAAUUCAGUCAAUGCUUAAACUUGAUAAAAAAGAGCAAGAAACAGUGACAGAUUAUGUGUGUUUUUCACGGAAGUGAGCUGGGAAUUUAGAUCUUCCUUUUCAUAAUAUUAAGGGCAUCGAUCAUUCAACUAUUUAUGUUAUCCUUCAUGCUCUGACUUGAGUGAAGUUAUGUGAACUAGCAUAGUAUAUUGUAAUUUUCUGAUUUUGAGUCGUGGCAUAUAGUCCUCACACAAAGUAGUUGCAAAUAUAUUGAAGUAUAUUAUGCACAUAGUUAUCCUCCCUAAUGCCUAAACUGGUACCUUUUCAAUCUUUGUGUUGACUACUAAACAUAAUUAUUGUAGGUCUUCCCUGACCCAUGGUCACGCGAAAGCGGUGCUGCUUCGGCAAGCUCCUCUGUCCCCCGAGCACAGUGUUGUCCAUGACGGUCUCCUCCCUCCUGUUCCCUCAGCGAGGAUGAUGUCAAUUUUUUGCGAAACAGAAAGUUAUGUAGUUCUUCAGUAUAUGUCCAUAGAAACCUAUGACAAUUUCUUCAGUAGCAGUUCAACAGAAAAUCCUGCUGUAGUUCUUGAGUAUUGUUCCAUUAGAAUUUCAUGUUAUCUAAGUAUUUUUAGUACUUGCUAUUGCAGAUAAGUGUUUGUUAGAAUUGACAUUCUGUUAGUAAAGUACCAUUCUUCAGUAUAUGUUCUGAAAAUUUCAUCUUUUGUGUGCCUGGUGUGAAUCGUUGGUCUUCUCUCACUUUUGCUCCUGGAUUAGAGGUAGCAUGUUGAUUUUCGCACUUGAUGAAGAACAUAUCCUAAAAUGUGAAAAAAAUUGUUCCCCAAUGAAUAAUUUAUUGUCGUAAAGAUCUAUUUUCUUCCAGAGUGAUGAAGUUUUGCUCCUAAACAAAGAACUUUAUGUUGGUCCUGAAUGAGGAGGUAGUAUAGGGAACUACAUGUACGUGUUUUUCCAAAAACUUUCUUAAACCAUUUUUGAUGAAGUAUAGGGAACUUCAUGUACGUGUUGCUCCCAAAACGAUAUGAAACUUUGUGUGUACAAUUUUUUAAUAUACAAUAUUGAUUGAGAACUAAAAAGGGCAUGCUUUUUUAAUAAUCUAGAAGUUCAACGACUUCCACAUAGAAAGUUCAAAGGACAUUAUUUUUUAGGGAGAACACAUCCUGCCUAGAAGAUGCAUAUGGAAUAAAAUGUAAAUUUGCAAUGAAGUUCAUAUAUAAAAAGAGUUGAAGUUUGCAUAGAGGAAAAGGUGAAUUUCUGAAAAAAGGUACAUGUUUUCUAAUUCCAGAUGCUUAUAUGGUCGUCCUGUGACACUGAAAUCUUUUACAUUUUAGGUGAGCCAAAUUUUUGUGUGGAUGUGUUGUGCAUGUGCUUGUGCAUAGUACACUGAAUAGAACAAAAAAGAAUAUUAUGGGUGCCCUCUAAAUGUUUGUCCUACUGCUUAGUAGAAUUGACCGAAAAUUUCCUAUUGUUUUUGCACAUGUUGGAUUCAAGGGAAAACGUGUAUAAAAAAGGUGUGAUUUCGAAAGUUCAGGUGUAACGAACAUCGAAGUUCAAACCAAUAAAAUGUAAAAAAAAUCAUGGAAUUCAAAGAAUAAAAACUAUGGAGUUCAUGAAAAAAAUAAUAGCACCCGAAGUUCCCGUUUCAGAAAUUCCGAAGUUCACGUGUACCACGUACAGAAGAAAAAUCAUCAAAUGAAAAAAGGAACCGCCUAGGCCAUUUCACCGAAAAGCAAAAAAUGCAUAAAAAAUGUCACGACAAAAUUCUAUAAGAAGUUCAAAUUUAAAAACCGAAUCAGGUCAAUGUUAAAAAUAUGAAGUUGUUAAUAUCUAAAAGACAAAUUUGGAAGUUCAAAAAAUUUGAGCAAGAAGUUAACAAAAAGUAGUUCAAAAAUCUUUAUAACGUAUUUUCCCCAUUUGUAAAAAAAACAGAGAAGUUCAAAUUAAAAAGAGGAGCAUUUCAAAAGAUUGUAUGAAAAAUGAUUUUCCCCAUUUUAUAAAAACUAGAAGUUCAAAUUAAAAUAACGGCGCGGUAUCAUUGUUUAUAUAAAAAAGCAUUUUCGCCGUUACUAACCAAAAAUCUAAGAAGUUCAGAUUUAAAAAAUGGUGAAGUUCGAUGUCUAUAAAAAAUCGCAUUUUUCACAUUAUUAAAAAAUAAAACCAAGAAGUUCAAAAUUUUAAAACAAAGAAGUUCAAAAAACUGGAUUUUCCUCGUUACUAAAGAAUAAAACGAAUAAGUUCAAAUUAAAAUAACAGAGAAGUUCGCAGUAUAUAAAAAACUCAUUUUUCCCCAUUAUUAAAGAAUAAAUGAAGAAGUUCAAAUUUAAUAUAGGAACACCAAAAAAAGUUCAAGUACUCUGUCUGGAGAAGUUCAAAAAUUCUUGCGAGAGAGGUUCACCUUGUAUUUCCAUGUUUGAUUUUUUUCGUACAAAAAUCGAAUACAAUUCUUUACUCAAAGUAUAAAAAGGUGAAGUUCAAAUUGAAUAACAGAGAAGUUCGGAGUUUAUUAAAACCUAGGAUUUAACUGUUCAAAAAAUAAAAAACACAACGCCAUUUUUUUUACUUUAAAAACAACUCAUAAACGAAAAAAUGGUUGCUAGAAGUUCAAGUGCUCGGCGAGGAAAAGUUCAAAAAAUUCUUGUGAGAGAGGUUCACCGUGUAUUUAGAUGUCCAAAAAUACAUAAAAAAAUAUGUUUUUUUGUGUUUUAAAAUAAUUCUCUCAAACCAGAGAGAAGUUCAAAGUGAUAACAAUCGGACGUUCUCGUACUACAUGGGGUGUAUUUCAUAUAAGAAAAAUACAAUAAAGUGAAACAGAGUGAAGUUCAAACAGACAUGCCCCAGAAGUUCAUUUAUUUCACGCAGUGCAAAAAACAGCACAUCAAAAACAGAGUGAAGUUCAAACAAACAUCCCUAAGAAGUUCAACUACUUCACGCCGUUCAUUUUCCAUUCGCGAUGAAGCCAGAAAUCAUGAUCUCGUCAUUUUCUAAUUUACUUCAAAACGACAGAAAUAUCAUUUGUAUAAAUUCAAGUCCUUGGUUGGAUAAAGUUAAAAAAUAUAUUUUGAGAGAGGUUUGUACAAAAAGAAUAUCAUUUGUGUAACACUGGCGAAAUGGAUGAGAAAAUUACAAACGAAAAUACACAGAAGUUCAACAUGAAAACAGCAGGAAGUUCACCAAGUAUACUGAAUGAAUUUUGGAUGAAAAACUUUUAAAAUCGUCGCGAGUAUGAAAAAAGAUCAACAUGGGAAAGUUGCAUGUUUAUAAUAGCUUUCCACCGGUAUAUCACUUGCUCAAUUCUGGUGAGUGGAUGGAGAGCUGUGAGCAAAAAAAGUACGUGAAAAAACAGAGUGAAAUUCAAGUAGACAUACCGAGAAGUUCAAGUUCUUCACGCGGUACAUUUUCGAAGAAUCUGUUUCGCGAUAAAGGCAGAACGAAUGAUCUCACCGUUUUCGAAAUUACUUGAAAAUGGCUAGGAAUCAGAGAAAACCAUCAAUAUGAAAAAGUUUUGCAUUUUCUGUAGCUUUUCAGCGGUAUAUUAUUUUCCCCAUUCCGAUAAAGUUUGUAGAAAUUACGGUGAAAAUAUAGUUUUGGCCAUUUUCAAAAUUUAUUUAAAACCAUAAGAAAUUGGGAGAAACAAUAUAUACCAAAAAGUUUCGCAUUUCCUCAAGCUUUCCAACUCCAUAUAAUUUGCUGCAAUCGGACGUACGGUUAAAAACUUAGCACGAAAAUACGAACUCGGUGGAACUUGUAUCAUUUUCUAAAUUACUUUUCAACUGUUCAAAAUUAGAAAAACCUUUUAACAUGAACAAGUAGCGCAUUUUCAUAAGUUUCGAACACCAUAUCAUUUGCCUCAAUUGGAUUAACCUUUUGGAAAUGACAUCGAAAAUACGAACUCGGCUGUUCAGUUUGCGAAAUUUUACGAUUUUCUAAAUUACUCUUUAACAAUAGGGAAUUAGAGAAAACUUUCAACAUGUGUAAGGAGCAGUUUUACAGCAGCUUUCCAACGCAAUAUUAUUUGCCUCAUUCCGAUAAACGUUUUAGAAAUGCGAUCGAAAAUACGAUUCAUGUUUUUUGUAUGAAGAAAAAACGAUUUUCGAAACUGCUCUUAAACCGCUUACAUUUUGCAAAAAAUUAACUUGGGUCAUGAUACUGGUUUCCAUAGCUUUCCAUGGGUAUAUCGCAAGCCCCAUUUGGGCAAUGUUGGCGGAAGUUCAAUCUAGCACUGGGAGAAGUUCAGGUCGAACAACUCAGGCAGUAAAAUUGCCAAAAACACAAUUUCAUCAUGACCCGAGAGCAAAAUCCGCUAAUGAGCGAGAUUCCUAUUUAAAACGGGUAUUUAGUUGCUAAAAAACGUUUCUAGAUAUCAGUAACAUCAUAUAGAACACGACUAACUAGAAUAGUUCGCGCAGGGAGGCACGGUUGCGAAGAUAGCCCGAUGGUCGGGGUUCUACAGAGGGAAGUUCAGGCGUGUAACUCAGGAAGUUCAUGUUGUGAUCAGAAUAAUAUUCUGAUCCCGUGAUCAGAAUAGUGUUUAUAUAUAUAUAUAGCACUAUUUUGAUCUUAGGAUCACAAUAAUAUUCAGAUUAUCGCGUGCCCUAUAGAGGGCCUGAUGGACUUGUUCCCGAACUCCUCACCUGCAGAGACAAAAGAAAAAGUCAGCCCACCCGCCCGUCUCCACCUUCCUCCGAAAGCCACCAGCCGUUGGGAUCCUACCGCUGCACGCCGCGCGCCGCCGGCUGCCGGGUCCCGACGCUCCGCCCAGCACGCUGCCAGCCGUUGUUUCAUGCUCGUCGAUACACGGCUCUUGCCCGCCGCCGCCUGCAUCCCCAGGCGUUGCCUGCCUCGCACUGUUCCCUAUCUCACCACCCUUUGCCCCGAUUCACCCGCCGGCCUCCGCCGCGUCACGGGGACCACGUAACUGGCCGCCGUGCCUCCAAGACCAAAGAAUAUGGUCAUUGUCCCACCUUCCUAGUUCCUACCCCGACCGCACCCGCCUUCAAUGCCAAAAAAAAUACAGUUACCGUCCCACCUUCCUACCCUGUCUGCGGACCCACCUUCCUCCUCGGGCUGGGUGUCGGCGCCCCACCUUCCUCCUCCGGUCGGGCGCACUACUCGUCUGCUACCGCCCACAACUUCCCCCAUCGCCUACAUUUCCCAUAGAAAGAGGUUGCCAUGUGGCGAGUGGCUGCCACUUAAUCACUCUGCGGCUUGACACCACACUGAUUGACGACAUGGGUCGAGGUGGAGUGGUUGGGUGAGGUGGUUUUGCCUUCGUGAGUCCCGGCAGGCCCUGCCGGGACGUCUUGGAUGUCUUCUUCCGGGGGCGACCCUGCCCUCACCGAGCUCGUCUGCCCGGCAAGGGAGGCUUUUCUCCUGGUGGUUCUUGCUUUUCUGACUUGAUCUUGCUCCUCUUGAUCUGCAUGUUGGUCCUUCGAAGAUCUCAGUCUCCUGUACUCUGGUAUGGCCUGGUGCCGUAAUUUCGCUCUCGUGCCUAUGCACAGUCUGGGAAACAGACAUAGGGUUUGUUGCACCGACAGAAGCCCCCGGGCCUGCCCUGAUCGCGCUGCUGAGCAUCGUCGGGGUAGGCCGUAAUAAGUGCACAGGCAGGGGGCGCUGAAGAGGCUUGUUUCUUGAGGUCUUCUUCGCUCCUUCAUUAAUCUUGAGCCUGGGCCAGUUUCCGAUUUCUCCGGACGUCGUAUGUGACGUUACGAAAAAACUCAGAUCAUAGUCCGUCAGGCCCGGGCCAGGUCCGCCCUCAUCUUUCAUCCAUGAUUUAUUGUUUGUUGAAGAAACAAAACUAAGUUGAGCUAUUGCUUUCUCAUAUGUGAAUGAGAUGCCAUGUAAAAAAAGUAUAGUAGAAAAGAAAUUGCUUUGUUGUUGUGCUUGCACAAAUAUGUAUUUUUUUUUUGCGAAGGUGAAAAUGUUGUGUUUGAGAAGGUCAAAGUAUGUUGAGUACAUAUUGUCAUUUUUGCAACCACCGAAGGCAAACAAUUGUAAAUUUUAUUAUGAAUGUGACUCGAAGUUCUCUGGAAAAUCAGCAAUAAAAAAUCUGGAUGUCCUGAAUGUACUAAAGGAUGCAGGCCAGGGUGUUGAUUUUCUAUAGAUUUUGCACGGGACUGUAACUUUGUAUAAUUUGCAGCACCCUGUGAUAGGUGGAAACUUGUUUUUUCCUUGUGAUAUUACCACUUCAAAGUCGUGGAGAAAGUUCUGCUUCUCCUGUUGUUGUACUGCGAAAAAUAUAUACACAAAAAGGAUAUAAUGCAUACACAUAAAAGUACUGGAUGCUUAAAAAAGAUGUUGAAGUUCAUUAACCAAACUUCAUUUAGUCCAUUAUGUAAUACGACACAAAAUAAUUGGUACAAAAAAGAUAAGACAUUUAAAAAAAUUGGGUGAAAGGGGAGAGUGGGUUAGAGCAAAAAAUUGUUAACAAAAGCCUCACCCAUAAAAAUUGUUAAAUUUAGAAGUUCAAAUUCAAUAAAGCUGAGAGUUCAGGAAUAAUAAUAAAAGCAAAAAGGUGACACACAGAUGUUUGUACAGAUUUCCCCCAUGGAUUUCCUUGUUACUAGUAAUAAAUAAAACGUCCACAUAUUCCUUGUUUGCAACAACCCGAGUAAAUAAUUAUUUUUCAUUUUUUCUUGAAGUUCAAAUUGGUGAUCCCAGGCCGUUCAAUGUUGCGAACCUAGGCCAUUCAAGUCCCCUGAUCUCCCUCAUUUCUAAAAAAGAUUUUCCUCAUUUUAAGUUUGAAGUUAUAAAAAAGGAUGUUCCCCGUUUCUAAAAAAAACUAGAAGGUCAAAUUAAAAUAAGGGAGUGGUUCAAUGAUUUUCAUUUAUUACAAAACUUGGAUUUUUGACGUUAAUGAAAAAUAAAACAAGAUGUCCAAAUUAAAAGAUGGAGCAAUUUAAUGUUUAUAAAAAAAACUCAGAUUUUCGUCGUUACUAAAGAAUAAAACCAAGAAGUCCAAAAGGGAUUUUCUUCAAUACUAGAGAAUAAGGCCAUGAAGUUCAAAUUUGUAAAACGAAGUAGUUUAACCUAUAUAAUAAACUCAGAUUUUCCUUGUCAAUAAAGAAGAAAACCAAGAAGUUCAAUUGAAAAAAGCGGAGCAGUUCGAAAAUUAUUACAAAACUCGAAUUUUCCCGUACAUAUGAAUAAAAUAAAGAAGUCCACAUUACGGAAAGGAAACAGGGUGAAGUUCAAACAAACAUGCCCCAGAAGUUCAACUUCUUCACGUGGAGCAUUUUUGUAAACUCUGUUUUUUCGACGAAGACAUCACGCAUGAUCUCACCGUUUUCAAAAAUUCUUCACAACGACUUGGAAUUAUAGCAAACUCUCUACAUGCAAAAGUUUCACAUUUUUUAUAGCUUUCCAAUGCUAUAUCAUUUGCGCCAUUCUGAUAAAUUAUUAAAAUAUGACGACAAAAAAUUAGUUUUGACCAUUUUCAAAAUUGACUUCAACACAUUUAAAACUCAAAUUCUUUUCGUAUCUAAGAAAAAUACAAGUAUGAAGUUCAAUUUUAAAAAGAAAUUUUUGAUGCUUAUUUAAAACCGUAUUUCUUCUAAGCAGUUCAAAUUAUAAUAGAAGAGAAGUUCAAAGGCUAUAAAAACUCAGAUUUUCUCUCGUUACUAAAGAAUAAAAUGAACAAGUUCAAAAAAAUAAAAAUGAGCAACUAAAAAAUUUAAAAAAUAUUUCCCCCUUUUUAAAAAACUAGAAGUUGAAAUUAAAAUAAUGAAGUGGUUCAAUGGUUAUUAAAAACUAAGAUUUUACGAUUAUUUAAAAACUUAUGUAUCCCUUGUUAUUAAAGAAUGGAACGUGAAGUUCAAGAUGAAAAAAUAGGCAAAUUUGAUGUUUAUUUAAAAAACAAAAAUAAUUCUUUACUCAAAAAUACAAAAAAGGUGAAGUUCAAAUUAGAAUGACACAGAAGUUAAAAGUUUAUUAAAACCUAGUAUUUAUGAGUUCAAAACACUAAAAAAGUCAACCAUUUUGGGCAUUUUUAAAGACAACUCAUAAACGGUGAUUCAAUUUUGAAAAAACUCUCUAAAUGCCAAAGUUUCUCCUAUUCAAACUCUCUCCAGCAGGAUAUCAUAUGAUCUAUUUGAUUAAAUUGUUUAAAGUUUUGGUCUAUAGUGUUCAAAAAAAAUAAGUUUUAACAUACUCAAAAAAUGAUCCUAAAAAUGUCGCGAAUUAGAAAAACUGCUCAACACGUAAAGUUGCGCCUUUUGGAUGGCUUUCUAACGGUAUAUAUUUUUCUCAGUUUCGAUGAAUGUUUUAGGAAUUAUGGUUAAAAAAGCAAAGAGAAGUUAAAAGUGAAAGCAACCAGCGAUUCAAUUAUUACAUGGAAUGUGUUUCAUAUAAGAAAAAAAGAAUAAAAAGACAAAGUCUAAAAAGACUUUAGCUAUAAGUUCUCGUGGUCGGCCCACGAAGUUCAAAAAUUCUUGUAAAGGAGGUUCACUCUGUAUGUAUUUACUUGCACAAAAAUAAAUGUUGUUUUUUGUGUUUUCAAACAAUUUUCUCCAUCCAUUACAAAUUUGAAACAAAAAAGCUCGACACAAAAAAUGUUUAUUCAACAAAUUUCCAAGGGUAUAUUAUAUUCUUAUUCCAAAAUAAAUGAUUAAAAAUGGUCUAUGUUGUUCAAAAAAUAAGUUUAACCGUAUGAAAAAAAGUUGCGUAUUUUCAACCAGUUCCUAAUGGUUUAUCAUUUGUGAAACUCCGAGGAACGGGUGAGGAACUACAAACAAAAAUACGUUACCAAAGUUCAAUGUGAAAAUGGCGAGUAGUUCAACUACUAUACGGAAUGGGUUUCAGAUGAGAAUAAAAGAAUACAAAACUAAAAGCCUUAAACAUUUUUUGCAAGAAGUUCACGUGCUCCACCCUGCACGGUUCAAUAAUUAUAUUAGAAGAUGGCCGACCUUCAAUUAGAUGUUAAAAAAGGCAAAAACAACAUUAUUUUUGCCAUUUUUAAAACUGCUCUCAAAUGGCAACGAGUUUGUAACAUCUGUCUGCAUGAAAAUUUUGUUCCUAUUCAUAAGCUCUCCAACGGUAUAUUAUAUGCUACAUUCUGAUGAACGGUUUAAAAGUUUCAUGUAUACCGUUAAUAACAUCUUACAAACCGUUGCGAGUAUGAAAAAAUGGCCGAACACGGGAAAGUUGCGUGCUUUCAACAGCUUUCCAUCGGUAUAUUAUUUUUCCAAUUCCGGGUAAGUGGUUGGGGAGUUACAUGCAAAAAUCAACACGUCAAGAAUAGAGUGAAGUUCAGACACACAUGCCUUAGAAGUUCAACUUCUUCACGCAGUGCAUUUUUGAAGACUCGGUUUUUGCUAUGAAGGCAGAACGCAUGAUCUCGUCGUUUUCAAAAUUACGUAAAAACAGCUAGGAAUCAGAGAAAAUUUUUUGUAUGGAAAAGUUUCACAUUUUAUAUAGCUAUCCAGUGGUAUAUUAUUUGCCCCAUUCCGACAAAGUUUGUUAAAAUUAUGGCCAAAUUUUUUUAGGCAUUUUCAAAAUUCACUUAAAACCGUAAAUAAUUGGGAGUAACAUUAUACAAAAAGUUUCGCAUUUGUUCAGGAUUUCCAAUGUCAUAUCAUUUGUUGUAUUCCGACUAACCAUUUAGGGAAAAACCCAAAAAUACGAACUCGGAGGAGCUUCGAUCUUUUCUAAAUUACUUUUAAACCGUUCAAAAUUAGAAAAAAUAUUCUACAUGAAAAAGAAGCGCACUUUCAUAAGCUUUCCAACAUCAUAUCCUUUGCAUCAAUACGACUUGCCAUUUUCAAAUUACGCCAAAAUACGAGCUCAGCUGGUCGGUUUGAGAAAUUCCACCAUUUUUCAAACUGCUCUCUAACCGUUGUGAAUUUGGGAAAAAUUUAUAUAUGUCGAGUGAGCAGAUUUGCAGCAGCUUUGCAAUGCCGUAUUAUUUUCCUCAUUCCGAUAAACGUUUUAGAAAUGGUCUCGAAAAUAGGAUUCAUAUUUUUCUGUACGAUAUGAAGAAAAAUGGUUUGUAAAACUGCUCUUAAUCCGUGUAGAUUUUGACAUAAGUUUAACUUAGGUUGUGAUCCAUGUGUCGACAACUUUCCAACGGCAUAUUGCAAGACCCAUUUUGACAAUGUUCGCGAAAGUUCAAACUCUCCUUGGAUGAAGUUCAACUACUACUACUACGACAGGUCGGUUAGUUAUUAGUGUGUGUGUGUGUGUGCGUGUCUAUAUAUAUUUCAUUUCAUGUGAUUGAUAGGUAUGUCCUCUUAUAGAUGAAUUAGGACCACGGUCCCCUUGUUAUUGCCCGGUACGCUCGCUACGCAGUUAACUAGUUACGUCCACAACAUAGGCGAUGAUUCUUGAUGCUAGAUUAAGUUUCGGGGUGUGUGAAAGAAGAGACUUAAUUAAAAGUCUCGUCCCCCACACUAAACUUCGUCAAAUACACAUGACCCCUUAGAAGAUCGUUCAUCUUCAUCACCCUCUUGUGUACACAACGGUUCACUAUUCUCAACUACGGUGAACCCCAAGGAACUGCUAGCAGAUCGUCGACAGCCAGAGUCGGUCGAUUGUCAGAACCUUGUAACAAAGCGACACCAUAUUGUCGACGAAUUGAACCAAAGCAACACUCGAGGAAGCAUAGAAAAAACAUCAACCCUCGAUCACAACCUACACCUACCCAUAUAACUGGUCUUGAUGCAACCGUUGGAAAACGUAGUAGAAAACAAAAAAAAUCGCGCCUACGCACACCCAAGAUCAAUAUGAAGAUGCAUAAUGGGUUGUGAUCACGAUCGUUACCAUCACGUAGUAGAAAACAAAAAAAUCGCGCCUAUGCACAGCGAAAGAAGAACGUGUCUGUGUAGGUCGUAAUUGGAGUCCCUCGAACCGUUGAUGAAUGAUACCGCGAACCGCCCACAAACAGUCCCUCAAACCAAAGACCUAAAGCACGGCCUCUCUACUUGGUUGCAAACGUGCAUCCUUCACAAUCCGGCAGCGCUUUGUUGUCCAAAGCUAGUCAUUGCGAGAGAACUGGAGGGACGAGAUUAGAACCACACGGGGCUUCUAAUUAUGAGGAUUAGAGGAUUAGUCUAGCUCUAAUUAGUCAAAUAGGAACCACUAGAACUAGAAGAACUAGAGGAGGCUCCAAAACAUGUGUAUGCAAAAGAGCAAAAUCCCCUAGUAUAUGUAGGUUGAAGGUGAGAGGGAGGGCUGCCACCAAGGGGGGAGGAAUCCCCCUUGGUGCGCCAGCCAAGGGGAGGAGUCCUCCUCCCCUUCGCCAAUUUGGCCUCCUACCUUAGGGAAGGAGGCGCCAAACCCACUUGGGCCUUUGUGCCCCAAGUUUCCGUCCACCUCUUGGCCUUUUAAGGCCCGUUGACAUCUAUACCUACUAAUAAAUCAAGGUGAUAUUCUUGGUUUGGUCUCGCAUCCAAUCCUACGUUAUGUAGAAAUACACGCGGCGGUACUAAUUCGUAGAGCCAAGUUUUUCGUUAAAAAGGUUUGUAUUGGCUGGGCUGCGUUCCUCCACUUGGGCCUUCACACGUUGUAUUUAUACCUGGCCAUGGGAAACCCGGCCCGGUCGUCCCGAAAAAGCCCGACCCGACCCGACCUGAUCUUGCCCGCGGGCCGGGCCUAGGCCUAAGUUUUUAGCCCAAAGGCUAGGACGAGCUUGGGCUUGACAUAUUCUUGUUUUAGGGAAGAGGCCCGACAGGUUUUUCACCGAUAGCCCCGGCCUGGGCCUGAAAUCUAGGCCUGAGCCGGACCCAAGCCUAGGGUUUUUGCUACGGGCAUUAUUAGGCCCGGUCUGAAGCCCAUCCUGACACAACUUAUGGCCUGGUAUUGUUGUACCUUAUUGCCUGUACUAUCGAGGCUAGCUACUGUGUUUGUACCCCUAAAAAAGCUAGUGUGUUUGUGUACAACUUCUUCUAGCUUAUUUAUAUAUGCACAAAUCAAACCCAUCCCACUGGUUCUUCCUGUAUUUGCCUUAUCUUGGUGUCACGGCAGCCGAUCGAAUCUUGGCUUCGCGGUGACGGUGUAACCAGCAUAGCAAGAUUUGGGGCAGUUCGGCUUCUAGUGACCAUUUUCUUUGCAGUAGAAGCACAUAGUUUCAGGCUUGGGUCUAGCUUUGGGCUUCUUCAUGGGAGUGGCAACUUGCUUGUCAUACUUCUUGAAGUUCCCUUUCUUUCCCUUGCCCUUUUACUUGAAACUAGUGGUUUUGUCAACCAUCAACACUUGAUGCUUUUCUUGAUUUCUACCUUCGCCGAUUCAGCAUCGCGAAGAGCUCGGGGAAUCGUUUUCGUCAUCCCUUGCAUAUUAUAGUUCAUCUCGAAGUUCCAGUAACUUGGUGAUAGUGACUAGAGAACUCUGUCAACCACUAUCUUAUCUGGAAGAUAAACUCUCACUUGAUUCAAGCAAUUGUAGUACUCAGACAUUCUGAGCACAUGCUCACUGGUUGAGCUAUUCUCCUCCAUCUUGUAGGCUAAGUACUUUGUCAGAGGUCUCAUACCUCUCGACUCGGGCAUGAGUAUGAAAUACCAAUUUUGACUCCUGGAACAUCUUAUAUGCUCUGUGGCGUUCAAAACAUUUUUGAAGUCCCGGUUCUAGGCCGUAAAGCAUGGUGCACUAAACUAUCAAGUAGUCAUCAUACCAAGCUUUGUCAAACGUUCAUAACGUCUGCAUCUGGUCUGUCACCUAGCGGUGCAUCAAGGACAUAAUUCUUCUGUGCAGCAACGAGGAUAAUCCUCUGAUCACGGAGAAAGUCCGCAUCAUUGCUACUAACAUCUUUCAACAUAGUUUUUCUCUAGGAACAUAUCAAAAAAUAAAUGGGGAGCUACAUCGCGAGCUAUUGAUCUACAACAUAGUCAUGCAAAUACUACCAGGACUAAGUUCAUGAUAAAUUAAAGUUCAAUUAAUCAUAUUACUUAAGAAAACCCACUUAGAUAGACAUCCCUCUAAUCAUCUAAGUGAUCACGUGAUCCAAAUCAACUAAACCAUGUCCGACCAUCACAUGAGAUGGAGUAGUUUUCAAUGGUGAACAUCACUAUGUUGAUCAGAUCUACUAUAUGAUUCACACUUGACCUUUCGGUCUCCAGUGUUCCGAGGCCAUAUCUGCAUAUGCUAGGCUCGUCAAGUUUAACCCGAGUAUUCCGCGUGUGCAAAACUGGCUUGCACCCGUUGUAUGUGAACGUAGAGCUUAUCACACCCGAUCAUCACAUGGUGUCUCGGCACGACGAACUGUCGCAACGGUGCAUACUCAGGGAGAACACUUAUACCUUGAAAUUUAGUGAGAGAUCAUCUUAUAAUGCUACCACUGAACUAAGCAAAAUAAGAUGCAUAAAUGAUAAACAUCACAUGCAAUCAAAAUAUGUGACAUGAUAUGGCCAUGAUCAUCUUGCGCCUUUGAUCUCCAUCUCCAAAGUACCGUCAUGAUCUCUAUCGUCACUGGCAUGACACCAUGAUCUCCAUCAUCUUGAUCUCCAUCAACGUGUCAUCACAUGGUCAUCUCGCCAACUAUUGCUCUUACAACUAUUCCUAUCGCAUAGCGAUAAAGUAAAGCAAUUAUUUGGCGCUUGCAUCUUAUGCAAUAAAGAGACAACCAUAAGGCUUCUGCUAGUUGCCGAUAACUUCUACAAAACAUGAUCAUCUCAUACAACAACUUAUAUCUCAUCACGUCUUGACCAUAUCACAUCACAACAUUCCCUGCAAAAACAAGUUAGACGUCCUCUACUUGGUUGUUGCAAGUUUUAUGUGGCUGCUAUGGACCGAGCAAGAACCGUUCUUAUCUACGCAUCAAAACUACAACGAUUUUUCGUCAAGUAUGUGUUGUUUUAACCUUCAACAAGGACCGGGCGUAGCCACACUCGAUUCAACUAAAGUUGGAGAAACUCAUGUUGGAAAUAUGCCCUAGAGGCAAUAAUAAAUUGGUUAUUAUUAUAUUUCCUUGUUCACGAUAAUCGUUUAUUAUCCAUGCUAGAAUUGUAUUGAUAGGAAACUCAGAUACAUGUGUGGAUACAUAGACAACACCAUGUCCCUAGUAAGCCUCUAGUUGACUAGCUCGUUGAUCAAUAGAUGGUUACGGUUUCCUGACCAUGGACAUUGGAUGUCGUUGAUAACGGGAUCACAUCAUUAGGAGAAUGAUGUGAUGGACAAGACCCAAUCCUAAGCCUAGCACAAGAUCGUGUAGUUCGUUUGCUCAGAGCUUUGCUAAUGUCAAGUAUCAUUUCCUUAGACCAUGAGAUUGUGCAACUCCCGGAUACCGUAGGAAUGCUUUGGGUGUGCCAAACGUCACAACGUAACUGGGUGGCUAUAAAGGUGCACUACGGGUAUCUCCGAAAGUGUCUGUUGGGUUGGCACGAAUCGAGACUGGGAUUUGUCACUCCGUGUAAACGGAGAGGUAUCUCUGGGCCCACUCGGUAGGACAUCAUCAUAAUGUGCACAAUGUGACCAAGGAUUUGAUCACGGGAUGAUGUGAGUUACGGAACGAGUAAAGAGACUUGCCGGUAACGAGAUUGAACAAGGUAUAGGGAUACCGACGAUUGAAUCUCGGGCAAGUAACAUACCGAUAGACAAAGGGAAUUGUGUACGGGAUUGAUUGAAUCCCCGACAUCGUGGUUCAUCCGAUGAGAUCAUCGUGGAACAUGUGGGAGCCAACAUGGGUAUCCAGAUCCCGCUGUUGGUUAUUGACCGGAGAACGUCUCGGUCAUGUCUGCAUGGUUCCCGAACCCGUAGGGUCUACACGCUUAAGGUUCGAUGACGCUAGGGUUAUAGGGAAAGUAUGUACGUGGUUACUGAAUGUUGUUCGAAGUCCCGGAUGAGAUCCCGGACGUCACGAGGAGUUCCGGAAUGGUCCGGAGGUAAAGAUUUAUAUAUGGGAAGUCCUGUUUUGGUCAUCGGAAAAGUUUCGGGUGAUAUUGGUAAUGUACCGGGACCACCGGGAGGGUCCCGGGGGUCCACCAAGUGGGGCCACCAGCCCCAGAAGGCUGCGUGGGCCAAGUGUGGGAGGGGACCAGCCCCAGGUGGGCUGGUGCGCCCCCCCACCAAGGCCCAAGCGCAUGGGAGAGUGGGAGGGGGCAAACCCUAGGUCCAGAUGGGCCUUAAGGCCCACCCUAGUGGCGCCCCCCCUCUCCUCCCCUUGGCCGCCCCCCCUAGAUGGGAUCUAGGGCUGGCCACCAGCCCUUGGGGGUGGAAUCCCUAGAGGGGGCGCAGCCCCUCCCCCCCAUAUAUAGUUGAGGUUUGGGGCUGCCAUAGACAUGAGAACGUCUCUCCUUUGGCGCAGCCCUACCCCUCUCCCUCCUCCUCCUCUCCCGCGGUGCUUGGCGAAGCCCUGUGGGAUUGCCACGCUCCUCCAUCACCACCAUGCCGUCGUGCUGCUGCUGGAUGGAGUCUUCCCCAACCUCUCCCUCUCUCCUUGCUGGAUCAAGGCGUGGGAGACGUCACCGGGCUGCACGUGUGUUGAACGCGGAGGCACCGUUCUUCGGUGCUUAGAUCGGAAUCAACCGCGAUCUGAAUCGCUACGAGUACGACUCCCUCAUCCGCGUUCUUGCAACGCUUCCGCAUCGCGAUCUACAAGGGUAUGUAGAUGCACUCCCCUUCCCCUCGUUGCUAGAUUACUCCAUAGAUUGAUCUUGGUGAUACGUAGAAAAUUUUGAAUUUCUGCUACGUUCCCCAACAGUGGCAUCAUGAGCUAGGUCUAUGCGUAGUUUCUAUGCACGAGUAGAACACAAAGUAGUUGUGGGCGUAGAUGUUGCCAGUUCUUCUUGCCGCUACUAGUCUUAUCUUGUUUCGGCGGCAUUGUGGGAUGAAGCGGCCCGGACCGACCUUACACGUACGCUUACGUGAGACAGGUUCCACCGACUGACAUGCACUAGUUGCAUAAGGUGGCUAGCGGGUGUCUGUCUCUCCCACUUUAGUCGGAACGGAUUCGAUGAAAAGGGUCCUGAUGAAGGGUAAAUAGAAAUUGGCAUAUCACGUUGUGGUUUUACGUAGGUAAGAAACGUUCUUGCCAGAAACCUAUACAAGCCACGUAAAAACUUGCAACAACAAUUAGAGGACGUCUAACUUGUUUUUGCAGCAUGUGCUAUGUGAUGUGAUAUGGCCAGAAGAUGUGAUGAAUGAUAUAUGUGAUGUAUGAGAUUGAUCAUAUUCUUGUAAUAGGAAUCACGACUUGCAUGUCGAUGAGUAUGACAACCGGCAGGAGCCAUAGGAGUUGUCUUUAUUUUUGUAUGACCUGCGUGUCAUUGAAUAACGCCAUGUAAAUUACUUUACUUUAUUGCUAAGCACGUUAGCCAUAGAAGUAGAAGUAAUUGUUGGCGUGACAACUUCAUGAAGACACAAUGAUGGAGAUCAUGGUGUCAUGCCGGUGACAAAGAUGAUCAUGGUGCCCCGAAGAUGGAGAUCAAAGGAGCAAAAUGAUAUUGGCCAUAUCAUGUCACUAUUUGAUUGCAUGUGAUGUUUAUCAUGUUAUGCAUCUUAUUUGCUUAGAACGACGGUAGUAAGUAAGAUGAUCCCUUAUAAAAUUUCAAGAGAAGUGUUCCCCCUACCUGUGCACCAUUGCGAAGGUUCGUUGUUUCGAAGCACCAUGUGAUGAUCGGGUGUGAUAGAUUCUAACGUUCGAAUACAACGGGUGUUGACGAGCCUAGCAUGUACAGACAUGGCCUCGGAACACAUGCGAAACACUUAGGUUGACUUGACGAGCCUAGCAUGUACAGACAUGGCCUCGGAACACAAGAGACCGAAAGGUCGAACAUGAGUCGUAUAGCAGGUACGAUCAACAUGGAGAUGUUCACCGAUGAUGACUAGUCCGUCUCACGUGAUGAUCGGACACGGCCUAGUUUGACUCGGAUCAUGUAUCACUUAGAUGACUAGAGGGAUGUCUAUCUGAGUGGGAGUUCAAUUAUCAGAUGAACUUCAUUAUCAUGAACAUAGUCAAAAGGUCUUUGCAAAUUAUGUCAUAGCUUGCGCUUUAGUUCUACUGUUUAAGAUAUGUUCCUAGAGAAAAUUUAGUUGAAAGUUGGUAGUAGCAAUUAUGCAGACUGGGUCCGUAAACUGAGGAUUGUCCUCAUUGCUGCACAGAAGGCUUAUGUCCUUAAUGCACCGCUCGGUGUGCUGAACCUCAGCUUGUCUGUAGAUGUUACGAAACAUCUGACAUACACGUUUUGAUGACUAAGUGAUAGUUCAGUGCGUAAUGCUAACGGUUUAGAAUUGUGGCACCAGAGACGUUUUUGAAAUGUCGCAGAAUAUGUGAGAUGUUCCGAAGACUGAAAUUGGGAUUUCAGACUAGUGCCCACGUCAAGAGGUAUGAGACCUCUGACAAGUUUCUUAAGCCUGCAAACUAAGGGAGAAAAGCUCAAUCGUUGAGCAUGUGCUCAGAUUGUCUGAGUGCUACAAUCACUUGAAUCGAGUGGGAGUUAAUCUCCCAGAUGAGAUAGUGAUGGUUCUCCAUAGUCACUGCCACCAAGCUAGUAGAGCUUCGUGAUGAACUAUAACAUAGCAGGGAUAGUUAUGAUGAUCCUUGAGCUAUUCACAAUGUUUGACACCGCGAAAGUAGAAAUCAAGAAGGAGCAUCAAUUGUUGAUGGUUAGUAAAACCACUAGUUUCUAGAAGGGCAAGGGCAAAAGGGAUACUUCAUGAAACAGCAAAUCGUUUGCUACUCUAGUAAAGAAUCCCAAAGUUGAACCCAAACCCGAGACUAAGUGCUUCUGUAAUGAGGGGAAUGGUCACUGAAGCAGUACUACCCUAGAUACUUGGUAGAUGAGAAGGCAGGCAAGGUCGACAGAAGUAUAUUGGAUAUACAUUAUAUGAAUGUGUACUAGUACUCCUAGCAGCACCAGGGUAUUAGAUACCGGUUCGGUUGCUAAGUGUUAGUAACUCGAAAUAAAAGCUGCAGAAUAAACGGAGACUAGCUAAAGGUGAGAUGACGAUAUGUGUUGGAAGUGUUUCCAAGGUUGAUGGGAUCAAGCAUCGCAUGCUCCCUCUACCAUCGAGAUUUGGUGUUUGCGUUGAGCAUGAUUGGAUUAUGUUUAUCGCAAUACGGUUAUUCAUUUAAGGAGAAUAAUGGUUACUCUGUUUAUUUGAAUAAUACCUUCAAUGGUCUUGCACCUAAAAUGAAUCUCGAUCGUAGUGAUACACAUGUUCAUGCCAAAGGUAAUGAUAGUACCACAUACUUGUGGCACUGCUAUUUGAGUCAUAUUGGGAUAAAACGCAUGAAGAAGCUCCAUGUAGAUGGAUCUUUGGACUCACUCUUUUUGAAAAGAUUGAGACAUGCGAACCAUGUCUAUUGGUAUAUGUGCAUGAAGAAACUCCAUGUAGAUGGAUCGUUUGGACUCACUUGAUUUUGAGACAUGCAAAUCAUACCACAUGGGCAAGAUGACUGAAAGGCCUCGUUUUCAGUAAGAUGGAACAAGAGAGCAACUUAUUGGAAGUAAUACAUUUUGAUGUAUGCAGUCCAAUGAGUGCUGAGGCAUGCAGUGGAUAUCGUUAUGUUCUUACUUCACAGAUGAUUUGAGUAGAUGUUGAGUGUAUUUACUUGAUGAAACACAAGUCUGAAUUAUUGAAAGGUUCAAGUAAUUUCAGAGUGAAGUUGAAGAUCGUCGUGACAAGAGGAUAAAAUGUCUGUGAUAUGAUCAUAGAGAUGAGUAUCUGAGUUACAAGUUUGGCACACAAUUAAGACAUUGUGGAAAGUGUUUCACAAUUAAUACCGCCUGGAACACCAUAGUGUGAUGGUGUGUCCGAACAUCAUAACUGCACCCUAUUGGAUAUGGUGCAUGCCAUGAUGUUUCUUAUCGAAUUACCACUAUCGUUUAUGGGUUAUGCAUUAGAGACAACCGCAUUCACUUUAAAAGGGGUACCACGCAAUUCCGUUGAGACGACACCGUUUAGAGAAACCUGAGUUGCCGUUUCUUAAAAGUUUGGGGCUGCGAUGCUUAUGUGAAAAAGUUUCAGGCUGAUAAGCUCGAACCUAAAGCGGAUAAAUGCAUCUUCAUAGAAAACCCAAAACAGUUGGGUAUACCUCCUAUUUCAGAUCUGGAAGCAAAAGUAAUUACUUCUAGAGACAGGUCCUUUCUCGAGGAAGAGUUUCUCUCGAAAGAAUUGAGUGGGAGGAUGGUGGAGACUUGAUAAGGUUAUUGAACCGUCACUUCAACUAGUGUGUAGCAGGGCACAGGAAGUUGUUCCUGUGGCACCUACACCAAUUGAAGUGGAAGCUUAUGAUAGUGAUCAUGAAACUUCGGAUCAAGUCACUACCAAACCUCGUAGGACGACGAGGAUGCGUGCUACUUCAGAGUGGUACGUGAUCCUGUCUUGAAAAUCAUGUUGUUAGACAACAAUGAACCUACGAGCUAUGGAGAAGCGAUGGUGGGCCCAUAUUCUGACAAAUGGUUAGAAGCCAUGAAAUCCGAGAUAAAUGGAUCUUUAAGAAGAAGACGGACAUGGACGGUAAUGUUACCGUCUAUGAAGCUCGACUUGUGGCAAAAAGUAUUUCCACAAGUUCAAGGAGUUGACUACGAUGAGAUUUUCUCAUCCGUAGCGAUGCUUAAGUCCGUCGGAAUCAUGUUAGCAUUAGCUGCAUUUAUGAAAUCUGGCAGAUGGACGUCAAAACAAGUUUCCUUACCAGUUUUCGUAAGGAAAGAUUGUAUGUGAUACAAUCAGAAAGGUUUUGCCGAUCCUAAGGAUGCUAAAAGGUAUGCUAGCUCCAGCGAUCCUUCCAUGGACUAGAGCAAGCAUCUCGGAGUCAGAAUAUACGCUUUGAUGGAGUGAUCAAAGUUUUUGGGUUUAUACAAAGUUUGUUAGAAACUUGUAUUUACAAUAAAGUAAGUGGGAGCGCUACAACAUUUCUGAUAAGUAUAUGUGAAUGACAUAUUGUUGAUCUGAAAUGAUGUAGAAUUUCUGGAAAGCAUAAAGGGUUGUUUGAAAGGAGUUUUUCAAAGGAAGACCUGGAUAAAAGCUGCUUGCAUAUUGGGCAUCAAGAUCUAUAGAGAUAGAUCAAGACGCCUGAUGAUACUUUCAAAGAACGCGCACCUUGACAUGAUUUUGAAAGAGUUCAAAAUAGAUCAGCAAAGAAGGAGUUCUUGGCUGUGUUACAAGGUGUGAGUAUUGAGUAAGACUCAAGACCUGACCACAGCAGAAGAGAGAGAAAGGACGAAGGUCGUCCCCUAUGCUUCAGACAUAGGCUCUACAGUAUGCUAUGCUGUGUACCGCACAUGGAGUGUGCCUUGCCAUGAGUUGGUCAAGGGGUACAAUAGUGAUCCGGGAAUGGAUCACAUGACAGUGGUCGAAUUUAUCCUUAGUAUCUAGUGGACUAAGGAAUUUUCUCGAUUAUGGAGGUGAAAAGGAGUUCGUCGUAAAGGGUUACGUCGAUGCGAACUUUGACACUAAUCCGGAUGACUCUGAGUAGUAAACCGGAUUCGUAUAGUAGAGCAAUUAUUUGAAAUGGCUCCAAAUAGCGCAUCGUAGCAUCCACAAGAUGACAUAGAUAUUCGUAAAGCACACACGGAUCUGAUAGGUUCAGACCCGUUGAUUAAUAACCUCUCUCACAAGCAUAACAUGAUCAAACCAGAACUCAUUGAGUGUUAAUCACAUAGUGAUGUGAACUAGAUUGUUGACUCUAGUAAACUAUUUGGAUGUUGGUCACAUGGUGAUGUGACCUGUCACUGUUAAUCACAUGGUGAUGUGAACUAGUUUAUUGACUGUAGUGCAAGUGGGAGACUGUUGGAAAUAUGCCCUAGAGGCAAUAAUAAAUUGGUUAUUAUUAUAUUUCCUUGUUCACGAUAAUCGUUUAUUAUCCAUGCUAGAAUUGUAUUGAUAGGAAACUCAGAUACAUGUGUGGAUACAUAGACAACACCAUGUCCCUAGUAAGCCUCUAGUUGACUAGCUCGUUGAUCAAUAGAUGGUUACGGUUUCCUGACCAUGGACAUUGGAUGUCGUUGAUAACGGGAUCACAUCAUUAGGAGAAUGAUGUGAUGGACAAGACCCAAUCCUAAGCCUAGCACAAGAUCGUGUAGUUCGUUUGCUCAGAGCUUUUCUAAUGUCAAGUAUCAUUUCCUUAGACCAUGAGAUUGUGCAACUCCCGGAUACCGUAGGAAUGCUUUGGGUGUGCCAAACGUCACAACGUAACUGGGUGGCUAUAAAGGUGCACUACGGGUAUCUCCGAAAGUGUCUGUUGGGUUGGCACGAAUCGAGACUGGGAUUUGUCACUCCGUGUAAACGGAGAGGUAUCUCUGGGCCCACUCGGUAGGACAUCAUCAUAAUGUGCACAAUGUGACCAAGGAUUUGAUCACGGGAUGAUGUGAGUUACGGAACGAGUAAAUAGACUUGCCGGUAACGAGAUUGAACAAGGUAUAGGGAUACCGACGAUCGAAUCUCGGGCAAGUAACAUACCGAUAGACAAAGGGAAUUGUAUACGGGAUUGAUUGAAUCCCCGACAUCGUGGUUCAUCCGAUGAGAUCAUCGUGGAACAUGUGGGAGCCAACAUGGGUAUCCAGAUCCCGCUGUUGGUUAUUGACCGGAGAACGUCUCGGUCAUGUCUGCAUGGUUCCCGAACCCGUAGGGUCUACACGCUUAAGGUUCGAUGACGCUAGGGUUAUAGGGAAAGUAUGUACGUGGUUACUGAAUGUUGUUCGAAGUCCCGGAUGAGAUCCCGGACGUCACGAGGAGUUCCGGAAUGGUCCGGAGGUAAAGAUUUAUAUAUGGGAAGUCCUGUUUUGGUCACCGGAAAAGUUUCGGGUGAUAUUGGUAAUGUACCGAGACCACCGGGAGGGUCCCGGGGGUCCACCAAGUGGGGCCACCAGCCCCAGAAGGCUGCGUGGGCCAAGUGUGGGAGGGGACCAGCCCCAGGUGGGCUGGUGCGCCCCCCCACCAAGGCCCAAGCGCAUGGGAGAGUGGGAGGGGGCAAACCCUAGGUCCAGAUGGGCCUUAAGGCCCACCCUAGUGGCGCCCCCCCUCUCCUCCCCUUGGCCGCCCCCCUAGAUGGGAUCUAGGGCUGGCCGCCAGCCCUUGGGGGUGGAAACCCUAGAGGGGGCGCAGCCCCUUCCCCCCUAUAUAUAGUUGAGGUUUGGGGCUGCCAUAGACAUGAGAACGUCUCUCUUUCGGCGCAGCCCUACCCCCCUCCCUCCUCCUCAUCUCCCGCGGUGCUUGGCGAAGCCCUGCGGGAUUGCCACGCUCCUCCAUCACCACCAUGCCGUCGUGUUGCUGUUGGAUGGAGUCUUCCCCAACCUCUCCCUCUCUCCUUGCUGGAUCAAGGUGUGGGAGACGUCACCGGGCUGCACGUGUGUUGAACGCGGAGGCACCGUUCUUCGGUGCUUAGAUCGGAAUCAACCACGAUCUGAAUCGCUACGAGUACGACUCCCUCAUCCGCGUUCUUGCAACGCUUCCGCAUCGCGAUCUACAAGGGUAUGUAGAUGCACUCCCCUUCCCCUCGUUGCUAGAUUACUCCAUAGAUUGAUCUUGGUGAUGCGUAGAAAAUUUUGGAUUUCUGCUACGUUCCCCAACAACUGACACCCGCCAGCCACCUGUGUGCGAAGCACGGCGGUAGAACCAGUCUCGCGUAAGCGUACGCGUAAUGUCGGUCCGGGCCGCUUCAUCCAACAAUACCGCUGAAUCAAAGUAUGACAUGCUGGUAAGCAGUAUGACUAGUAUCGCCCACAACUCACUUGUGUUCUACUCGUGCAUAUAACAUCUGCACAUAAACCUGGCUCGGAUGCCACUGUUAGGGGACGUAGUAAUUUCAAAAUUUCCUACGCACACGCAAGAUCAUGGUGAUGCAUAGCAACGAGAGGGGAGAGUGUCGUCUACGUACCCUCGUAGAUCGAAAGCGGAAGCGUUAUGACAACGCGGUUGAUGUAGUCGUACGUCUUCACGAUCGACCGGUCCUAGCACCGAAGGUACGGCACCUCCGCGAUCUGCACACGUUCGGCUCGGUGACGUCCCACGAACUCACGAUCCAGAAGAGUGUCGAGUGAGAGCUUCGUCAGCACGACGGCGUGAUGACGGUGAUGAUGAAGCUACCGGUGCAGGGCUUCGCCUAAGCACUACGACAAUAUGACCGAGGUGGAUUAUGGUGGAGGGGGUCACCGCACACGGCUAAGAGAUUAAUGAUCAACUUGUGUGUUCAUGGGGUGCUCCCUGGCCACGUAUAUAAAGGAUGGAGGGAGGAGGAGGCCGGCCCUCAUAGGGCGCGCCCAAAGUGUGGAGUCCUACUAGGACUCCCUAGUCCUAGUAGGAUUCCACCUCCCACAUGGAAUAGGAAAAGGGGAAGGGAGAAGGAGAAGGAAGGAAGGGGGCACCCCCUUUCCCUAGUCCAAUUCGGACCAGUCCAUGGGGAAGGGGCGCAGCCACCCUUGAGGCCUUUUUCUCCUUUCCCGUAUGGCCCAUUAAGGCCCAAUACGAAUUCCCGUAACUCUCCAGUACUCCGAAAAAUACCCGAAUCACUGGGAACCUUUCCGAUGUCCGAAUAUAGUCGUCCAAUAUAUCGAUCUUUACGUCUCGACCAUUUCGAGACUCCUCGUCAUGUCCCCGAUCUCAUCCGGGACUCCGAACUACCUUCGGCACAUCAAAACACAUAAAGUCAUAAUACCAAUCGUCACUGAACGUUAAGCGUGCGGACCCUACGGGUUUGAGAACUAUGUAGACAUGACCGAGACUCAUCUCCGGUCAAUAACCAAUAGCGGAACCUGGAUGCUCAUAUCGGUUCCUACAUAUUCUACGAAGAUCUUUAUCGGUCAAACCGCAUAACAACAUACGUUGUUCCCUUUGUCAUCGGUAUGUUACUUGCCCGAUAUUCGAUCGUCGGUAUCUCAAUACCUAGUUCAAUAUCGUUACCGGCAAGUCUCUUUACUCGUUCCGUAAUGCAUCAUACUGCAACUAACUCAUUAGUCACAUUGCUUGCAAGGCUUAUAGUGAUGUGCAUUACCGAGAGGGCCCAGAGAUACCUCUCCGACAAUCGGAGUGACAAAUCCUAAUCUCGAUCUACGCCAACUCAACAAGUACCAUCGGAGACACCUGUAGAGCACCUUUAUAAUCACCCAGUUACAUUGUGAUGUUUGGUAGCAUACAAAGUGUUCCUCCAGUAUUCGGGAGUUGCAUAAUCUCAUAGUCAUAGGAACAUGUAUAAGUCAUGAAGAAAGCAAUAGCAAUAUACUAAACGAUCAAGUGCUAAGCUAACGGAAUGGGUCAAGUCAAUCACAUCAUUCUCUAAUGAUGUGAUCCCGUUGAUCAAAUGACAACUCAUGUCUAUGGCUAGGAAACUUAACCAUCUUUGAUCGAACGAGCUAGUCAAGUAGAGGCAUACUAGUGACACUCUGUUUUUCUAUGUAUUCACACAUGUACUAAGUUUCCGGUUAAUACAAUUCUAGCAUGAAUAAUAAACAUUUAUCAUGAUAUAAGGAAAUAUAAAUAACAACUUUAUUAUUGCCUCAGGGCAUAUUUCCUUCAGCGGUGUGGUAGCUGGUCGUAGCGGCCGCUGCUGGUGCUCUCGCUCGCGGAGGAGCCGCCACCGCUCGACGAACCGCGGCCGUCAUCAAGGGCAAGAUCGCCCUCAGCGUCGUCACGACCGUUGUCAAGGCCAAGCGCAUCGUCGCCGCCGCUGUCUUCGGGGCAGCACCCUGCGCGACGACCAUCUUCCCCAAACAUCCUCACGAAGAGGGUCGUGACGCCGUCGUACUUGAAGUGGAGGGUGCGCCUCCUGCUCAGGCCGCGCGCGCGGGCGAACGCCUGCCAGCCGCGGGCCAGGGCAACAUUGCCCGCGGCGGAGACCUCCACCACAACCCACGAGGACUUGCUGCAGCAACCAUCGGUCCGCAACCAGAGGCCGUCAAGACCCACGGCCGGCAGCUCGCUGGUAAAGGAGCGCAGAAGCUGGAGCCAGGUGCCGGACGGACUCUCCGACCACACGACGAACUCCGGGAGCACCUCCUCCAAGUGGAAGCGGGGCCGGGGAAGCCGGGCAACAAGGCGCACCUCCCCUCGUCAAAGGGGCUGCGCCUCGCCUUGGGUGGCUCCCGCCAUGAGAAGAGACACCGCCGUGGCCGCCAAGGAUGACGCCGGUCCAUGAAGGAGUGCGCCCACGCCCCCGAGGAGGCACCACAGGGGUCGCGGCGUGCUUACGAGGGCGGCCCUGCCUCUCUUGGGUGGCGGCAAGUCGGGUCCCUCCUGGCGAGCCUUCCCCUUCUCGGUGGCGGCGAACCUCUUUGUUGGCGCCAUGGGAGCUGCGGUGAGGCGAAGAGGAAGGAGACAGAGCGUGCGGCGAGAAGAAGGAGAUGAGCAAAGAGGGCUCCGCCCCUCUCCUCAUUUAUAGCCAGGAGGAGGCCAACUGACGGCCUCCACGAUCGCAUGUAAUGAUGAUUUUUCUCAGCAUGCAGCAGAGUCUCGUCAAGUCGAACGGUUGCCGAGGCGGCGUGGGGAAGUGCAGGCGCCCAUGUCCCAUCAAUCGCCAUGCGUCAACUGAGGCCGCAAGUGGUUGGGGCCCGCGGCGCUCCACACUUGCCCUUUGGAUUCGCCUCGGGGCCAAGUUCGAGCGCGCCUUGGGUCCGGGGGCUAUUGUCGGCGUCCUAGGAAUGGGGGUACCUAGACUUGCCUGCCUGCGGCCCGUGGCGUGGCUCCAUCAAUGGCCCGGUACGGCCCAGCUUUAGCAGCAACAACUCAAGACCCUCGCGAGGGGCAAAGCCUCGCAAGGCGGAUGACACCAAGACCUCCCUGGGGGCGGCCUCACUAGGCCAUCUCCCGAGGAGCGGAGAUAUCUAUGCAAGGUGCACCUCGUGAGGUUCAUGUGACAUGAGCCAUGAUGACCAAGGCCAGGCGGGAGCCAGCGGGCGCAGUGUACUAGUUUCCUCUUUGGUGCUAAGGAGGCAAGCGCAGGCGCGGAGUCCCGAGGAAUCAAGCAAAGGUUUCCACUCCAGUGCAACAAGACCAAGAACGUCAGGACGAUGGGACGGAGGUCAUCGCGGAGCCCACCGCAGCGUCACCACCAGAGCCUUUUGCAGGCGAAGACUACUUUUGUCAGGAUAGCUUGUACUAGUUGUCUCCCUUCAAAUUUGGCCGUUGUGGGAUCCCUUCCCGCCUACAUUUGGGAAGAGGACCAAGGCCACUAUAAAUAGGAUUUAGCCACCACCAUAGAUGGAAGGAUAGAUCCAUUCCACCCUGACCACCUCACUAGCUCAUCGAGCUCAAGAACACCUCACCUCUUGAGGUUGUUCCACCACUGUACUAGUUCAUCCUCAGCCCCUCGAGGCAAUCCACCACAAAGCUGGAGUAGGGUAUUACACCGCAAGGUGGCCCGAACCAGGAUAAAUCCCUGUGUCUCUCAUUCUCUGGGUUCGUGGAGCUAGGCCGUGGAAUCGUUGAGCAGGCAGACUGGGAGAGAGAGUUCUUCGCACGCACCCCAUAGUUCGAACCUCUCAAGGGUCUGCGGAACCCCGAAUCCGACACACACGAGGUGGCCACAAGGACGGGGGCGCGCCCUCCACCAUUGUGGUGGCCUCAUGUCUCUUUUGGACUAUUUUAAUUUUCCUAAUUUUUUAAAUAUCCCAAAACGGAGAAAAUUUAUCAUUGGAAAACUUUUGGAGUCGGUUUACUUACCGUACCACAUACCUAUUCCUUUUCGGAGACUGAAACAUUCUGGAAAGUGUCCCUUAUGUACUCCUCCGGUGUUACGGUGUCAAUUAUAUUUAUUUCAACAUUUAUGGCAGUACCUGAGAUAUAAUGUUUGAUUCUUUGACCGUUACCACCUUCUGAUUUGUGCCUUCAGCGUUGUUGAUUUUUAUGGUACCGGAAUGAUAGACCUCCUCGAUAAUGUAUGGACCUUCCCAUUUAGAGAGAAGUUUCCUACGAAAAAUCUUAAACGAGAGUUGUAUAGUAAAACAUGAUCACCUAUAUUAAAAUCACGCUUUUGUAUCCUUUUGUCAUGCCAUCUUUUAACUUUUUCUUUAAACAACUUGGCAUUCUCAUAGGCUUGGGUUCUCCAUUCAUCGAGUGAGCUAAUGUCAAAUAACCUCUUCUCACCGGCAAGUUUAAAAUCAUACUUGAGCUCUUUAAUAGCCCAAUAUGCCUUAUGUUCUAGUUCAAGAGGUAAAUGACAUGCUUUUCCGUAAACCAUUUUAUAGGGAGACAUACCCAUAUAGGAUUCUUAUAAGCAGUUCUAUAGGGCCAUAUAGCAUCAUCAAGUUUCUUCGACCAAUUCUUUCUAGAUUUAUUAACAGUCUUUUGCUAAAUUAAUUUAAUCUCUCUAUUGCUCAAUUCUACUUGACCACUAGACUAAGGAUGAUAAGGAUAUGCAAUUUAUGGUUAACAUCAUACUUAGCAAGCAUUUUACGAAAAGCACCAUGAAUAAAAUGUAAACCACCAUCAGUCAUUAAAUAUCUAGGGACUCCAAACCUCAGAAAAAUAACUUCUUUAAGCAUCUUAAUAGAAGUGUUAUGAUCAGCACUACUAGUUGGAAUAGCUUCUACACCCACUUAGUAACGUAAUCAACAGCAACUAGAAUAUGUGUAUACACAUUAGAGGAAGGAAAAGGUCCCACAUAAUCAAAGCCCCAAACAUCAAAUGCUUUAAUAACAAGUGAAUAGUUCAUGGGCAUUUCCUCUCGUCUACUAAUAUUGCCAAUUCUUUGACAUUCAUCACAAGACAAGACAAACUUACGAGCAUCCCUGAAGAGAGUGGGCCAACAAAAACCGGAUUGCAAUACCUUGUGUGCAGUUCUAUCUCCAGCAUGGUGUCCUCCGUAAGCUUCGGAGUGGCACUUGCGUAGGAUCUGUUCAUGUUCAUACUCAGGUACACAACGUCUAAUAACACCAUCUACUCCAUUAUAAAGGUGUGGAUCAUCCCCAAAGUAAUGUCUUAAAUCAUAGAAAAACUUUUUGUUUUGCUGGUAUGUGAAACUAUGUGGUAUAAAUUUAGCAGCAAUAUAAUUAGCAUAAUCAGCAUACCAUGGAGUAUUACGAGAAGCAUUUAUAACAUUUAAUUGUUCCUCAGGAAAGCUAUCAUCAAUAGGUAGUGGGUCAUCAAGAACAUUUUCUAACCUAGAAAAGUUGUCUGCAACGGGGUUCUCAGCUCCCUUUCUAUCAAUAAUAUGCAAAUAAAAUUCUUGUAGCAAGAGAACCCACCUAAUAAGUCUAGGUUUAGCAUCUUUCUUUUCCAUAAGAUAUUUAAUAGCAGCAUGAUCAGUGUGAAUAGUUACUUUGGAAUCAACAAUAUAAGGUCUAAACUUAUCACAUGCAAAUACAGCUGCUAAACAUUCUUUGGGCACUGUCUAGAGUUUUACUAGCAUACUAAAUAACAUUUAAUUUCUUAUGAACUCUUUGUCCUAGAACAGCACCAACAGCAUAAUCACUAGCAUCACACAUAAUUUCAAAGGGUAAAAUUCCAAUCAGGUGGCUAAACAAUAGGUUCAGAAAUCAAGGCUUUCUUAAGUACUUCAAAUGCUUCUACACAAUCAUCAUCAAAAACAAAGGGAACAUCUUUUUGCAAGAUAUUAGUGAGAGGACAAGAAAUUUUAGAGAAGUCUUUAAUAAACCUCCUAUAGAAACCAUCAUGACCAAGGGAACUUCUUAUACAUUUGAUAUCUCUUGGACACGGCAUCUUUUCAAUAGCAUCUACUUUAGCUUUAUCAACUUCAAUACCUCUUUCAGAAAUUUUAUGCCCCAAGACAAUACCUUCAUUAACCAUAAAGUGGCACUUUUCUCAAUUCAAUACAAGAUUAGUUUCUUAAGAUAUCUGCAUAACUCGGUCAAGGUUGCUUAAGCAAUCAUCAAAAGAAGUUCCGUAAACGGAGAAAUCAUCCAUGAAAACCUCAACAAUCUUUUCACGGAAAUCAGAGAAUAUAGUAGUCAUACAUCUUUGAAAGGUAGCAGGUGCAUUGCAUAAACCAAAUGGCAUACGUCUACAAGCAAAGGUACCGAAAGGGCAAGUAAAAGUGGUUUUCUCUUGGUCAUCUUUUGACACAGGUAUUUGAGAGAAACCAGAAUAACCAUCUAGAAAGCAAAAUGUGUAUGCUUGUACAAUGUUUCUAGCAUUUGAUCAAUAAAUGGUAAAGGGUAAUGAUAUUUUCUAGUAGCUUUAUUAAAUUUGCAAAAAUCAAUUACCAUUCUAUAACCUAUAACAAUUCUUUGUGGAAUCAAUGCAUUCUUAUCAUUAGGAACAACAGUAAUACUUCCCUUCUUAGGGACACAGUGAACAUGGCUUACCCAUUGACUAUCGGCAAUAGGAUAAAUUAUACCUGCCUCUAAGAGGUAGAACUUAUAGCUUACAGAACACUAAUGGACAAGAGGUAGAACUUAUUUUUUUUGGCUUGCCGGAGAUCGCAAUGUUGGUCCAUCUUCCCAACUCCUUGUAGAGGCUAAGUUCACAACAGGAACCUGCAACUUCAUGCAGAUGGGAAUGAUGCAAGAUGCGGUCCUAUAUAUAUGCAUAUGCAAAUGCUCAUGAAAUGCUUAUGCAGUGCUCUUGGAAUGCUCAUGCAUGGAUGCAACUUGGUCAGGGGCCCCCUAGUGCUUCGUUUAUUUCUCUCUUGCUCAGGGUCAUUGCCCUGGCUUUGUACAAGGGGUUACAUGCAGUUGAGGCAAGGCCUGUACAAAAGGGUGGCUGCCGGGCAGGGCCCGAGAGCCGCGCCUUACUGGUAGAACUUGCGGAGGUGCUCAAUAUUCCAUGGGUUUUGCAAUUGAAUGCCAUCUCCAGUCUCUAGACAGACUGCGCCGGGUCUGGUGACUCGUACUACCCGGUAAGGGCCUUCCCACUUUGGCGUCAACUUUUUUGUACCCUUGGCAGACUAAAUGCGCCUAAGGAUAAGGUCGCCUUCCUCAAAACACCGGGCAUGAACCCUACGGCUAUGAUAGCGACACAGGGCUUGCUGAUAGCGUUCAGCACGCGUAGCAGCCCGGAGACGGUUCUCCUCGAUUAGCAUAGCAUCGUCACGCCAGUGCUGAUCUAGCGCUACUUCAUCGUAGGCAAGCACUCGAGGCGACCCCUAAAUGAGUUCCGUGGGGAUAAUUUCUUCUGCCCCGUAGACCAGGGAGAAGGGAGUCUACCUGGUAGCUCGACUUGGUGUUGUUCUGAGGGACCAGAGAACUACCGGCACCUCAUCGAUCCACCGCCUGCCGUGCUUCUGCAGCAUAUCAAAGGUUCUCGUCUUCAGUCCUCGCAGCAUUUCACGUUCGCCCUCUCAGCUUGUCCAUUGCUUUUGGGAUGUGUAACAGAGGCAAAUGAGAUCUUGCAUCCAAGGGCAUGAAUAUAUUGCAUGAAGGCGCGGCUCGUGAACUUGGUGCCAUUGUCGGUAAUGAUCCUUGCCGGGACUCCAAAGCGACACACCAAUUCUUUCAAGAACUUAAUAGCUGACUGAGCAGUCACCUUUCUCACGGCAGUCACUUCCGGCCACUUUGUAAACUUCUCGAUAGCAACGAACAAGAAUUCAAAGCCCCCGAUUGCUCGGGGGAGAGGGCCGAGGAUAUCGAGCCCCCAGACCGAAAAUGGCCAUGAUAAAGGGAUUGUCUGAAGAGCUUGGGCAGGCAGGUGGAUGUUCUUCGAAUGGAACUGGCAGGCUUCACAUUUGGUGACUAGCUCGACCGCAUCUUGGAGGGCUGUGGGCCAAUAGAAUCCUUGCCAGAAUGCUUUCCCAACUAAUGCCCUCGAUCCAAUGUGGGAGCCGCACUUGCCUUUGUGUAUUUCAGCUAGCAGUUCCUUUCCUUGUUCCUGGCAGAUGCACUUCAAUUUCACACCAUUGGGCCUCCUUCUGUAUAGAGUUUCAUCGACAAACUGAUACAUACUGGCCCUCCGGGCUACUCUUUCAGCUUCAUCUUGGUCGCGGGAAGCUCUCCGGUUUGGAGGAAGUGGACUAUGUGCCUUGCCCAAGUUGCGGUCCGGCAUAUGGUGAGGAGUUGUUUCCAGUAGGGUCUCUGCCAGGAGCGGACGGCUCUACUGGGAGAGGCUUACCGGAGUCCAACUUUCUCCUUUUCUAGGCCAUUGUUGUUGGGGAUACGGAGGGCUGAGUUAGAUGGAGAAUAAAAGUCCCUGGUUCCACAGGAAGCUUCUGCGCAGCACACUUUGACAGAUGAUCAGCUAUGCUGUUUUCCGCACGGGGUACGUGCCCUGUUUGCAAUCCGUCAAAGCGUUCCUCCAAUCUUCUCACUUCCUCAACAUAUGCCUCCAUCAAUGGGCUUUGGUAAUCCUUGUUGGCUUGUCUCACCACAAGUUGUGAAUCUCCUCGGAUGAUCAGCUUCUUAAUUCCCAAUUCUGCGGCAAUCCUGAGCCCGGCAAGGAGCCUUUCUACCUCUGUUGUAUUGUUGGUUGCCUCUUCCCGGGCAAAAUGCAUCUAGACGACGUACUUCAAGUGCUCCACAGAGGGGGCGACAAGAAGCACGCCAGCCCCUGCACCUUGUAGGGAAAAGGAACCAUUAAAAUACAUAAUCCAUUCUUGGGGUGAUUCCUUGCCGGGGAUAACUGUCUCUGGUACCUCCUCAUCAGGGGUUGGCGUCCAUUCUACAAUAAACUCUGCCAAUGCCCUGCUUUGGAUAGUUGAUGUGCUCUCAGACUUCAAACCAAAACUGGAUAACUCCAAAGCCCACUCCACUAUUCUACCGGUAGCCUCAGAGUUUCGGAAUAUCCUUUGCAACGGAAAACGAGUGACAAUCGUAAUCUCGUGAGCUUGGAAGUAGUGGCGCAGUUUCCUUGAGGCCAUGAUGAGACCAAAGAUCAACUUUUGCACGCCAGAGUACCUCGAUCUAGCCCCCCAUAACAAGGAGCUGACGAAGUACACUAGGCGUUGCACCAGUUUCUUCCUUGUCGGGUCCUUGGGGUUGCUCUCGCUGCCGUGCUCAUUGCUGUCUUGAUCCUUCUCUGCCUCUGCUGGUCCUUGCUCACUCUCUGCCUAAUCCACUUCCCGCUGCACCACCAAGGCUGCACUAACCACUUGGUUGGUUGCCGCUAAGUAUAGCAGCAAUGGCUCUUGUGGUUUGGGAGCAACCAGGGUAGGCACAGAGGACAAGUAGGUCUUCAACUCUUCCAAAGCUGCAUCUGCUUCCGGAGUCCACUUCAUGGGCCCUGCCUACUUCAAAAUUUUGAAGAACGGUAGUCGUGCUCGGCAGACUUGGAGAUGAAUCUGCUUAGCGCGGCAAUGCAUCCUAUCAGACGCGUCACAUCCUUAAAUGUCCUUGUUAGGAUUGGCUUCGAUCCCCCGAUGGGACACAAAGAACCCAAGCAGCUUGCCAGAUGGAACGCCAAACACACACUUCUUCGGGUUAGGCUUCAAGUUGAUCUUGCGCAGAUUAGCAAAUGUCUCCUCCAAAUCCUGAAUAAGGGUGGCUCUAUCCUUGGUCUUAGCCACAAUAUCAUCCAUAUAAGCUUCAAUGUUUCUGUGCAACUGUGGCUCGAAACCAAUCUGGACUGCCCUUGCAAAAGUGGACCCGGCACUCUUUAACCCAAAUGGCAUGCGGAUAAUACAGUACGUACCACAUUGAGUGAUGAACGAUGUCUUCUCUUCAUCUUCCUUAGACAUGAAGAUUUGGUGAUACCCAGAAUAUGCAUCCUAAAAGGAGAGCAAAUCGCAGCCUGAAGUGGAAUCCACAAUCUGAUCGAUGCUCGUCAAGGGAAACGGGUCCUUCGGGCAAGCUUUGUUGAGAUCGGUGAAAUCUAUGCAAAGCCUCUGUUGGGGAACGUAGUAAUUUCAAAAAAAAUCCUACGCACACACAGGAUCAUGGUGAUGCAUAGCAACGAGAGGGGAGAGUGUGUCCACGUACCCUCGUAGACCGAAAGCGGAAGCGUUAGCACAACGCGGUUGAUGUAGUCAUACGUCUUCACGAUCCGACCGAUCAAGUACCGAACGCACGGCACCUCCGAGUUCAUCACAUGUUCAACUCGAUGACGUCCCCUCGAACUCCGAUCCAGCCGAGCUUUGAGGGAGAGUUCCGUCAGCCCGACGGCGUGGUGACGAUGAUGAUGUUCUACCGACGCAGGGCUUCGCCUAAGCACCGCUAUGAUAUUAUCGAGGUGGAUUAUGGUGGAGGGGGCACUGCACACGGCUAAGAGAUCCAAGGGAUCAAUUGUUGUGUCUAUGGGGUGCUCCCCUCCUCCGUAUAUAAAGGGGGGGGGGAGAGGGCCGGCCAAGGGGAGGAGGCGCGCCCAAGGGGGGCAAUCCUACUCCAAGUAGGAUUCCCCCCUCUUUCCUAGUCCAAGUACGAGAGGAGAAGGAAGGGGAGGAGGACAAGAAGGAAAGGGGGGCGGCCCCCUAGUCCAAUUCGGUUUGGGCUAGGGGGGCUGCGCACCCCUAGCUGGCCGCCUCUCCUCUUCCACCACUUGGGCCCAUGAGGCCCAAUAACCCCCCGGGGGGUUCCGGUAACCCCCCGAUACUCCGGUAUAUGCUCGAUACUCUUCGAAACCAUUCCGGUGUCCGAACAUAGUCGUCCAAUAUAUCAAUCUUUACGUCUCGACCAUUUCGAGACUCCUCGUCAUGUCCGUGAUCACAUCCGGGACUCCGAACUACCUUCGGUACAUCAAAAAACAUAAACUCAUAAUAUAACCGUCAUCGAACUUUAAGCGUGCGGACCCUACGGGUUCGAGAACUAUGUAGACAUGACCGAGACACGUCUCCGGUCAAUAACCAAUAGCGGAACCUAGAUGCUCAUAUUGGCUCCCACAUAUUCUACAAAGAUCUUUAUCGGUCAAACCGCAUAACAACAUACGUUGUUCCCUUUGUCAUCGAUAUGUUACUUGCCCGAGAUUCGAUCGUCGGUAUCUCAAUACCUAGAUCAAUCUCGUUACCGGCAAGUCUCUUUACUCGUUCCAUAGUACAUCAUCCCGCAACUAACUCAUUAGUUGCAAUGCUUGCAAGGCUUAUAAUGAUGUGCAUUACCGAGUGGGCCUAGAGAUACCUCUCCGACAAUCAGAGUGACAAAUCCUAAUCUUUAAAUACGCCAACCCAACAAGUACCUUCGGAGACACCUGUAGAGCACCUUUAUAAUCACCCAGUUACGUUGUGACGUUUGGUAGCACACAAAGUGUUCCUCCGGUAAACGGGAGUUGCAUAAUCUCAUAGUCAUAGGAACAUGUAUAAGUCAUGAAGAAAGCAAUAGCAACAUACUAAACGAUCAAGUGCUAAGCUAACGGAAUGGGUCAUGUCAAUCACAUCAUUCUCCUAAUGAUGUGAUCCCGUUAAUCAAAUGACAAUUCUUUGUCUAUGGCUAGGAAACAUAACCAUCUUUGAUCAACAAGCUAGUCAAGUAGAGGCAUACUAGUGACACGCUGUUUGUCUAUGUAUUCACACAUGUAUUAUGUUUCCGGUUAAUACAAUUCUAGCAUGAAUAAUAAACAUCUAUCAUGAUAUAAGGAAAUAAAUAAUAACUUUAUUAUUGCCUCUAGGGCAUAUUUCCUUCAGUCUCCCACUUGCACUAGAGUCAAUAAUCUAGAUUACACAGCAAUGAUUCUAACACCCAUGGAGCCUUAGUGCUGAUAAUGUUUUGCUCGUGGUAGAGGCUUAGUCAACGGGUCUGCAACAUUCAGAUCCGUAUGUAUUUUGAAAAUCUCUAUGUCUCCCACCUGGACUUGAUCCCGGAUGGAGUUGAAGCGUCUCUUGAUGUGCUUGGUUCUCUUGUGAAAUCUGGAUUCCUUUGCCAAAGCAAUUGCACCAGUAUUGUCACAAAAGAUUUUCAUUGGACCCGAUGCACUAGGUAUGACACCUAGAUCGGAUAUGAACUCCUUCAUCCAGACUCCUUCAUUUGCUGCUUCCGAAGCAGCUAUGUACUCCGCUUCACAUGUAUAUCCCGCUACGACGCUUUGUUUAGAACUGCACCAACUGACAGCUCCACCAUUUAAUAAAAACACGUAUCAGGUUUGUGAUUUAGAAUCGUCCGGAUCAGUGUCAAAGCUUGCAUCGACGUAACCAUUUACGACGAGCUUUUUGUCACCUUCAUAAACAAGAAACAUAUCCUUAGUCCUUUUCAGGUAUUUCAGGAUGUUCUUGACCGCUGUCCAAUGAUCCACUCCUGGAUUACUUUGGUACCUCCCUGCUAAACUAAUAGCAGGGCACACAUCAGGUCUGGUACACAGCAUUGCAUACAUGAUAGAGCCUAUGGCUGAAGCAUAGGGAACAUCUUUCAUUUUCUCUCUAUCUUCUACAGUGGUCGGGCAUUGAGUCGUAGUCAACUUCACACCUUGUAACAUAGGCAAGAACCCUUUCUUUGCUUGAUCCAUUUUGAACCUCUUCAAAACUUUGUCAAGGUAUGUGCUUUUUGAAAGUCCAAUUAAGCGUCUCGAUCUAUCUCUAUUGAUCUUGAUGCCCAAUAUACAAGCAGCUUCACCGAGGUCCUUCACUGAAAAACUCUUAUUCAAAUAUCCUUUUAUGCUAUCCAGAAAUUCUAUAUCAUUUCCAAUGAACAAUAUGUCAUCCACAUAUAAUAUCAGAAAUGCUACAGAGCUCCCACUCACUUUCUUGUAAAUACAGGCUUCUCCAAAAGUCUGUAUAAAACCAUAUGCUUUGAUCACACUAUCAAAACAUUUAUUCCAACUCCGAGAGGCUUGCACCAGUUGCUACCUCUUGAGCACUGCGUUGGUUUUCCCUUGAAGAGGAAAGGGUGAUGCAGCAAAGUAGCGUAAGUAUUUCCCUCAGUUUUUGAGAACCAAGGUAUCAAUCCAGUAGGAGGCUACGCGCGAGUCCCUCGCACCUACACAAAACAAAUAAAUCCUUGCAACCAACGCGAUAAGGGGUUGUCAAUCCCUUCACCGUCACUUACGAGAGUGAGAUCUGAUAGAUAUGAUAGGAUAAUAUUUUUGGUAUUUUUGUGAUAAAGAUGCAAAGUAAAAUAAAAGCAAAGUAAAAGCAAAGGAAAUAACUAAGUGUUGGAAGAUUAAUAUGAUGAAGAUAGACCCGGGGGCCAUAGGUUUCACUAGUGGCUUCUCUCGAGAGCAUAAGUAUUUUACGGUGGGUGAACGAAUUACUGUUGAGCAAUUGACAGAAUUGAGCAUAGUUAUGAGAAUAUCUUGGUAUGAUCAUGUAUAUAGGCAUCACGUCCGAGACAAGUAGACCGAAUCCUGCCUGCAUCUACUACUAUUACUCCACUCAUCGACCGCUAUCCAGCAUGCAUCUAGAGUAUUAAGUUCAUGAAAACAGAGUAACGCCUUAAGCAAGAUGACAUGAUGUAGAGGGAUAAAUUCAUGCAAUAUGACAAAAAAAACCGUCUUGUUAUCCUCGAUGGCAACAAUACAAUACAUGCCUUGCUGCCCCUACUGUCACUGGGAAAGGACGCCGCAAGAUUGAACCCAAAGCUAAGCACUUCUCCCAUUGCAAGAAAGAUCAAUCUAGUAGGCCAAACCAAACUGAUAAUUCGAAGAGACUUGCAAAGAUAACCAAUCAUACAUAAAAGAAUUCAGAGAAGAUUCAAAUAUUGUUCAUAGAUAAACUUGAUCAUAAACCCACAAUUCACCGGUCUCAACAAACACACCGCAAAAGAAGAUUACAUCGAAUAGAUCUCCAUGAGAGAGGGGGAGAACAUUGUAUUGAGAUCCAAAAAGAGAGAAGAAGCCAUCUAGCUACUAACUAUGGACCCGAAGGUCUGAAGUAAACUACUCACACUUCAUCGGAGAGGCUAUGGUGUUGAUGUAGAAGCCCUCCAUGAUGGAUGCCCCCUCCGGCGGAGCUCGGGAACAGGCCCCAAGAUGGGAUCUCGUGGGUACAGAAGGUUGCGGCGGUGGAAUUAGGUUUUUGGCUCCGUAUCUGAUCGUUUGGGGGUACGUAGGUAUAUAUAGGAGGAAGGAGUACGUCGGUGGAGCAACAGGGGGCCCACGAGGGUGGAGGGCGCGCCCUGGGGGGUAGGCGUGCCCCCUACCUCGUGACCUCCUCCUUUGUUCCUUGACGUAGGGUCCAAGUCUCCUGGAUCAUAUUCUUCCUAAAAAUCACGUUCCCGAAGGUUUCAUUCCGUUUGGACUCCAUUUGAUAUUCCUUUUCUGCGAAACUCUGAAAUAGGCAAAAAACAGCAAUUCUGGGCUGGGCCUCCGGUUAAUAGGUUAGUCCCAAAAAUAAUAUAAAAGUGAAUAAUAAAGCACAAUAAUGUCCAAAACAGUAGAUAAUAUAGCAUGGAGCAAUCAAAAAUUAUAGAUACGUUGGAGACGUAUCAAGCAUCCCCAAGCUUAAUUCCUGCUCGUCCUCGAGUAGGUAAAUGAUAAAAACAGAAUUUUUGAUGCGGAGUGCUACUUGGCAUAAUUUCAAUGUAAUUCUUCUUAAUUGUGGUAUGAAUAUUCAGAUCUGAAAGAUUCAAGACAAAAGUUUAAUAUUGACAUAAAAAUAAUAAUAAUACUUCAAGCAUACUAACAAAGCAAUCAUGUCUUCUCAAAAUAACAUGGCCAAAGAAAGUUAUCCCUACAAAAUCAUAUAGUCUGGCUAUGCUCUAUCUUCACCACACAAAGUAUUUAAAUCAUGCACAACCCCAAUGACAAGCCAAGCAAUUGUUUCAUACUUUUGACGUUCUCAAACUUUUUCAAUCUUCACGCAAUACAUGAGCGUGAGCCAUGGACAUAGCACUAUAUGUGGAAUAGAAUGGUGGUUGUGGAGAAGACAAAAAGGGAGAAGAUAGUCUCACAUCAACUAGGCGUAUCAACGGGCUAUGGAGAUGCCCAUCAAUAGAUAUCAAUGUGAGUGAGUAGGGAUUGCCAUGCAACGGAUGCACUAGAGCUAUACGUAUAUGAAAGCUCAACAAAAGAAACUAAUUGGGUGUGCAUCCAACUCGCUUGCUCACGAAGACCUAGGGCAUUUUGAGGAAGCCCAUCAUUGGAAUAUACAAGCCAAGUUCUAUAAUGAAAAUUUCCCACUAGUAUAUGAAAGUGACAAAAUGAGAGACUCUCUAUCAUGAAGAUCAUGGUGCUACUUUGAAGCACAAGUGUGGUAAAAGCAUAGUAACAUUGUCCCUUCUCUCUUUUUCUCUCAUUUUUCUAUUUGGGCCUUUUUUUUAUGGCCUCUUUUUUUUCGUCCGGAGUCUCAUCCCGACUUCUGGGGGAAUCAUAGUCUCCAUCAUCCUUUCCUCACUUGGGACAAUGCUCUAAAAAUGAAGAUCAUCACACUUUUAUUGUCUUACAACUCAACAAUUACAACUCGAUACUUAGAACAAAAUAUGACUCUAUAUGAAUGCCUCCGGCGGUGUACCGGGAUAUGCAAUGAAUCAAGAGUGACAUGUAUGAAAGAAUUAUGAACGGUGGCUUUGCCACAAAUACGAUGUCAACUACAUGAUCAUGCAAAGCAAUAUGACAAUGAUGGAGCAUGUCAUAAUAAACGGAAUGGUGGAAAGUUGCAUGGCAAUAUAUCUCGGAAUGGCUAUGGAAAUGCCAUGAUAGGUAGGUAUGGUGGCUGUUUUGAGGAUGGUUUAUGGUGGGUGUAUGAUACCGGUGAAAAGUGCGCGGUAUUAGAGAGGCUAGCAAUGGUGGAAGGAAGAAGAGUGCGUAUAGUCCAUGGACUCAACAUUAGUCAUAAAGAACUCAUAUACUUAUUGUAAAAAUCUACAAGUUAUCAAAGCAAAGUAUUACGCGCAUGCUCCUAGGGGGAUAGAUUUGUAGGAAAAGACCAUCGCUCAUCCCCGACCGCCACUCAUAAGGAAGACAAUCAAUAAGUAAAUCAUGCUCCGACUUCAUCACAUAACGGUUCACCAUACGUGCAUGCUACGGGAAUCACAAACUUUAACACAAGUAUCUCUCAAAUUCACAACUACUCAACUAGCAUGACUCUAAUAUCACCAUCUUUAUAUCUCAAAACAAUUAUCAAGCAUCAACUUUUCAUAGUAUUCAACACACUUAUAAGAAUUUUUUACUAUUAUUGAAUACCAAGCAUAUUAGGAUUAUUCAAGCAAUUACCAUGCUAUUCAAGACUCUCAAAAUAAAAUAAGUGAAGCAUGAGAGAUCAAUAGUUUCUAUAAAACAAAUCCACCACUGUGCUCUAAAAGAUAUAAGUGAAGUACUAGAGCAAAACUAUAUAACUCAAAAGAUAUAAGUGAAGCACAUAGAGUAUUCUAACAAAUUCCAAAUCAUGUAUGGCUCUCUCAAAAGGUGUGUACAGAAAGGAUGAUUGUGGUAAACUAAAAGGCAAAGACUCAAAUCAUACAAGACGCUCCAAGCAAAACACAUAUCAUGUGGUGAAUAAAAAUAUAGCUUCAAGUAAAGUUACCGAUGGAAGUAGACGAAAGAGGGGAUGCCUUCCGGGGCAUCCCCAAGCUUUGGCUUUAUGGUGUCCUUAGAUUAUCUUGGGGGUUCCAUGGGCAUCCCCAAGCUUAGGCUCUUGCCACUCGUUGUUCCAUAAUCCAUCAAAUCUUUGACCCAAAACUUGAAAACUUCACAACACAAAACUUAACAGAAAAUCUCGUGAGCUCCGUUAGCGAAAGAAAACAAAAGACCACUUCAAGGUACUGUAAUGAACUCAUUCUUUAUUUAUAUUGGUGUUAAACCUACUGUAUUCCAACUUCUCUAUGGUUUAUAAACUAUUUUACUAGCCAUAGAUUCAUCAAAAUAAGCAAACAACAGAUGGAAAACAGAAUCUGUCAAAAACAGAACAGUCUGUAGCAAUCUGUAACUAACUUAAACUUAUGGAACUCCAAAAUAGGAAGACCUAGACAAUUUGUUUAUUGAUCAGCAGCAAUUGGAAUCACUAUUUUAUCACUUCCUGGUGAUUUUUAACAAUUGUUUUCGUGAACAGAAAGUUUCUGGAAAUUUCUGCAAGAUCAAAUAACUAUCAUCCAAGAAGAUCCUAUAGGUUUAACUUGGCACAAACACUAAUUAAAACAUAAAAACGCAUCUAACCAGAGGCUAGAACAAAUAUUUAUUCCUAAACAGAAGCAAAAAGCAAAAAAAAACUAAAAAUAAAAUUGGGUUGCCUCCCAACAAGCGCUAUCGUUUAAUGCCCCUAGCUAGGCAUAAAAGCAAGGAUAGAUCUAGGUAUUGCCAUCUUUGGUAGGCAAUCCAUAAAUGGCUCUCAUGAUAGAUUCAUAUGGUAAUUUUAUUUUCUUCCUAGGGAAGUGUUCCAUGCCUUUAUUAAAUGUAAAUUGGAAUCUAAUAUUCCCUUCCUUCAUAUCAAUAAUUGCACCAAUCGUUCUAAGGAAAGGUCUACCAAGAAUAAUAGGACAUGAAGGAUUGCAAUCUAUAUCAAGAACGAUAAAAUCUACGGGCACAUAAUUCCUAUUUGCAACAAUAAGAACAUCAUUAAUUCUUCCCAUAGGUUUCUUAAUAGUGGAAUCUGCAAGGUGCAAGUUUAGAGAGCAAUCAUCAAAAUCACGGAAAUCUAGCAAAUCGCACAAAGUUUUGGGAAUAGUGGAAACACUAGCACCCAAAUCACAUAAAGCAUAGAACUCAUGAUCCUUAAUCUUAAUUUUAAUAGUAGGUUCCCACUCAUCAUAAAGUUUUCUAGGAAUAGAAACUUCCAACUCAAGCUUCUCUUCAUAAGAUUGCAUCAAGGCAUCAACGAUAUGUUUAGUAAACGCUUUAUUUUGACUAUAAGCAUGAGGAGAAUUUAGCACGGAUUGCAACAAGGAAAUACAAUCUAUCAAAGAGCAAUUUUCAUAAUUAAAUUCCUUGAAAUCCAAAAUAGUGGGUUUAGCAACAUCUAGGGUUUUGAUCUCUUCAAUCCCACUUUUAUCAAUUUUGGCAUCAAGAUCUAAAAACUCUGAAUUUUUGGAAUGCCUUCUAGGAAAAGGUGGAUCAUAUUCAGUCCCAUCAUUAUCAAGAUUCAUAUUGCAAAACAAACAUUUAAUAGGAGACACAUCAAUAACUUUUAGAUCUUCAUCUUUAUUUUCAUAGAAAUUUGAAGAACGCGCUUUCAUAAAGAAAUCUUUCUUAGCAUGCAUUCUAGCGGUUCUUUCUUUGCACUCAUCAAUGGAAAUUCUCAUGGCUUUGAGAGAAUCAUUGAUAUCAUGCUUAGGAGGAAUAGAUCUAAGCUUUAAAGAAUCAAGAUCAAGAGAAAUUCUAUCAACGUUCCUAACCAAUUCAUCAACUUUAAGCAAUUUCUCUUCAAGCAAAGCAUUGAAAUUCUUUUGCGAAUUCAUAAACUCUUUAACACUAGUCUUUAAUUCAGAGGGCAUCUUAUUAAAAUUUCCAUAAGAGUUGUUGUAGGAAUUACCAUAAUUAUUAUAGGAAUUUCUAGGAUAAGGCCUAGGAUUAAAGUUUCCUCUAUACGCGUUGUUACCAAAAUUAUUCCUACCAACAAAAUUCACAUCCAUAGAUUCAUUAUUAUUCUCAAUCAAAGUAGACAAAGGCAUAUCAUUAGGAUCAGAAGAAACACUCUUAGUAGCAAAUAAUUUCAUAAGUUCGUCCAUCUUUCCACUCAAAACAUUAAUUUCUUCUAUCGCAUGCACUUUUUUAUUAGUAGAUCUUUCAGUGUGCCAUUGAGAAUAAUUAACCAUAAUAUUAUCUAGGAAUUUAGUAGCUUCUCCUAAAGUGAUUUCCAUAAAAGUGCCUCCCGCGGCCGAAUCUAAAAGAUUUCUAGAAGCAAAAUUCAAUCCGGCAUAAAUUUUUUGUAUAAUCAUCCAUAAAUUCAAACCAUGAGUAGGGCAAUUACGUAUCAUUAAUUUCAUCCUCUCCCAUGCUUGUGCAACAUCUUCAUGAUCAAGUUGCUUAAAAUUCAUAAUAUCGUUUCCAAGAGAGAUGAUCUUAGCGGGAGGAAAAUACUUAGAGAUAAAAGCAUCUUUGCACUUGUUCCAAGAAUCAAUACUAUUUUAGGCAAAGACGAAAACCAAGCUUUAGCACGAUCUAUAAGUGAAAAAGGAAACAGCUUUAGUUUAACAAUAUCAUUGCCAAUAUCUUUCUUCUUUUGCAUAUCACACAAAUCAACGAAGCUAUUUAGAUGAGUAGCGGCAUCUUCACUAGGAAGGUCGGCGAAUUGAUCUUUCAUGACAAGAUUCAACAAAGCAGCAUUGAUUUGACAAGAUUCAGUAUCGGUAAGAGGAGCAAUCGGAGUGCUAAGGAAAUCAUUAUUGUUGGUAUUGGUAAAGUCACAUAAUUUGGUAUUAUCUUGAGCCAUCGUGACAAACAAGCAAUCCAACACAUGAGCAACCAAAAAGCAAGCGAAAAAGAGGCGAACGAAAAAGAGAGGGCGAAUAAAAUGGCAAGGGUGAAGUGGGGGAGAGGAAAACAAGAGGCAAAUGGAAAAUAAUGUAAUGCGGGAGAUAAGGGAUUGUGAUGGGUACUUGGUAUGUUGACUUUUGCGUAGACCUCCCCGGCAACGGCGCCAGAAAUCCUUCUUGCUACCUCUUGAGCACUGCGUUGGUUUUCCCUAGAAGAGGAAAGGGUGAUGCAGCAAAGUAGCGUAAGUAUUUCCCUCAGUUUUUGAGAACCAAGGUAUCAAUCCAGUAGGAGGCUACGCGCGAGUCCCUCGCACCUACACAAAACAAAUAAAUCCUCGCAACCAACGCGAUAAGGGGUUGUCAAUCCCUUCACGGUCACUUACGAGAGUGAGAUCUGAUAGAUAUGAUAGGAUAAUAUUUUUGGUAUUUUUGUGAUAAAGAUGCAAAGUAAAAUAAAAGCAAAGUAAAAGCAAAGGAAAUAACUAAGUGUUGGAAGAUUAAUAUGAUGAAGAUAGACCCGGGGGCCAUAGGUUUCACUAGUGGCUUCUCUCGAGAGCAUAAGUAUUUUACGGUGGGUGAACGAAUUAUUGUUGAGCAAUUGACAGAAUUGAUCAUAGUUAUGAGAAUAUCUAGGUAUGAUCCUGUAUAUAGGCAUCACGUCCGAGACAAGUAGACCGACUCCUGCCUGCAUCUACUACUAUUACUCCACUCAUCGACCGCUAUCCAGCAUGCAUCUAGAGUAUUAAGUUCAUGAAAACAGAGUAACGCCUUAAGCAAGAUGACAUGAUGUAGAGGGAUAAAUUCAUGCAAUAUGAUAAAAACCCCAUCUUGUUAUCCUCGAUGGCAACAAUACAAUACGUUCCUUGCUGCCCCUACUGUCACUAGGAAAGGACACCACAAGAUUGAACCCAAAGCUAAGCACUUCUCCCAUUGCAAGAAAGAUCAAUCUAGUAGGCCAAACCAAACUGAUAAUUUGAAGAGACUUGCAAAGAUAACCAAUCAUACAUAAAAGAAUUCAGAGAAGAUUCAAAUAUUGUUCAUAGAUAAACUUGAUGAUAAACCCAAAAUUCAUCGGUCUCAACAAACACACCGCAAAAGAAGAUUACAUCGAAUAGAUCUCCACGAGAAAGGGGGAGAACAUUGUAUUGAGAUCCCAAAAGAGAGAAGAAGCCAUCUAGCUACUAUCUAUGGACCCGAAGGUCUGAAGUAAACUACUCACACUUCAUCGGAGAGGCUAUGGUGUUGAUGUAGAAGUCCUCCGUGAUGGAUGCCCCCUCCGGCGGAGCUCCGGAACAGGCCCCAAGAUGGGAUCUCGUGGGUACCGAAGGUUGCGUCGGUGGAAUUAGGUUUUUGGCUCCGUAUCUGAUCGUUUGGGGGUACGUAGGUAUAUAUAGGAGGAAGGAGUACGUCGGUGGAGCAACAGGGGGCCCACGAGGGUGGACGGCACGCCCCUGGGGGGUAGGCGCGCCCCCUACCUCGUGGCCUCCUCCUUUGUUUCUUGACGUAGGGUCCAAGUCUCCUGGAUCAUAUUCUUCUUAAAAAUCACGUUCCCGGAGGUUUCAUUCCGUUUGGACUCCGUUUGAUAUUCCUUUUCUGUGAAACUCUGAAAUAGGCAAAAAACAGCAAUUCUAGGCUGGGCCUCCGGUUAAUAGGUUAGUCCCAAAAAUAUUAUAAAAGUGAAUAAUAAAGCCCAAUAAUGUCCAAAACAGUAGAUAAUAUAGCAGGGAGCAAUCAAAAAUUAUAGAUACAUUGGAGACGUAUCACCAGUCCAUAAAUGGAUCGCUGGAGCUUGCACACUUUGUUAGCUCCCUUUGGAUCGACAAAACCUUCCGGUUGCAUCAUAUACAACUCUUCUUCCAGAAAUCCAUUCAGGAAUGCAGUUUUGACAUCCAUUUGGCAAAUUUCAUAAUCAUAAAAUGCGGCAAUUGCUAACAUGAUUCGGACAGACUUAAGCAUAGCCACGGGUGAGAAGGUCUCAUCGUAGUCAAUCCCUUGAACUUGUCGAAAACCUUUUGCAACAAGUCGAGCUUUAUAGACAGUAACAUUACCGUCAGCGUCAGUCUUCUUCUUGAAGAUCCAUUUAUUCUCGAUGGCUUGCCGAUCAUCGGGCAAGUCAACCAAAGUCCAUACUUUGUUCUCAUACAUGGAUCCCAUCUCGGAUUUCAUGGCCUCAAGCCAUUUUGCGGAAUCUGGGCUCACCAUCGCUUCUUCAUAGUUCGUAGGUUCAUCAUGGUCUAGUAACAUAACCUCCAGAACAAGAUUACCGUACCACUCUGGUGCGGAUCUUACUCUGGUUGACCUACGAGGUUCAGUAAUAACUUGAUCUGAAGUUUCAUGAUCAUCAUCAUUAACUUCCUCACUAAUUGGUGUAGACGUCACAGGAACCGGUUUCUGUGAUGAACUAUUUUCCAAUAAGGGAGAAGGUACUGUUACCUCAUCAAGUUCUACUUUCCUCCCACUCACUUCUUUCGAGAGAAACUCCUUCUCUAGAAAGGAUCCAAAUUUAGCAACAAAACUCUUGCCUUCAGAUCUGUGAUAGAAGGUGUACCCAACAAUUUCUUUUGGGUAUCCCAUGAAGACACAUUUCUCUGAUUCGGGUUCGAGCUUAUCAGGUUGAAGCUUUUUCACAUAAGCAUCGCAGCCCCAAACUUUAAGAAACGACAACUUUGGUUUCUUGCCAAACCACAGUUCAUAAGGCGUCGUCUCAACAGAUUUUGAUGGUGCCCUAUUUAACGUGAAUGCAGCCAUCUCUAAAGCAUAACCCCAAAACGAUAGCGGUAAAUCAGUAAGAGACAUCAUAGAUCGCGCCAUAUCUAGUAAAGUAUGAUUACGACGUUCGGACACACCAUUACGCUGUGGUGUUCCAGGUGGCGUGAGUUGCAAAACUAUUCCGCAUUGUUUCAAAUGUAGACCAAACUCGUAACUCAAAUAUUCUCCUCCAUAAUCAGAUCGUAGAAACUUUAUUUUCUUGUUACGGUGGUUUUCCACUUCACUCUGAAAUUCUUUGAACUUUUCAAAUGUUUCAGACUUAUGUUUCAUUAAGUAGAUAUACCCAUAUCUGCUUAAAUCAUCUGUGAAGGUGAGAAAAUAACGAUACCCGCGGCGAGCCUCAACAUUCAUUGGACCACAUACAUCUGUAUGUAUGAUUUCCAACAAAUCUGUUGCUCGCUCCAUAGUUCCAGAGAACGGCGUUUUAGUCAUCUUGCCCAUGAGGCACGGUUCGCAAGUACCAAGUGAUUCAUAAUCAAGUGGUUCCAAAAGUCCAUCGGUAUGGAGUUUCUUCAUGCGCUUUACACCAAUAUUGUAACACCCCGGAUGUAACUUUCCAUAUUUGUAACUCCAACUCUUGCCAUUUCUGGCUAUGUGUUAUGAUAUUCCCUUCAUGGUCGGGUUUUGUCUUUUGUUUUGCAUUUUUUUCAUGUCAUGCAUCUCAUACCAUGUCAUCAUGUGCAUUGCUUUUGCAUACGUGUUCGUCUCAUGCAUCCGAGCAUUUUCCCCGUUGUCCGUUUUGUAAUCCGGCACUCCCACCUCCUCCGGCGCACCCCUCUUGUUUUCUUUUCGUAAGCGGGUGUUGAACGUUCUCGGAAUGGACCGAGGCUUGUCAAGUGGCCUUGGUAUACCACCGGGAGACCACCGGUCAAGUUUCGUUACAUUUGGAGGUCGUUUGGUACUCCAACGGUUAACCGGGUAACCGCAGAUGCCUUUUAUGUGUUGCAGCAAAAAACCCCUCCAAACAGCCCAAAACCCCUCUAAGUCAUCUCCAUGCUCUAGGUCGUUCGAUCACGAUCGUGUGGGCGAAAACCGCACUCCAUUUGGAGUCUCCUAGCUCCCUCUAGCUAUAUAUAUGUGAGUCCCCCCGAAACAUUCGCAGAUCAAACCCUAAAAUCGCCCCUCCGCGCGCCGGACGUGUCCGUACCGCCGCCGGACGAACCCGCCACCGCCCUCGCCCACUCGCAGAGUGCCACAUGGCAGCCCGUACGCCGGCCGCCGCCGAAGCCCGCGAGCCCGGGGCCGGCCCCCGCGGCCCGCAACGCUGCCGGCCGCCCGGGUCCCCGCUCCCCGCCGCCCGAGCGCCCUCCCCGCGCCGCCUCCUCUCCGCCAUCGCCGCCACGCCGCCGCUGCAGCACCCCGCGCCGCCUCCUCUCCGCCGGCGCCGCCGCGCCUCGCCGUCUCCAGCGCCGCCCGAGCCCUGCUCCCCUCGCCGCCGUCUCCCUCUCCCUCCUCUCCGCCGGCGCCGCCCCUCUCCAUCUCCGGCAGCAGCUCCGGCCGCCCCGUCGCCUCUACCUCCGGCGAGCUUCGGCAGGCCAGAUCUGGAUCGAACCUAGGUUGACUUUUUCCCCCUGUCAAAAUAUUUCUAAGUCCUAAUAUUUUUACAGUACUUGCCCCUGUUCAUCGCAUCAUAACUCUCUGCAUAUAGCUCCGUAUCGCGUGUGUAAUAUGUCGAAAUGUUCGCCUCUUGAUGAUCUACAUUUUUUUCCAUUGCACCAUGUUCAUUUGAGUCCAUCUUGAUGUCCAAAUCUCUGGUGCAAGAGUGCUACUUGCUGUUAACUGCUGUUACUUAUCAGAACUUGGAGAUUUGUUAUUUUUGUUGCAUUUAAUCUGUGCAUCUUAUGAGUAUGAGCUCUACUUGGGUUUUGUUGUAUGCCAUGCCAUCUUUAUAGAGGUGUAUGACAUGUAUUUCUGUGAUCUCUGUGGUGACUAGCCCAAGCAUGCAAACUAGGCUUCGUAAUGUUUCUGAUUUCAGGGACUUGGUAAUUUUACCAAGUCUGUGACUGCGGUUAUUUUGUUGCUAUGUAUCCAUGUGGUUACAGAGAGAUCCAUGCUUAUUUUGGUGAUGUUCAAUAAGGAUGUUUUGUAGAUAUUAUUGUAAUUGAUCCAUUAAUGCCCUUGUUUGCAAUUAUGGAGUGCCAUAGCAUGACUAAAUCUUGCUCUACUUUUUGCUAUAAAAUAUUUCUGGCAGAUUCUUAACAUGAUAUUCAAUUUUGCCAAGCUUUUUGUAGUUGUUUCAUACAUGCUAUGUAUUUGCUCUUGCCAUGGAUAGCUUCAAACACAUGCCAUCUUGCUGUAGGUAUGCUUGUUUUUUCAUGAAUGUCUUUGUGGUGGGUGCAUCAAGCUCACCAAGAUGCCUUCAUAUUAUUGUUUCUGCCAUGCUCUGUUUUCUGCUAAGUCUGAAACCUGUUAACGAAACUUGCUAUGUUUAUAUGGUUACCAUCAUAUCUUCUGGUCCUUUUUUGCUUAUGGUCAUUAAGGGACUUUUGUCAUAUGCAUUUAGUAGAAUACUUCCAUGCCUUGUUUUGCCAUGUUAAGUUCCCGUAGCAUGUUUAUUUCGUGCUCUGAACAUUGCUACGUGAUGCUGUUUCAGUCAUGUCCAGUAAUUUCACUAAGUCUGUAAACCUGUUAUCUUUUGCACUUUUGCCAUGCUUGUUUGAGCCUGCUAUAUUGUGAUCUAGCCGUAGCUCAGUGUUCAUCUUUUGUCAAGCAUCUCCUGUAGAUUACUUUCAUAUGCUUUGUUGCUAUGUUGGAGUGCUGUAGCAUAGUUUCUCGGUGUAUUUUAAGUGCUAUCAUGCUGUUAAUUGCAGAUUCCUGUCAUUCUUGUUUUGCUUGCCAUUUGCAAACCGUGCAUCCGUUUCCGGUGAUCUUUAUAUCGGUUUCGACCGAAAUCAUCUCAUCUUUCGAGUGGCAUACUUGGUUUGCCAAGUUACUGCCUUGUUCAUCAUUUUCCUUCCGGAGCACGCAUAUGCAUAUCAUAUCUUGCAUAUCAUUCGUGUAUUGCAUCAUUUUGCUUGUGCAUUUCCCGUGAUUGAUUGUGGUUCCGUUGCUUGUGUUCUUAUUUUGGGUAGAGCCGGGAGACGAGUUCGUGAACGAGGAACCUGUUGAGUACGUUUACGAGGAUCAAGCUUUCGACAACUCUGAGAACCUUGCAGGCAAGAUGACCACACCCUCGAAAUCACUUCUAUCUUUGCUUUGCUAGUUGUUCGUUCUAUUGCCAUGGUGCGCUACCUACCACUUGCUAUAUCAUGCCUCCCAUAUUGCCAUGUCAGCCUCUAACCAUCCUUUCCUAGCAAACCGUUGUUUGGCUAAGUUACCGCUUUUGCUCAGCCCUUCUUAUAGCGUUGCUAGUUGCAGGUGAAGAAGUUUGUUCCAUGUUGGAACAUGGAUAUGUUGGGAUAUCACAAUAUCUCUUAUUUAAUUAAUGCAUCUAUAUAUUUGGUAAAGGGUGGAAGGCUCGGCCUUAUGCCUGGUGUUUUGUCCCACUUUUGCCGCCCUAGUUUCCGUCUUACCGGUAUUAUGUUCCUUGAGUUUGCGUUCCUUACGCGGUUGGGUGAUUUAUGGGACCCCCUUGACAGUUCGCCUUGAAUAAAACUCCUCCAGCAAGGCCCAACCUUGGUUUUACCAUUUUCCACCUAAGCCUUUUCCCCCGGGUUUUCGCGAGCCUGAGGGUCAUCUUUAUUUAAACCCCCGGGCCAGUGUUCCUCUAAGUGCUGGUCCAAACUAGAGCCACUUGCAGCGCCACCUUGGGGAAACUCGAGGAUUGGUUUUAGUUGUACAUAGUGUUCAUCCGGUGUGCCCUGAGAACGAGAUAUGUGCAGCUCCUAUCGGGAUUUGUCGGCACAUUCGGGCGGCUUUGCUGGUCUUGUUUUACCAUUGUCGAAAUGUCCUAUAAACCGGGAUUCCGAGACUGAUCGGGUCUUCCUGGGAGAAGGUUUAUCCUUCGUUGACCGUGAGAGCUUAUGACGGGCUAAGUUGGGACACCCCUGCAGGGUAUUAUCUUUCGAAAGCCGUGCCCGCGGUUAUGAGGCAGAUGGGAAUUUGUUAAUGUCCGGUUGUAGAGAACUUGUCACUUGACCCAAUUAAAAUACAUCAACCGUGUGUGUAGCCGUGAUGGUCUCUUCUCGGCGGAGUCUGGGAAGUGAACACGGUUUGAGUUAUGCAUGAACGUAAGUAGUUUCAGGAUCACUUCUUGAUCAUUUCUAGCUUCGCGACCGUUGCGUUGCUUCUCUUCUCGCUCUCAUUUGCGUAUGUUAGCCACCAUAUAUGCUUAUUGCCUGCUGCAGCUCCACCUCAUUACACCAUCCUUUCCUAUAAGCUUAAAUAGUCUUGAUCUCGCGGGUGUGAGAUUGCUGAGUCCUCGUGACUCACAGAUUCUACCAAAACAGUUGCAGGUGCCGACGAUGCCAGUGCAGGUGACGCAACCGAGCUCAAGUGGGAGUUCGAUGAGGAACGUGGCCGUUACUAUGUGUCUUUUCCCGAUGAUCAGUAGUGGAGCCCAGUCGGGACGAUCGGGGAUCUAGCAUUUGGGGUUAUCUUAUUUUCAUUUAGAUUUGACCGUAGUCGGUCUAUGUGUGGAUUUUGGAUGAUGUAUGAAUUAUAUUUAUGUAUUGUGUGAAGUGGCGAUUGUAAGCCAACUCUCGUUAUCCCAUUCUUGUUCAUUACAUGGGAUUGUGUGAAGAUGACCCUUCUUGCGACCAAACCACAAUGCGGUUAUGCCUCUAAGUCAUGCCUCGACACGUGGGAGAUAUAGCCGCAUCAUGGGCGUUACAAAUAUGACCUAAACGGUAGUGCCACAAAUAAGUUGCACUAUCAUUAUCAACUCUGCAUCUUUUGGCCUCAAUAUUAUGAAUAUGUGUAUCACUACUAUCCAGAUUUAAUAUAAAUAGACCACUCCUCAAGGGUGCAUGACCAUAAAAGAUAUUACUCAUAUAAAUAGAACAACUAUUAUUCUCUGAUUUAAAUGAAUAACUGUCUCGCAUCAAACAAGAUCCAGAUAUAAUGUUCAUGCUUAACGCUAGCACCAAAUAACAAUUAUUUAGGUCUAAAACUAAUCUCGAAGGUAGAUGUAGAGGUAGCGUGCCGAUCGCGAUCACAUCGACUUUGGAACCAUUUCCCACGUGCAUUGUCACCUCGUCCUUAGCUAAUCUUCGCUUAAUCCGUAGUCCCUGUUUCGAGUUGCAAAUAUUAGCAACAAAACCAGUAUCAAAUACCCAGGUGCUACUGCGAGCAUUAGUAAGGUACACAUCAAUAACAUGUAUAUCACAUAUACCUUUAUUCACCUUGCCAUCCUUCUUAUCCGCCAAAUACUUGGGGCAGUUCCGCUUCAGUGACCAGUCUGCUUGCAGUAGAAGCACUCAGUCUCAGGCUUAGGUCCAGACUUGGGUUUCUUCUCUUGAGCAGAACCUUGUUUGUUGUUCUUCUUGAAGUUCCCCUUCUUCUUCCCUUUGCCCUUUUUCUUGAAACUAGUGGUCUUAUUGACCAUCAACACUUGAUGCUCCUUCUUGAUUUCUACCUCCGCAGCCUUUAGCAUUGCGAAGAGCUCGGGAAUCGUCUUAUCCAUCCCUUGCAUGUUAUAGUUCAUCACGAAGCUCUUGUAGCUUGGUGGCAGUGAUUGAAGAAUUCUGUCAAUGACGCUAUCAUCUGGAAGAUUAACUCCCAGUUGAAUCAAGUGAUUGUUAUACCCAGACAUUCUGAGUAUAUGCUCACUGACAGAACUAUUCUCCUCCAUCUUGCAGUUGUAGAACUUAUUGGAGACUUCAUAUAUCUCAAUCCGGUCAUUUGCUUGAAAUAUUAACUUCAACUCCUGGAACAUCUCAUAUGCUCCAUGACGUUCAAAACGUCGUUGAAGUCCCGGUUCUAAGCCGUAUAGCAUGGCACACUGAACUAUCGAGUAUUCAUCAGCUUUGCUCUGCCAGACGUUCAUAACAUCUUGUGUUGCUCCUGCAGCAGGUUUGGCACCUAGCGGUGCUUCCAGGACGUAAUUCUUCUGUGCAGCAAUGAGGAUAAUCCUCAAGUUACGGACCUAGUCCGUGUAAUUGCUACCAUCAUCUUUCAACUUUGCUUUCUCAAGGAACGCAUUAAAAUUCAACGGAACAACAGCACGAGCCAUCUAUCUACAACAAACAUAGACAUGCAAAAUACUAUCAAGUACUAAGUUCAUGAUAAAUUUAAGUUCAAUUAAUCAUAUUACUUAAGAACUCCCACUUAGAUAGACAUCCCUCUAAUCAUCUAAGUGAUCACGUGAUCCAAAUCAACUAAACCAUGUCCGAUCAUCACGUGAGAUGGAGUAGUUUCAAUGGUGAACAUCACUAUGUUGAUCAUAUCUACUAUAUGAUUCACGCUCGACCUUUCGGUCUCAGUGUUACGAGGCCAUAUCUGCAUAUGCUAGGAUCGUCAAGUUUAACCUGAGUAUUCCGCGUGUGCAACUGUUUUGCACCCAUUGUAUUUGAACGUAGAGCCUAUCACACCCGAUCAUCACGUGGUGUCUCAGCACGAAGAACUUUCGCAAUGGUGCAUACUCAGGGAGAACACUUUUAUCUUGAAAUUUAGUGAGAGAUCAUCUUAUAAUGCUACCGUCAAUCAAAGCAAGAUAAGAUGCAUAAAAGAUAAACAUCACAUGCAAUCAAUAUAAGUGAUAUGAUAUGGCCAUCAUCAUCUUGUGCUUGUGAUCUCCAUCUCCGAAGCACCGUCAUGCUCACCAUCGUCACCGGCGCGACACCUUGAUCUCCAUCGUAGCAUCGUUGUCCUCUCGCCAACUUAUGCUUCUACGACUAUCGCUACCGCUUAGUGAUAAAGUAAAGCAUUACAGGGCGAUUGCAUUGCAUACAAUAAAGCGACAACCAUAUGGCUCCUGCUAGUUGCCGAUAACUCGGUUACAAAACAUGAUCAUCUCAUACAAUAAAAUUUAGCAUCAUGCCGACCAUAUCACAUCACAACAUGCCCUGCAAAAACAAGUUAGAUGUCCUCUACUUUGUUAUUGCAAGUUUUACAUGGCUGCUACGGGCUUAGCAAGAACUGUUCUUACCUACGCAUCAAAACCACAACGAUAGUUCGUCAAGUCAGUGUUGUUUUAACCUUCUCAAGGACCGGGCGUAGCCACACUCGGUUCAACUAAAGUUGGAGAAACUGACACCCGCCAGCCACCUGUGUGCAAAGCACGUCGGUAGAACCAGUCUCGCAUAAGCGUACGCGUAAUGUCGGUUCGGGCCGCUUCAUCCAACAAUACCGUCGAACCAAAGUAUGACAUGCUGGUAAGCAGUAUGACUUGUAUCGCCCACAACUCACUUGUGUUCUACUCGUGCAUAUAACAUCUACGCAUAAAACCAGGCUCAGAUGCCACUGUUGGGGAACGUAGUAAUUUCAAAAAAAAUCCUACGCACACACAGGAUCAUGGUGAUGCAUAGCAACGAGAGGGGAGAGUGUGUCCACGUACCCUCGUAGACCGAAAGCUGAAGCGUUAGCACAACGCGGUUGAUGUAGUCGUACGUCUUCACGAUCCGACCGAUCAAGUACCGAACGCACGGCACCUCGGAGUUCAGCAUACCGAUCCAGCCGAGCUUUGAGGGAGAGUUCCAUCAGCACGAUGGCGUGGUGACGAUGAUGAUGUUCGACCGACGCAGGGCUUCGCCUAAGCACCGCUACGAUAUUAUCGAGGUGGAUUAUGGUCGAGGGGGGCACCGCACACGGCUAAGAGAUCCAAGGGAUCAAUUGUUGUGUCUAUGGGGUGCCCCCCUCCUCUGUAUAUAAAGGGGGGAGGAGGAGAGGGCCGGCCAAGGGGAAGAGGCGCGCCAAAGGGGGGCAAUCCUACUCCAAGUAGGAUUCCCCCUUCUUUCCUAGUCCAAGUAGGAGAGGGGAAGGAAGGGGAGGAGGAGAAGAAGGAAAGGGGGACCGGCCCCCUAGUCCAAUUCGGUUUGGGCUAGGGGGGCCACGCGCCCCUAGCUGGCCGCCUCUCCUCUUCCACCACUCGGGCCCAUGAGGCCCAAUAACCCCCCGGGGGGUUCCAGUAACCCCCCGGUACUCCGGUAUAUGCUCGAUACUCUCCGAAACCAUUCCGGUGUCCGAACAUAGUCGUCCAAUAUAUCAAUAUUUACGUCUCGAACAUUUCGGAACUCCUCAUCAUGUCCGUGAUCACAUCCGGGACUCCAAACUACCUUCGGUACAUCAAAACACAUGAACUCAUAAUAUAACCAUCAUCGAACUUUAAGCGUGCGGACCCUACGGGUUUGUCGUGGAAUUAACACGUCAGAUGUCCUAGGUGUAAGGACUUAGUCGUGAGGUCAGCGCAUCUAUGUAGUAGCUUGAGAGGGGUUGAUUGGGAUGAGAGACGCAGGGCAGAUUGACGCACAAGACAAGGGUUUAGACAGCUUCGGGCCCCGGGAAACAUCAUCCGGUAACAACCCUACAUGCUGUUUGAGGCUAGGUCUCAUUAUGAUCACGGGAGAGUCGCCGCAUAAGCCGGCUCUCGGUGUUUAGCCCUAGAGAUUAUUUCUUGUUGCCUGUCCCUCUUCGGGGAGCCCUGCCCCUCCUUAUAUAAGUUAGAGGGGCGGGUUACAUGUGGAGUCCUAGUAGGACUAGGACUAGUCUAUCUUCUCUUACAAGUUAAUUACAAGUCCGGGUCUUGCUUCCCUGUAAAGGAAAUAUUCGUCACCCCUUCCUUCUUAAGCCGGCCCAUCAUAAAUGUGAGCCGGCCUUCUGGGCCUUGGGCCUUGUUGUCCAUCUGACCCGCCCGCCGGGUUACUAAUGAGUCGCCAAGAUCGGGCAGGUUAUCUGUGAAUCGCCAAGCUCCGGGCGGGUCACCAGUGAGUCGCCAAUUCCGGCCGGGUCAUACCGCGGGGUAUAUCCCCGACAUUAGCCCCCAGUUUGAUUUGGAUUCAUCCAUGUUAAACUGAUCCUGUAAAAUAAACACAAGAACAAACUUGAUAGGUUGUGCUCUGGGUUAAAUAUUCUUUGUAAGCCGGCACCUGAUCAUCUUUAAAUCCUUGUCAUUUCCUUCUUGAUACAUGCCCAUGAACUCAUCGCAAAUCUCCUUUAGUAGAUAUGUUCAAACUUUGUGAAUGCAAAAAAUCCAGAUACUUCUUUCAAGAAAUCCGGGUCAAUAGGCCAGCUUCAGAGUCAAUUUGCUCGCAUUGGUAUCCUGACUUUCAGCCGGCUUGAAGAGGUAAAACUUGCCGGUUUAUCAUAACCAAAAUUGCCGGUUUGUAAAUAUUUAUAGCACCGGGUCAUAACUGUUGCCGACGCCGGGUCAUAAUUAUUGGUGACACCGGAUCAUGAUUGUUGCAAACACCGGGUCAGUCUGAUCUACUCAAAAUGGAGAAUUUGAAGAUUUUUUCUCCCUUAUAUGCAUAUCACCUGUAGCCCCCAAGUCUUAAGAGGAGAACAUAGUGAUAACUUAAGACUUGCUUCAAUAUAAGUGUUGCAACCUUGAAGAAAACCGGAUUAUUCAUCUCAAUCAUUAGUCAUAAACUGAAUAUUCCACAUAUGUAGCCCCCAAGUGUCGGGUUGUCAUACUUGCAGCAACCUGGGACUUGUAAUUGCCUUAUGCUCAUAAAAACUUCAACCAAUGUAGCCCCCAAGGGCCGGGUCAUUAUACAAUAAUGAGCAGGGACUUUGUAAAUAUGAUCAUGUAAGCUUUGACUAGCAACUUGUAGUCUCCAAGGGCCGGCUUAGUAAGAUAAUACUAAGCUAGGACUUUGUAUAUAAUUUAUUGAUAAUAACAUCAUAUAAUAUAAUCUCCACCAUGAGGCUUGAACCCACGUCCACAAGGUUAAAAGCUUUGUACUCUACCAACUGAGUAGUGGACCGUUCAAUAUAAUGGAUUAAUGCUUGUGUACCUUGAAUUUUUGACAGGACCAAUUGGUAGCCCCCAAGGGCCGGCUCAUUUAGAAUGUGAUGAGUCGGGUCUUCAAUAAGUUGAGCAAAAAAUGAUUUUACAUUAGCCCCCAAGUGCCAUGGUACAUGCUGGCAGUAACAUGGGACUUGCAUAUUCGACGUAAUAUCAAUUUGAAUAAUGUAGCCCCCAAGUGCCGGGUCGUAAGCCUGCAGCGACUCGGGACUAUUCCUUCCAUUGUAGAGUAAAUCAUAUCCAUUGAUAAAAUAAUAGCCAUUGCGCCAAAGCGACUUUGAAUACCUCAUAUGUUGAUAAGUAAAUCCGGAGUUUAAAUACCCGGCGGCUCUUGGCCGAUGGCAAUUUAAUACGCCUCCAUUGUAAGCCGGAAUUUGUACAACCCGGCGGCUUAUAGCCUUUGAGAAAAUCAAGAAUUGAUAACCCUUUUGAGACACCAAUUUCCAUCUAUGAUGACGUGCUUGAAUUUAAUCAUUUAUGUAAGUCAUAGUUCUGUAAAUCCUGCAGAGUUUAAACAACAUAUGCCCUGGCGACUUAACGUCAAAAACCAGGACGGGUAACCACCCAAAUGUAGUCUUAUCCUGCACACAAGUAUAUCACAAGACACCUUGGUGGUUUACCGCAGGGCGGGUCAAAAUAUCUUACAUAUGACCACUGUGAUAUUUGAACUGUACCGCCGGCUUAUGAUACCUGUGCAGUAAGUGUGAUAACCCAAUCCUUAGAAGCCAAUGCUCUCACAUAGAUGAUGAUUGUCAUAAGCCGGUGACUUAUCAUCGAAAAUCAAGCCGGGUUUAAAUAGAAACCGCUCAUAUACACUUUAGAUGUGUUCAAAAGAGCUUCAAAUAAAAUCCCAAAAAUUAUUGGCAAAAAGAAACUUCAAAAAAUCUUGAGGCUUCUGAUUCGAAUACGAUCGGAAAACCGUCCCAAAGGGGUUAAGCUAAGAUUCGAAUACGAUCAUAUAGCCCCCAGUGGCUUUGGCGUUGCCGAUCAAGAGGGUACCGACAGCUAUGUUCUCUUUGGUUCGAAUACGACCUAUGUUUGAACAGGAAGCCCCCAAAUGACCUUGAGAGUUGUUUAACGACGCUGAUUCGAAUACGAUCCACGUCGGUUCCCAAAGGGGGUUGAGCUAUGGUUCAAAUAUGACCAAGAAACUCCCCAAUGAGCUCGGCAGUGUGCCGAUCAAAAGGGUAUCGACAGCUAUGUUCUCUUUGGUUCGAAUGCGACCUAUGUUUGAACAGGAAGCCCCCUAGUGAUCAUGAGAAUAUUUAACGACUCCGAUUCGAAUACGAUCAGGGUCACACCAAAAGGGUUAAGCUAAAUUCGAAUACGAUCAGCUCCCGAUGGUCAUUAAAGCAGGGUACCUAUAUUUGAGUUGUGCUUUGUAACAGACUCUCUUUGGUCCCUUUAAUUUUUCCUGAAAAUUCAAACUUGAGUCGGACGUUUGAACCGGAUUUGAGAGCUUCAAAACCUUGCGGGAGAAAGAUAUCUCUUGAACCGGAUUUUAAACCGGAAUCUUUAUUUGAACCGGCAAUUUUCUGACGGGCUUUAAGGUUCCAUCGAUAUGGUAGCAGCCUCCGGAACCGGGUUAUCAUUCCCUCCAACGACCCGGGGUUCCCGAGUCAUGUCACUGUAGCCCCCGAGUCUCAAGAUGACUCGAGGAGUUGGCUUGAGAUUCUCCAUAUUUAACCGUGAUAUAAACCGGCAUAACUUGUAUAUCAUUGGUGUUGAUAACACGAUGUGUAUCCACAGAAGGUUGAGGUGACUGCGGCGGGUUAUAAAUGAUCCCUUAUGAGCUGUGUCAGCAACUCGGCCAAUGGUUCCUUCCAACUGGCUGUUUGACGCUUAACCAAACUGUAGUGAUGGCGACUUGUGCGCAUGUCCAUUGAGCCGUCCAGGUGCAGACGGCGGCUGAUAACAUAUGAUAAUUUGCCUCCAAUUUGUUGGAAGAAAACCGGGCUUCCCAAGUAGUGACCUGCUCAUACUCAAUACACAGCUCAUGCAGAUAAGUGCUGCUCGGUGUGUUGAUGUAGACCAGGCCACGAGAGGCGGACGGAAAAGACGACCUCAGCAUCAGAGGCGGCCCAGACAGACGAACCGGCCGCGGUGUUAUAAACCGGCGCAGUCGGGCGAGUUAACCACGCCGUUUUGAUGUAGUGAACAAUUGUCCUGCAUCAACAAUAUUGCAGACCUAGACAAAGAUAAACUGCUCUUUGACAAAAUAAUAUGUACCAAUAAAAUAUAUUUUAGAUGGAUAUCACCUGAUGUGCCAGGCCGGAAAUAAUCCGCCAUGAAAUUGAUGAUCGCUAGGUGAAGUUGAAGUCGCUCACGGGUGAACCGGCCACGGCGUGGUAAACCGAUGUGGACGGGUGAGUCGGCCGUGACUUUUGUAAGCCGGCGCGGACAGCGAGUCGGCCACGGUGUUGUAAGCCGGUGCAAACGGGCAAAUUGUCCUCCUCGUUGUAAACCGGUGUGGUCGCGAGAGACGGCCACGUCGUUGUAAGCCGGCGUGGUCGCGAGAGACGGCCACGGCGCUGUAAGCCGGUGCAAACGGGCAAAUUGUCCUCCUCGUUGUAAACCGAUGUGGUCACGAGAGACGGCCACGUCGUUGUAAGCCGGCGUGGUCGCGAGAGACGGCCACGGCGCUGUAAGCCGGUGCGGGAGUCCGUUGAGUAACGACGACCACCCGUGCCAAAAAAUGUUGGCGUGCCUCCAUCUCCUCGGUAUAAUACCACUUUUUGUCAUAAAUAAUUGCCCUGUAUAAACAAUAUUGUAGACCAAGGCAAAGAUAAACUUGUUUUUUGACAAAAACAACAUGUGCUAAUAAAACAAACUUGGAUGGGUAUCACCUGAUUUGUCUGGAUGACGGACGGCGAGUCAAUCACAUGGCAAGCCACACGGACAGCGAGUCAAUCGCAGGCAUGGUAAGCCGUGCAGACUGACGAGUUGAUGUAGACCGGGCCACAGGAGCGGCGACUUACGCACGUCCGUUCAUCGGGUAGUGUGGCACGAACGGAACACUAGGCCAGAACGUUUGCCAGUGUGCGCUCCGUACCCGUAGUAUUACAAUUGUCUGUGAAACAAUAUUACACGCCAAGUAAUUGUUCUCAGACGAAUUAACAUAUUGAUAAAAUACAGUAGAAAGAUAUCACCUGAUUUGCUUUGACGGUAGAUGAUUUGCAUGCAGACUACUAGCACCAAUUAAUUCAUCUGCUGCGUGAUCUCCCAUACUUUUGUCUUUUCCUUUUGUUGACUCUGGUCAUCAUGCGGUUAGUAAUCCACUUUUCCCAUCGCAGCCUCAAAGAUGUAAGGUAACAUGCAGGCGCUUAUUAGGAUGUAUCCUUUUUCCCUCGCCCUCUUCUCACCCACAGUAGCACAGAACUGCAGAGAGCCCGUUCAGAGGUGGAAGGCGGCUGAAACAAACAUGGCCGAGGCGGCGGCAGCCAACACGAGGACAGGCCCGAGGCCGCGGGCUACAGGCGCGGUGACUCGAGGCAGAAGGACAGCAGCUUGAUCCGCCCGAGUUAGUAGCGAUUUUGGCGAUCAGUGUCUCAGAAGCCAUGGCUCAUAGAACAGCUCAUGGUGUCACCCGCAGUGACGGAGGCUGGCGACUUAACCCGUUUUGCGAUCCGGCGGCUGAGGCCUGGCGGCAACUCAUGGUCGGUCGAUUCUCAGGGUGAUUCAAAGAGUGAGCCGGCGCGGCAACAGAGUGAACCGGCGUAGCAAUUUGAGGAAACCGCGCGAGGCCGCGGCGACUCACGGCGCAAGGGACUCAAUGGCUGUGACCCGGCGGGGAGUCGCGGGACCAGGGCGGUUUGCCGAUGCGGGCGAGACUGCAGAAACAGCAAAGCAGGGCACCCCACAGCGGGUUGACGGGCCGGUCGGGCCUCUCGCGGGUCGAGCCAGAGGAGAUCCCGCAGUGGUAAACCGGCAGCUCAUCAGCGGCGGCAGGAAGGCGGCCCUGCACUAGCGCACCAACACGGCCAGGUGGAGGAGGGCGUCCAGCACGAGAGCCUGGCGCGGCGCGAACGGAGGCGUCGGGCGGCUGAUUCAGAGCAAUGGUGGCUUAGAGGCAUGACAGCGGCGGAGGCAGGAUCGCAAGGCCGCCAAGUCCGAGUCGAUCCUCCGGUCCCAUGCUCGUCCUGGUCGUGGUCGGUUUUACCAUCCCCGAUCCGUCUCCUCCAGGUUGUGGGCUCAUGACCCUUUUUUUGACUUAUAGCUACUGCAGGAUAUGCAUGCAUAGUUCGCCCGGUGGGCAGUCCGUGAUUUCAGAGUUCCAGGUGCUUUCAACUUGUACUGACUGCUUAUCCUUCUUGGUAACUUCCUUGGGUAGACGUAGUGUUUAGAGAAAAAACCAAUCUGAACUUGCAGCUCCGCUCGGCCUUCAUGUGACAAACAGAGUACUAGUUGACAACGACUUGAGAGAUCAAUCAUGACAUCGACCACAUACUAGAAGUAUAGUACUAGUAGAUCAAGUAGUAUCAGUUUUGAUUUCCAUGUGAGAUGUUCCUGAUCCGUCAAAUCUGGAAUAGCAGCGAAAAAAACUGCGGUUGCCCUGGGCCCGUGGCUGCCGUCAAGUAAAGGUGAAUCACGCGUGGAGCUGCUGUAAGUCAAGCACACGCAACGCUGUGUACAGUACGCGAACGAAACAAAACGGAUUGAUGCAACUGAUUGAAUUCCUGUCGGUCUCGGCCACGCAGCACAACGCUCCAAAAAUCGAUCUGGUUUUUGGAUUGAUGACUCGCUCUCGUCGGCCUUGGCGACUCUCCAGCGGUUUCAGCAAAAAUCAAUCUGGCUUUUGCGACUCAUCCGGUCGUGGCGGCGCAUAACAGGCACUCUCAUCCCCUUGAUCCAGAGUAGAGCUUCACGCACCAUCUGUUAAUUAUUUAGCUGAUUGCGAACUUCUCGAUCCUUAGGAAAAUCCCUUCAAGAACUCAACACCACUAUGCGCGGGCCCCACGGUGGGCGCCAACUGUCGUGGAAUUAACACGUCAGAUGUCCUAGGUGUAAGGACUUAGUCGUGAGGUCAGCGCAUCUAUGUAGUAGCUUGAGAGGGGUUGAUUGGGAUGAGAGACGCAGGGCAGAUUGACGCACAAGACAAGGGUUUAGACAGCUUCGGGCCCCGGGAAACAUCAUCCGGUAACAACCCUACAUGCUGUUUGAGGCUAGGUCUCAUUAUGAUCACGGGAGAGUCGCCGCAUAAGCCGGCUCUCGGUGUUUAGCCCUAGAGAUUAUUUCUUGUUGCCUGUCCCUCUUCGGGGAGCCCUGCCCCUCCUUAUAUAAGUUAGAGGGGCGGGUUACAUGUGGAGUCCUAGUAGGACUAGGACUAGUCUAUCUUCUCUUACAAGUUAAUUACAAGUCCGGGUCUUGCUUCCCUGUAAAGGAAAUAUUCGUCACCCCUUCCUUCUUAAGCCGGCCCAUCAUAAAUGUGAGCCGGCCUUCUGGGCCUUGGGCCUUGUUGUCCAUCUGACCCGCCCGCCGGGUUACUAAUGAGUCGCCAAGAUCGGGCAGGUUAUCUGUGAAUCGCCAAGCUCCGGGCGGGUCACCAGUGAGUCGCCAAUUCCGGCCGGGUCAUACCGCGGGGUAUAUCCCCGACAGGGUUCGAGAACUAUGUAGACAUGACCGAGACACGUCUCCGGUCAAUAACCAAUAGCGGAACCUGGAUGCUCAUAUUGGCUCCCACAUAUUCUACGAAGAUCUUUAUCGGUCAAACCGCAUAACAACAUACGUUGUUCCCUUUGUCAUCGGUAUGUUACUUGCCCGAGGUUCGAUCGUCGGUAUCUCAAUACCUAGUUCAAUCUCGUUACCGGCAAGUCUCUUUACUCGUUCCGUAAUACAUCAUCCUGCAACUAACUCAUUAGUUGCAAUGCUUGCAAGGCUUAUAAUGAUGUGCAUUACCGAGUGGGCCUAGAGAUACCUCUCCGACAAUCGGAGUGACAAAUCCUAAUCUCGAAAUACGCCAACCCAACAAGUACCUUCGGAGACACCUGUAGAGCACCUUUAUAAUCACCCAGUUACGUUGUGAUGUUUGGUAGCACACAAAGUGUUCCUCCGGUAAAUGGGAGUUGCAUAAUCUCAUAGUCAUAGUAACAUGUAUAAGUCAUGAAGAAAGCAAUAGCAACAUAGUAAACGAUCAAGUGCUAAGCUAACGGAAUGGGUCAUUUCAAUCACAUCAUUCUCCUAAUGAUGUGAUCCCGUUUAUCAAAUGACAACUCUUUGUCUAUGGCUAGGAAACAUAACCAUAUUUGAUCAACAAGCUAGUCAAGUAGAGGCAUACUAGUGACACUCUGUUUGUCUAUGUAUUCACACAUGUAUUAUGUUUCCGGUUAAUACAAUUCUAGCAUGAAUAAUAAACAUUUAUCAUGAUAUAAGGAAAUAAAUAAUAACUUUAUAAUUGCCUCUAGGGCAUAUUCCUUCAGCCUCCACUUCCUGUUAGCCUUCGGGACUACCACUGGAUUUGCCAACCAUGUGGGAUGUAACACUCCUCUGACCAAACCAGCUGCUUCAAGUUUCUUGAUCUCUUCCGUAAUAAACUGCUGCCUCUCCAAGGCCUGCUUCCGGACUCUCUGCUUGACAGGUCGGGCGUGUGGGUAGACAGCAAGCUGGUGCUCGAUUACCUCCUUGGGAACACCGGGGAUAUCAGAUGGUUGCCAGGCAAACACAUCGAUAUUCACCCGCAGGAAGGCAACGAUCGCGCUUUAUUAUUUGUCAUUGAGGGUGGCGCUGAUAGUGAAAGUGCCAUCAACGCCAGCCAGCCCUGCUGGGACCUUUUUCACUUGGCUGCAGUGACCUUGGAUCUCUUGCUGUUGGAGCUCUCUGGCAAGUCUUCGAUAGGCGCAACGCACUCCGAAGAAGUACGCUUCCCGGAUGCCUUGCCAGCGUCCUUGCUACCCUUCUUCUUUCCUCUGUCCUCCUUGGCGGGAACUACUGCUACCACUGCCUCUGCCGCGGCUGCGUCCUGGUACAUCUUGUCCACGCAAAUGAUAGCAUCAUUCUCGUCUGAUGGGAUGGUAAUGACUCCCACAGGCCCAGGCAUCUUCAAGGUGUUGUAGGCAUAGUGGGAUGCUGCCAUGAAUUUAGCUAGGGUUGGGCGUCCAAGAAUCCCAUUGUACGGCAGGGGGAGGUCGACCACAUUAAACACAAUCUUCUUAGUUUGGUAGUUCAGCUCUUCCCCAAACGUCACCAGCAACGUGAUCUUUCCCUUAGGAUGACUCCUGCCGGGAUUAACUCCUUGAAACGUGCCAGUGGCCUUCAACUCAUCUUCUGCUAUCUGAAGUUUGCUGAUGAAUGCCGGCGAAAUCAGAUUCAACCCGGCCCCGCCGUCCACCAACAUUUUUGUGACCUUGAGGUUGCGAAUUGUUGGAGAGACCAACAAUGGCAAACACCCUACCGUUGUGGUGCGGUUAGGAUGAUCCUCUUCGUCAAAGAUGUUGGGCGUGCGUGACCAUUUGAGCGGCUUCCGGGCCUCUGGCGCUGGUUCCACGGCAUUGACUUCUUGUGCCCACCGUUUGAGCUGGCGGUGAGAGGUGUGCAAAGAUGCACCCCCGUCCAUGCACAGGGGGUCAGUGGCCUUCUGAAACUCCUGCUCAUUGGUUUCCUCUUCAUCCCCUCCAUCGCUCUCAUCAUCACAGGUCUCCUUCUCUCGACCUCUGGCGGGUUUUCCUUGGUUCCGGAAGGGUUUGCCGGGGCGAUUUACUUCACCACCUCGGCCCUUACCGCCAGCGACAUUCUGACCUUUUUCAUUGUCGCGCUUCUCAUACUCUGCUCUCUCUCUCUCUCUCUCUCUCUCUCUCUCUCUCUCGUAACAAGCUGCUCAACCUGAUAACACUCUUGAAGAUCCUGGCCUUUGGUCCUAUGAAUCUUGCAAUACGGCCCAUCACCUUUCCCGGCCUUCUCGGCAGCCGUGACCUCCUGGCAGUCAGCGCACACGGCAGCUUCCUUGUCGGGGACCUCAGCUUUGGCCUUCUUGCCGGUACUAGGUGUACCUGAUCCUUCAACAGUCAUCACUGCCUUAUCCUUCCUCUUCUUACUGCACUUCUUGCUCUUCUUCUGACUGGUUGAUUCAUCAUCAUCCUCUGAAUCGAUGUUGGUGCAAUAUUCCUCUCCGGGCAACUUCCUUCCCUCCUCCAUCCGAGCACACUUGUCCACCAAGGUGUAGAGCUCCUUCACAGUCUUGGGCAACCCCACGUUCAUCUUGGAACGAAUCUGGCGGUUGCGCACAUUGGACUGGAAGGCAGCUAUCACAGCUGUCGGAUGGAUAUUCGGGAUGUUCCUAUGCAGGGUCUCUCCUUCCUUCUGUUGGAGAAACUGCAAGUCGCUGGGUCGACCUAGCUCUUGAUGGCCGCCAGCGAAGGAGCCAAUGAAUUCAUGGCACAGGUCAGCCCACGACGAGAUGGAGUUCUCCGGCAGGUGCAUCAGCCAAGACCUCACAUUGGACUUGAGGGCCAAAGGGAAGUAGUUGGCAAACACCUUCUCAUCUCUUCCCCCGGCAGCCUGAACAUCGAUGGUGUAGAUGCUCAGAAACUCUGCCGAGUUCAGCCUCCCAUCAUGCUUCUCUGGUAUCUCUGGCCAAUGGACUUGCCGCGGGUCAUGAGUAAAGGCAGGGUACCCAACCUCGAAAGGUAGGCACCGGCCAAUACCGAGCGCAGGCUCGUCGACGUCGAGGCCAUCGCACCCGUUGGACUGGCAGUGGUUGUCGCAGUGUCGCUUGACGACGACACGUGCUCUACUCCCCGCCUAUCCUCCGAGGCUCGCCGUUGGCCUGGACGCGCUCGAGGGUCACAAGAGGCCAUCGAGCCAUCGUCAGGGUCUUGGUUCUGCUGCGCUCGCGCAGGCUGCCGUGGCGGGGACUGCACCGUGGGGGUGGCCCCUUUCGUACGGCCAGCAUCAUGAGCCGUCAUCGUCGCUUGGGGAGGCCGUGGCGGGCCAGCUCGCUGCGAGCCCCGGGCUUCGGCGAAAUCGAGCACACUUUGGAUGGAAGCACACCAUUCGUCCAUCUGCUCGGCCGCUGGCAGAAACCUCAGCAGCAGCUGAGCCCGCGCCAUGGCCUCUGUGGCUGUACUCGGCAUGGGUGAUGAUGAAGUAGAUCGCACCGUUGCUCAGCUCCUGACGGUGCCAGUGGUGGCAGCACCGCGUCUUCGCGGUUGCGGAGUGGCCACCUGGAUGGCUGGGUGGUGCGGCAAAGGCGCUCGAGGGCCAGCUCUGUCGGGUGCAGCGACUUGGUCGACCUGUCCCGGGGGAGACGCACGUGCUACGGUCGCUCCCGUGAUGGGGGCGGCCGGAGGGCGGCGAUUUGCCCCAUACCUAGUGCCGUUGCUGCGGUUGUGCCCGUCGGCGAGAGGAGGAGACGUAGAUGGAGUAACCCCCUCACCCGUACCUUGCGGAGCAUGCCGUCGGGGCGUUGCUGAUGUUGUUCUACUCCGAUGCCUCCUACCCUUGUGUCGGCCGCGGGGGAAGUAGUGACGGUGUCGCCUGCUCCGACUACGCCCCCAGCAGCGUCCACAUCCUCAUGUACCUCCGUGUCCCCCGCGGCAUUAGAGGUCGCGGGCGGCGCAUCCUUCGAGGUGGACGGAUGAGCCGAAGCACCGGAUUUCUACUUGGGCGCCAUGGUCGAUGGCGCCGUCGAAGGUGAAGAAGGUGAUGAAGAUGAUGUGCUGCACACGCCUUCAGGUUCGCGCAAGCGAUCCCCCUACCUGGCGCGCCAAAGAUGUCAUGGGAAACCACAGCCACCUAUGGGAUCAGAGGGCCCCUUGCUGGUUUGGCAGGGGGACGUCGCAUCGCACAAAGAGCAGACGAGCAUGGGGCAGCACGACAGCGAUCACACAAGAAAUUUUACCCAUGUUCUGGCCGCCGUGAGGCAUAAAACCCUACUCCUGCUUUGGUGGAUUGAUGGUGGAAGAAUGGUGGUAGAGCGUAGUACACUUGCCUGGCAGGGGCGGUAGUGGCUACGUGCGUAUGGGUGUGUGUGUGUUAUCCAACCUUCCAACCCUUUCUAUGGUUGCCAUGCCUCCUUUUAUAGAUUAAGGGGUUACCACAAUGGCAAAGUAGUAAUUAUGCACUGAUAAGAUAGCAAACAGUGCUAUCAUACCUAACUCUGCAGGCUGACAGGGUGCAUUAAAUGCGUCGCUUAACGUCACGUCACUGGUUGCCCGGCAAGCCUUGCCGGGCUGUCUCGCUAGCUCCACGCCUGCUCGCUCGACACGUCGUAGGACGGGUGUCAUCUGUAGGCAUUUCCUGUGGAAAGAGGCCGCCAUGUGGCAAAUGGCUCCCACUUAGUCACUUUGCGGCUUGACACCGCACUGAUUGACGACGUGGGUCAUGGCGGAAUGGUUAGGUGAGGUGGUUUUGCCUCCGUGAGCCCCGGCAGGCCCUGCCGGGACGUCUUGGACAUCUUCUUAUGGGGGUGACCCCGUCCUUGUCGAGAUCGUCUGCCCGGCAAGGGAGGCUUUUCUCCUGGUGGUGUCUUGUUUCUCUGGCUUGAUCUUGGUCCUCUUGAUCUGCAUGUUGGCUCUUCGAUGAUCUCGGUCUCUUGUACUCUAGCAUGGCUUGGUGUUGUACUCUUGUUCCCGUGACUGUGCACAGUUUGGGCAACAGACCCAGGGUUUGUUGCAACGACACCGAGGUUUUGGGACCAAGAUCGAAUACAAGAGAUGAACUAGGGUUUGAGAGGAGAUGGUGGUGGUGAAGAUGUUGGUGGAGAUUGACCCCCUCUCGAUGAGAGGAUCGUUGGUGAUGACGAUGGCUUCGAUUUCCCCCUCCCGGAGGGAUAUAUCCCCGACAGAACAGCUCCGCCGGAGCCCUUGAUUGAUUCUGCACAGGUUCCGCCUCGAGACGGCGGCGCUUCGUCCCGAAAGCUUCCUUUUGAUUUUUUUUCCAGGUCAAAACACACCGUAUAGCAGAAGAUGGGCGUUGGAGGCCUGCCAGGGGGCCCACAAGGACGGGGGGCGCGCCCUCCAACCUUGUGGCUGGCUGGUGGCCACCCUCUGGUACUUUCUUCGCCCAAUAUUUUUUAUAUAUUCCGAAAACAUGCUCCGUGAAGUUUCAAGACUUUUGGAGUUGUGCGGAAUAGGUCUCUAAUAUUUGCUCCUUUCCAGUCCAGAAUUCCAGCUGUCGGCAUUCUCCCUCUUCAUGUAAACCUUAUAAAAUAAGAGAGAAAAGGCAUAAGUAUUGUGAUAUAAUGUGUAAUAACAGCCCAUAAUGCAAUAAAUAUCAAUAUAAAAGCAUGAUACAAAAUGGAUGUGUCAUUACUCUCAUUAGAAGGUGGGAAGGGGUAGCUAAUCCGCUCUUCCUCCUUUUGUUCUUCGUUCUCCUCGUCAUCUUUUUCAUCCAAUGAGCUCACAGUGUCAUCAGUUUCUUCUUCCAUAUAUUCCUGCAAAAUAUUAGUCUCUUCUUGGACAGCAGAGACUUACUCAAUAAACUCAUUAAUAUCAGCAUUAUACACAUAACUAACAAAGUGGUCCGCUCGAUGCGCGGGCUAGUAUUUAAUAAAUUUAUUAAUUAUAACAUAUAUUUUUUGUUCUAAAGAACAAAUGAAACCGAAUGUGAUGGCAUUUACGGAUAUAAAACUUCUACAAACAUAAUUUGUUUUUCUUUGUUGUUUUAAAGUUCUAUUCUUACAUGGAUAUAUUUAUUAGUAUAUUGAAUGCAAUAAUGUUUGAGGCAUAAAAAUAUAGAUAGACGCAUGGGAGUUGAAAAACUAAAACUACUAUGUUGCAUAGAGAGUAAGGGUCAACAAAAUUAUGGAUAUAGGUAUGUAGAUCUAAAUGUUGUGCUUCAUUUAUUGAAAAAAGGUUCACCAAAUUACCGUUCUUGUUAUAGUUAGCUUAUCACAUACUUUUAAUAUAGUUGAAUUUCAUAUCACAUUAGAUAUUUGUUAACAAAUUUAAUUUUUUAUCAUAUGGGUUGUUUGGUUCUUUUCCUAUUUUGGAUUUGUGAUAUAAAUUUAAAAUCUAGAGGAAUAUGUAGUCAACAAAAUCUUGAUUCCUUUUUUUGUUAAUAUUCCUCAUAUAUUUGUAAUGUAUUACUUAUGCUGCACAUAUUUAAAAGAAUUAAGUAUCGGCCCACUCAUUCAUUGGGCAAAAUUUUGUAUGUAAUGGUCACAUAUUGACAAAGUUUUUUUCUGGAGAGUUGUUUCAGUUUUCCUCUGAUUUGAGUUGAGUUCUCGAGAUAGACAUCGAAAAUAACAUAGAGUGUGUGUGUAGCCAAAAGAAUUAUGCACCACAUUGAGAUACGUAGCUGACUAAUAAAAAAUGGAUGAGAUGCGUGCACCCGUUCGUCAUGUCAAAGCAAAGGAAAAAUAUUAUCGGAUGCAUUUUUGUUGUUGUAACACAUGUAAUGAUGUCAGAUGUGAGGAUGCUCAGGAUAUCCUUAAUUAAUAAUGUAGUAGGGAAUAUAUGUGUGCCUAUUUCUUUCAAUAUGUCAUAUUCAAAGUGUGCAAGGAUGACCAUUUAGGUUUUAUCUUCUGCUGUUUAUGGCUUCACAGCUCCAAAUAUGCAAUCAUGUAGUAGUGUCUCCCAUGUUUAUUUGCUGUCUGCCUCUAAAGUAGUCUAGAAAGUUGUCAUCUAUAAGAAAUUUGUGUUCUUUGUUUUAUCAUUGGCGAGUCAAGAAAGUAUCUUCCUUGCUCAUUAUAUAGGUUGAUCUGCAGAAAAUCAAAUAGGUGAAAAUAUGUUUCCCAUGCAUCUGGGUAGGACUUAAUUUGCAAGGCAUUAAGAAGGAACCAUACAGACGGACAUUGGAAAUACAUGAGACACUAGUAGAAAAAGGGUCAUCUGUCCCGGUUGGUAAGGGCCUUUUGUCCCGGUUUUUGAACCGGGACUAAAGGGUCGUUACUAAUGCCCUAGCCCUUUAGUCCCAGUUCUUACACGAACCGGGACAGAUGGGCCUCCACGUGGCCGGUGCGGCGAGCCCAGGCAGGAGGGCCGUUGGUCCCAGUUGGUGGCACUAACCGGGACCAAUAGGCAUCCACGCGUCAGCAUUUCAGGGGCUGGGGUUUUUGUUUUUGUUUUNNNNNNNNNNNNNNNNNNNNNNNNNNNNNNNNNNNNNNNNNNNNNNNNNNNNNNNNNNNNNNNNNNNNNNNNGAGGUGCUCCUACUGUUUCAGGUUCAAAAAAAAACCGGGACCAAUAGGCAUCCACGCGUCAGCAUUUCAGGGGUUGGGUUUUUUUUUUGAAAGGGGGGGGGGGUUGGGGGUUUUGGGGGGGUUAAUUUAGGUGUUUCAUAUAUUGUGUUAGCUAGCUAAUUAAUAGAGAGAAGUGUCCUCUCUUAUCUCCGUACUUGGUCGACGCUACGUACUAUAUACGUAUAGAGAGGACUAGACACGCUAGCUAGUAAGCAAAUGAAGGAAACAAAAGAUCGUCAUGAACAUAUGCAUACAGAGAGAAGUGAUAUCGACCACCUCUCCUUCUCUGAGAGAUUGGUCGAACAACAAGUUCUCGUAUAUCUAUCCGACACUACCGGCUACAUAUAUACAAUAAUUAUCUCUUACAAUAUAAUCUCCUAAUUAAAUUGUAAGAACACAGGGUCCACAUAGUAUUCUCCGUUUUCAACGAUCAUGGUCAGGGAAGAAUGUCGCCAAUUCCUCUUGAAUUGCUCGCAUACGAUCUGGUGCUAGGAGUUCAUCCCGCAUCCGAAAGAUCUAAUUUGAAGAAGGGGUAAAUACACACACACACACACACAUAUAUAUAUAUAUAUAUAUAUAUAUAUAUAUAUAUAUAUAUNNNNNNNNNNCAAUAUAAUCUCCUAAUUAUAUAUGAACACAGGGUCCACAUAGUAUUCUCCGUUUUCAGCGAUCACGUGGUCAAGGAAGAAUGCCGCCAAUUCCUCUUGAAUUGCUCGCAUACGAUCUGGUGCUAGGAGUUCAUCCCGCAUCCGAAAGAUCUAAUUUGAAGAAGGGGGUCAAUACAUAUAUAUAUAUAUAUAUAUAUAUAUAUAUAUAUAUAUAUAUAUAUAUAUAUAUAUAAAUAAAUGAAACUCAACACAAAUGAUGGUAAUAAAAUAAAAUUGUGAAUAUUAUUGCUUACGUACUUCAUAUUGUUCAUCAGAGUAGCCCCGCUCACAGGUCGUGUGGCGGAUGGACUCGCAAACGUAGUAUCCACAGAAAUCAUUCCCUUGUUCCUGCCACAACCACUUUACAAGAAAUAGAGGUCAAUCAAACUGAUAAGCAAGCAUGCUAAAUGGUAUUGAUGAAACUAGCGCUUGAAUCACUAGGAGAUGCGCAGAACAUGCUACUAUAGUACUUACCAAAACAAUGAAUGCAUCAAUUAGCUAGUCAGCACAAGCUUAACUAAUAUAUUUACCUGGCCGGACUAUGUUCGGUCACCGGAGCCGUCACCACGGGCUCCUUCUUGCACCAGCAUUGGGUCACCCGAGCCAUCAUAAUCAUGUCUUUCCUCCUCCACUCUUCGAUCACCGUAGCCUGCUUCUUCACCCUGUUCUUCUAGACCAUCAUUGUCGUUAAGAUACGACAAGACAUCACCUCCGGCUAAGAUUAUGUCCCCCAACACCUCUUCUGCUUCCUCGUCUCGUCCGUGCUCCAUUGUUUCUGCAAAUAUUACAACAUGGCAAUUAUUACACAAACAUGACAGCAGGUGGAUGUAUUAGUGCAAACGUAGACCUAGCUUAUUCCGGGUUUGGGGUGGCCUCGGCAACGCUUCAAGGGUAGGGGCGUGGCGGGAGGGGGUAGGAGACCGACAUCGUUUUUUUUCUAGGGUUUGGGUGUCCUCGAGAGUUUUGGUCAAGCGAGAGGGCCGGGGGGUGCUCCCGUGGUAUAAGUUAUCACGGUCGAAGUUAUCCGGGAGGGGGUUAUAUCGACAACGACGACAUACAUACAUACAUGGGAAAAUAAUGUUAUCGGGGAGGGGGUAGGUCGAACCCCCCCCCUCAUGUUGAAGUUAUCGGGACACGGGGUAUAUCGACAAUUACAUAUCCGAUAAAAAAUAAGAAGAUGAAGAAGAAAUAAAAAGAGGAGAAGAAGAUAUUAAUAGAGGAGAAGAUUGAAGAAAAAAAGAAGAAAAAAAAAGAGGAGAAGAAGAAAGGAAUAGAGGAGAAGAAGAUAUUCUCCUCUAUUNNNNNNNNNNNNNNNNNNNNNNNNNNNNNNNNNNNNNNNNNNNNNNNNNNNNNNNNNNNNNNNNNNNNNNNNNNNNNNNNNNNNNNNNNNNNNNNNNNNNNNNNNNNNNNNNNNNNNNNNNNNNNNNNNNNNNNNNNNNNNNNNNNNNNNNNNNNNNNNNNNNNNNNNNNNNNNNNNNNNNNNNNNNNNNNNNNNNNNNNNNNNNNNNNNNNNNNNNNNNNNNNNNNNNNNNNNNNNNNNNNNNNNNNNNNNNNNNNNNNNNNNNNNNNNNNNNNNNNNNNNNNNNNNNNNNNNNNNNNNNNNNNNNNNNNNNNNNNNNNNNNNNNNNNNNNNNNNNNNNNNNNNNNNNNNNNNNNNNNNNNNNNNNNNNNNNNNNNNNNNNNNNNNNNNNNNNNNNNNNNNNNNNNNNNNNNNNNNNNNNNNNNNNNNNNNNNNNNNNNNNNNNNNNNNNNNNNNNNNNNNNNNNNNNNNNNNNNNNNNNNNNNNNNNNNNNNNNNNNNNNNNNNNNNNNNNNNNNNNNNNNNNNNNNNNNNNNNNNNNNNNNNNNNNNNNNNNNNNNNNNNNNNNNNNNNNNNNNNNNNNNNNNNNNNNNNNNNNNNNNNNNNNNNNNNNNNNNNNNNNNNNNNNNNNNNNNNNNNNNNNNNNNNNNNNNNNNNNNNNNNNNNNNNNNNNNNNNNNNNNNNNNNNNNNNNNNNNNNNNNNNNNNNNNNNNNNNNNNNNNNNNNNNNNNNNNNNNNNNNNNNNNNNNNNNNNNNNNNNNNNNNNNNNNNNNNNNNNNNNNNNNNNNNNNNNNNNNNNNNNNNNNNNNNNNNNNNNNNNNNNNNNNNNNNNNNNNNNNNNNNNNNNNNNNNNNNNNNNNNNNNNNNNNNNNNNNNNNNNNNNNNNNNNNNNNNNNNNNNNNNNNNNNNNNNNNNNNNNNNNNNNNNNNNNNNNNNNNNNNNNNNNNNNNNNNNNNNNNNNNNNNNNNNNNNNNNNNNNNNNNNNNNNNNNNNNNNNNNNNNNNNNNNNNNNNNNNGCAAAUGUUCGAUGAAACUGAAAAAUUUACAAGUCCUGCUUAUAUACGGAGAGCAUUGGUACCGGUUCAUGGCAGCAACCGAGACCAAUGCCCCUUUUAGUCCCGGUUGGUGCCACCAACUGGGACCAAAGGUCUCUUUACAGCAGCCCAAAGGCGGGAAGCGGCGGCCUUUGGUCCCGGUUGGUGGCAACAACCGGGACUAAGGGGGGGGGCAUUGGUACCGGUUAGUGCCACCAACCGGUACCAAGGCACCCCUUUAGUCCUGGUUGGUGCCACCAACCGGGACCAAAGGCCUUGUGCUGUUGCGCCCGCGUCGAAAGUUUAGUCCCACCUCGCUAGUUGAGAGGGGCGCGCAGUGGUUUAUAAGCCCCACUGCCACUCCCCUCUCGAGCUCCUCUCCAUUGCAGGCUUACGGGCCUAAUUGUCACUGCUAUGCCUGAUGGGCCUACUGGACCUUCUGCUGGCCUGAAUCCUGGCCCAUCGAUGGGUUUCUAGUCGUAUUCAGGCCGUGGUGGCCCAGUAGGUGGCAUAUUUUUUAUUUUUUGCCUGUUUUUUGUUUUCUUUUUUGCUUUAUUUAUUUUGUUUUGUUUCUACUUACAACAAAAAACUUAUUUAUUUUAUUUUGUUUUGUUUCUAAUUACUUAUUUAUUUUACUUUAUGAUAAUUCUUUUUGCUAUUAAAGUUUCUAACAAAAAAAGUUCUUUAUGAAAAUUCUUUUUGCUUUCAAUGAUUUUGAACAGAAAAUACUUCGAUAAUUUUAGUUGCAUCAAUUUUAUAUAAUUUUAGUUUCAAUAAUACUAGAGGUUGCUUAUAAUGUUUUGAACAGAAAAUACUGUGGUCCCGGUUCAAGCCACCAACCAGGACAAAUGGUGGUGGGCCAGGAGCGAGGCCCAUUGGUCCCGGUUUGUCCCACCAACCGGGACCAAAGGGGCCAAACGAACCGGGACCAAUGCCCCCAUGAGGCCCGGCAGGCCCCUGGCCUCACGAACCGGGACCAGUGCCCCCAUUGGUCCCGGUUCUGGACUGAACCGGGACUAAUGGGCUGACCCGGCCUGAAACAAAGCCCUCUUUUCUACUAGUGAGAGGAUGGAUUUCCUAUUAGUUGUUGGUGCUAUUGAAAACACUAAAUAAAGCAUGAGCAAUUUCACCAAAAUACAAACUGCUUCCAAAGCUAGAAAAAUGCAGAGGAAAAAGAUAAAAAACUUUUACCCCGUGACACAUCGCUGGAGCCUCCCUUACUCUGCUUGCAGCAUAAGCAAAAUUUAGAAAUAAUCUAGAAAUUGAAACUCACAUGGAUAAUCAAGGUGAAUCUUCUGAGAGACCCAUUGUCGUUCGUGGACGUGAAAAGGCAAGGUGCAGCCUCAAAGAACUUAUGUGCCAGGGCACGCUGGCUCAUUCAUAUAUCCAGCUUGCUGUGCGUGUCGACGGAGUCAUACGGUUCUUUACACAGCUGCAACUCAUUAAACUGCAUGCACAUGAUGUACUCCAAAUAAUUGACAAACGCCAGCCAACUCUUUUUUUCUCUUGCUGCUGCACCAAUUUUGCUCACGGUGUGUAUUUUCUCAAGGCAUGCCUGCAUGUAGUAUUAAAUGAUUUCGAUGCUAAAUCGCAAAACCUCGACGGGUACUACAUCAUGUAGCCUCAAAGAACUUGUUGUGGGGAACUCUAGUGAAAAAAAGAUCAAGUAAGCAUCGAAGGAUUUUAUUUCAUUAGGAUAUGUCAUCAAAGAUGAAGGAAGUGCACCGGACGUGUCGUACUUUCAUAUCGCACCUGCCAUAUCUUCUUUCUUCUUUUGCAAAACCAUAACCUCCCAUAUCUUUGAUUCACAUGCAUGUCACUAAACUAUGGAUAUUUCUCACCGAUUAGCUACCUCCACACCGAUAAAAAGUAAUGACAGAUAGAGUUAUAUUUUUCAUGUCCUAUCUAUUAAGAGAGUUUUUUUUUUGGAAUCACCUAUGAAGAGUGCUGCAAAUCUGUCUUUUGUUAGAACACCUAUCAAGGGAGUUGCAAAUCGAUUUCGAGUUGCUAGUUUUUUUUUUCAGAAUCAAGUUGCUACAGGCAUAUAUAGAAGCCUAGAGAAUGUAUCUUGUAUUGCACAUAAACUGAUAAAGCUAGCGUACCUAUCACAUGCUGGUAGAUAGCUAUAUAUGGGUUGUCUCUUGUGUGCAUGAAAAAAAAAAUCUUUGAUUGAUCAGGAGGGGAACGACUGUGCUAGGACUGGGGGCAUGCAUGUAUGCAUGCAUGUGAGGUCUGGCCUCAAUCCGAAUAAUCAGCAAUAGCAUAUUCUACCCAACUCCCCAACCAAUUAUGCAGGCGUUGUGGCUAGUACCAAGCAUGCACAAAUACCAAAUUCCUCCAAGAUCCUCCGGCCGUCCGUCGUACUGGUGCUCCAACUGGCCAUCCCCAUGCUAAUCGGAUCGCUCGUUCUCGUUUUGAGUUCUGCACGUACACUGAUGGUUGGGCCUCUGCAGAGAACUAAUUAAUUAAGGCAUACUUACUUUAAUCAAAAUUGGCUGCCACUCAAUGGCCUCCAAGAUCCUUCGGCCGUCCGUCGUCCUGGUGCUCGAACUGGCCAUCCCCGUCGUAAUCGGAUCGCUCAUCCUCGUUUUGAGUUCUGCACGUACACGUACUGAUGGUUGGGCCGCCGUGGAUCUCAUACGCGAACACGGCGGCGGCAGCCUUUUCUUUUCUUUCCAUGGCCUUUUUCUACCUAUAGAGGUCACAUCGAAGGGGUAUGAGGAAGUUUUUUAUUUGUUUCUACUUAGAUCGGACGGCUGUAAAAAAAAUUCUCUGUCAAAUAAAUGGUUAGAUGUUUCUAGUUUUUAUGGUAAUUUCUAGAAUAAUUCUCUUUUUCUGGUUAGUCCGUAAAGCCGUAAAUUACUUUUCUUUCCCUUAAUUUUUUAAUCUUUUCUUUCCCUAACAAUAAUAAUAAAGCGACUAUUGCCUCUGCCCGCUAACUUACCGUCGUGGCGUUUUUGUAAAAAAAUCCCUGUGGUUUCCUAUAGUUGAAGCCGCGGUCCCUACGUAAGUGGCUAACCUGAGAAAACGUUUCAGUUUUACAAAUAAGACCCUGUAGUUUGUUAUAUUAAACCCGCAGUCCAUAUGUUUGGUUUUAUUAACCAGGGUCGGGUCAACGCGGUGGCACGGCGGCGCGAUGCAGAACGGCGGCGGCGGCUGGAGCUUGCAGGGGCAGGAUCCGUGCAGGGUAGGGGCUGGGGAGGCGGAUCAGGAGGCGGGCGGCGUGGCGGGGAUUGCCGGUGACGACGAGGAAGGCCGGAGCGCGGCUUCCCGGGUGGGUUCAUGGCAUCCACGGCUAUUGGGCAGAGAGGAGACAAGGAGGCGAGGGAGAGAAGAAGGGACAAAGGAAGAGCGGUGCGGCGACCUAGGCAGGAGCUCGCCGGAGCCGGGCGAUGGCGGACGGGCGCGGGAGACGGAGGGAUCCCGUGCGGCGGCGUGAAGUCCUUGCUAGUGGCGUCGACGGCUGGGCGUGCGACGGCGCGGAGCCCUCCCGUUGCUACGGCGUCCGGUGGAGUGCCCUGAGGGCGCGGAUGCUGCUGCUACACCAGCACCACCAGCCCAAGGUCAGCCUCCUCCACCUCGUUCUGUAGCGCAACUCCUGUCUCGCAUCAUGCUGCCUUACUUCUGCCCCUUUGGAUUGGAGAGCGUGUGCUCUCAGCUCUGCUGGGCCAGCUGUGCUCUGUUGCGUGCGAGCAAGGGAGAAGAGCGAGCUUGCUGAUUCUUCUUACCUGCAGCUCCAACACGAAAGCCAGCCAAUCGACUCUUGAUAGCAGAACACAAACAAUACAAGUAAACAGAAUUCUAAGACAGCCAAGGUGGAUAUGAUAGCAGCGGAAGUAAUUGUUGAUUUAAGUGUAACAACAUUGUGUGCUAUUCUAUCCUGGUCUUGCUUUUCUUCUUGGAUAACUUCUCUAAACUCUCAAUAGAUUUCUUGGGUUGGCGUGGUUGUUAGUAUUAGUUAAUACAAACCCUAUAUAGCCAGCUAUGGCUAUAUAUGAAUUUUGUUACUUGAAAUGUUCAAUACAAGUGUUGACUUGAAAAACUAAAAUCGUGUGUAAGGAAUCAUGUAACCAUAUUGGAUGAAGGUGACCCAUAAAUUCAUUCAGUUAAUUGAAUUCUUUUUGCCUUCUGCUCAAGAUAGGUACCCAAGCUCUAAUAAUUUCAGUGGCAACUACAUCCGAACUUUGUCACAUCUUUCUAUUUAAAAAUUGUGAUUAUAUCAUUUGUCAUCUGAAAACCAGACUCAUGUAUACAUUAUGGGACAUAAUGUCCAGGAAAUAAUCACCAGGUACAGACAUCACUCUUGACCUACAUUGUACAACAUUGCAUAAUUUUCUGUUUUUCUUGAGGUACCGCUCAGUACUUUUUUAUCGCACACAUAGAUAGAACAAAGGCCACAAGAGCUGAUUUGGUACACCUUGCUGCAUGCGCUCUCACUUGAUUAAGAUAUUCAAAGUGUGAGCUUUUGAAAUUUCCAAAAAUAAGUCAGAUUCUCAUUAUUAACCUAUGUGCACAUGCCAAUAUUUUCUGACUCUGACAGAUUGUGUUUGAUAAUAAUUUGAUGAACCACCAUGUCGCCCUUCCGCCUGGUUCCAUGGGAAAGUAAUUUACAAAGCUCCAGUUGGUCAAUACAGCCUAGAUGUUUUGUUUUGAACAGGCAGCCUACAGGUUGACAUUUUUUUUAGUUCCAUGUUUUCUAGCAUUGCUUAACUUUAUUUGAAAAAGUGUUGUAGUUAUGUAUGCAGGAUACAGUACUAGAGGUGUAUGCAGGAUACAGUAGUGGAGUUGGAAUUUCAGGGCAUCCAAAAAUAAUUUACUAUGCUUCAGGCAAGAAAGUUAAUUUGUUUGACCUUUGUAAGGACUACAUUACUAGCUUAAUGCAUGGAACUUAUUGAGCUGCAUACAUGGCAUGUGCGUACAUAGAGACCUGCUGCAUCAAAGCUCGGUGCGGAUACACCUCUUCUUACAGGACAGGUUGUGUACAACUUAUGUUGAGCUUAAAUUUCCAUAAUAAAACGUGUGUUUUUAUUUAUCAUUGUUUCCCUCCUACAAAACCAAACAUUUUCAGAUGUUGUUUUUUCAUUUCCUUCCGACGCUAUUAAAUCUCAGUCUUACCUAUGUUGAAAUGGUUCCAGUGUGUGUGUGAUGCAUUGCUUCCCUUAGUUUUCGGAGGAACAUGGUGCUAUUCCUGGUGAUUUUGGUUAUGGAAAAGCUGACAUUAGUCAGGAACUUUCUAAGGUGAUCACUUUAUUGCUCCGUUCUCAUCAUACCGUCUCUACACUGUCUACUGAGUUCAAAAAUCCAUGCUGUACUCUAAUUCUGAAGCUUUGGUUUAUGUGGGAUGUGGCUGAAAGAGGAAAUGAGAUAGCCGAUGUUUAAUGGGUUUCCCCCAAUCGACAAUGACAUUUCCUCACAUGAUGUGAAGAGUGGAGCCGCUUAAAGUAAAUGGCGAGCUCACCAUGGUCGCCUUUCUUACUACAGAUUGGGAGCCGCCGACUACGACCCUAUGACCCAUGGUGUGUAGAUGAUACACUGGUGAGGCAUUCAAGGGACAAACAGGAGCUCACGAUUUUCAGGGAUGAGGAGGAGCUUGCAAUUUCCAGGCUUGGCCUGCCCGACCUGCCGACGCAUGUGGAAGACUAGGAGUCUGGUGUUUUCUCUGCAGCGAAGCACAAAUGUCCCCGGGUGCAACUCACGGGCUCUUUUGCUUUUACACACUUCAUUUUGUAAUUUUAGUGUUCGACUAAUAGUACAUCUGUUGGAACAAGUGCAAAGGCAACAUCAUCUUCCAGCAAAAAAUUUCCCCUGCGUUGAGCGCUUCAGAGAUGCACUAGGUGGGUAAAACAUCGACAGUUUUGAGAACGUCAAGCAAUAUUUACUACUAUUAUGUUGUAUUAACAAAUUUAGUAUCAAGUUGAAUGAUAUAAGGAAAGUAAACAGAGAUGCUGAUGAGCUUAAUUAAUUCAAAAAAUUGUUCUUGAUUUUUAUUUCUAGAAGAAAUAUUUGAUUCAUUGUUGUGAAUUUUCCAGGAGAGAGCAGGUUCUGGUGGACAAAGAGGUGAUAAGCGAUGAACUCUUCCAGUAUAAAUGUUGAUGGUCCUAAUUCCUUUAUAAUUUAUUUCUUGAUCACUUUAAGUUACAAAACAUCUCUGUGACUUUUCGUGUUCUGUGAUAAUAUAUUUGAUUAUAGCCACAGACUAUGCAAAAUGAUUAUUUAUGUUCCUAAUUUAUCUUCAUCUUUCAUGGUGGUAGGGAAACAUCGCCGUUAGUUCACACGAGCUAGGACUUCACAAAAUUUGUCAAUAGCAUUGAUCAGGAUAUAAUUUUUCUUAUUCCUUUCUAUUUUUAGACAAGAAAGAACCAUAGAGAAUCUCAAUCCUUAUACUGUAGCAGUACCUGCAGUAGAGCAAGCCAUUGUCACAAAUUUAACAGAAGAUGGAAAAGAAUGGUUGCUUUUGUUGCAGGUUACUCCAAGAAGUGCAUUGUCAAACUAGAUGUUGUAUAUUAUCCAUCCAUCAUCUGGAUGCUUGUGUGUCCUGCGACAAAUCUGAGCUUAAUCAGGAUAAUCUGAUUAGUGUAUCACAAGUCUGCUUUUUCUAAUUGUACCAAUUCUGUACUUAUUUUAGCGUUUUACAUAAUGUGUAGAUUUUUCAGAACAAAAAGAAGUGAAUCCAUAUAACCUGAUUUUGCUAUAUUAUUUAGUUCAAAAUGACUUUGUAAAUCCCAGUUUCUCCAGUAUUGCAACUCUGCGUCAAAUUGUCCAAUUAAACUGAUAUUUCUAUUUGGACAACUAUAAUUUGUAAUAUCAUGAUUUUCCUUUCUAGAAACCACUUCAACUAGGCUAGGGCUAUGUCUAUUAGUCCUCCUCCAGUAUUUGUUGAAAUGAGAUAACACAUGUUUCUUCAAGUGUCUACACACUACAUGUAGUAAGUUUCUUAUAGAAGUAGUGAAACCUGGAUACCAAUUUAUUGGAACAUUAUAUUUCUUAUAGAAGUAGUCAAACAAGGAUAUCAAUUUAUUGGAACCAUCAAGAGGGCGACACUCCUGGAGGGUAUAUAUUCUCGCUCUUAUGCCUAUUUGAAAUAGCUUGUAGGUCUGUACUUUGCCACCCAUAUGGUAGUACUCAACUGUUGCAAGGAUGGAGCAGGAAAGUGUGCUAAACCUUCUAAUAUGGAUACUACACUUUUAUGAGCCACGGGCCACUAUUGUUUAUCAUAUGGAUUGUAGAUGUAGUGGUAAUGUACCACCUUUUUUUUUGCUAUUCCCUGUAAGAGGCAGUGAAAAAAUAGAAUAAAAAGGUUCAUUAGAGAAAUAAUAGAAUUGGCGAUUGAAUAUCCAAUGUCUAUGAUUUUAUAUCUAUGUGGGAGAUUGACGUAUGAUUACGUGCAAAGUAUACAAGUGAAAAACAUUAUUAUUUAUUUAGAUGAGCUAUUACCAGAAUUUUUUGUCACAGAUGGAGGGAUCCCAAAUCUUCAUUAUCAUUAUCGGAAACAUGACUCUAGGCCCUAAAGGAACAAGAAAAAUACAUAACAAGUCCCUCGACUUUUACAAAAAAGAGCUCAAACUGAGAAAAAACAUGAUCGUGUCCUUGCGUCUCGUUGUUUCCGUGGAUGAGCCACUUAGGACAAUGAGGUUGCUGUGGGUAGGCCAUACAUAGUCCCGAAUAGUAGAAACACAAGGCCGCCUUACAGCCUGAAGAGUCAUCGGAGACGAGGCCAAAUGUUGGGCACAAGCUGGGCCAAAUUUUCUUACCCCGUUGCAACACAGCCUUUUUUGCUAGUAAUACUAAAAAGGGCGUCUGCCCGUCCGCCGUCGUUGUUGAUUUUUUUUUAGAAAAACUUUUAACCCGGGCACGGCGGCGGGAACCUAGCCUCCUCCAACGCGCGCCAGGACACGCCGUCGGUGGCGUCGAUAAGCGGCCCCACGCGCUCCACGCCCAGUAGGUCGCCGAACGCCGUGCAGGAGCUCACGGGACAGGCAGGGGUAAGGGCCCCACGCAAUGGAUCUCAACUUCUCUUCCACAUGUGUGUCUUCCGUCCAUGGGCUCCCCUAGAUCUCAGGCUUCCAAUCUUUCUUCUUGAAUUGCAGUAGAGAUUGUGGCAUUCAGACCGGUGCUACCGACAAACUCCAUUAAUCCAGCUCUACUUCGUCCAGCGCCGGCUGUUUUGUGUGAACGUGUCUUGCUUAUUUGCCGGUUCACACGCUUCCAGCAGCAACGUCAUGAGAUUAAUUUGUAAGAUAUUUUCCAUGACUUUGCAGGUUCAUAGGAAAGGUGUUGCACUUGAUAGAUCAGUAGAUUUGUCAAAGUUUAGUGACGAUGAUGCAAACCAAAGCUGAGCUCGACGAGAUGUUUGGAUUUGACAGUAAAUUGAUGUCUUCCAACAGAGAUUGGCAGAUGGUGUAUACAGAUAAUCAGGGUGACCUGAUUCUGGACUUUCAAUUGUAGUUCAAAUUGGCAGAUGGUGUAUACAUUCAACUGUUCGCCUUGCUGUUUGUGCUCCACUCUUAACUGCAACCGUCUGACCCUGCUUCACUUGAGGUAUGUACUAUAGUUUCAGAAGAUGAAUAAUACCCAAUGCAUUGCUUCUCUGUUUCUCAAAUGUACUAUAAUUUAAUAUGCAAUCUGCAGUGUUGCACCACCCGAACAUUACAUGUAAUAAUGUUUAUACUUUCUGUAGAAGUUCCAAUAAAACUUCUCUUGAGAAGCUAGCACAUAAGGCAGUCAUAUUAGGUUUCAGACAUAGACAAUGCAGCUGGGAAUAUCAAUCAUAUAUUGGGUUUUAGACAUAAGCAAUGCAGCUAUGUAUAAAUAUAAAGGUAGAAUUGACUUGAAGUUGUUUCUUUGGCUGAGGUAGGAAGUAGGAAACGCGCAGCUUGAACUAGAGCAGAAAAACAUACUGAAAUUUUGUUGCAUCUUAGUACAUGCCCAGAGGUAUACCGCAUAUGUAGCAGGUGUACUAAAAUUUUGUUGCAUCUUAGUACAUGCCCAGAGGCAUACCGCAUAUGUAGCAGGUGGGGUUGUGUUGUUUCUUCUAUUUUCUUUUACACAGUCUAUUGACUGGUAGGAGGAUGAGAUGGAAGUUACCAAGUCACAAGCUUUCAAAGCAUACUUUUUUUUCUUCAGUAUUUAGGCAAUUACUCAAUUUUGAGGAGUUAUCCAUUCAAAAUCAAUGAAUAAGCUUGUUUCCCUCUUCAUAUCCCUUAUUCAUUGCAUCAUUUUCAAAAUAUUUACAGUCCUUUCACUGAAAUUAUCUCAAAGUGAAGACCAAGGACUCUGGGUGCAUACACAUGUUUUUAUUGUACCUAAUCUGUACCACUCACUGUGAGCUUUUUGUAAACUAUAGGAUAUCAUAGCCUGCUCUGCUAAACUGUAGGGGGAUUGGCAUAGCUUACUGCUAUUGUUGAACUGAAUUAGCAAAUAUAUGUUGCUUUUUAUUAGGAAAGUGAAAAAGAAACCAUUUGAUGUUGGGCCUAUCCUUGAGGUAGUGACAAUUCUUUUAAUAAGCGUCAGAUAUUUUGUGAUGAGAGAAUUUGGAGAGUACUUAAUAGGUUUGAGGCACUAUUUUCAUUUGCUAUGUUGGGCAACCAUGAAAAAGUUGGGAUUGCAGUAAUCAAGCUAAAUCCAUUCAAGUGUGUUAACUGUUAUGCAUAUCAAUUUACAGUGUACAGGCACCAUUAGGUUUGGUCCUGUUUCUUCCUCUCAAGUUGGGUUUGGUGCUGUUUGUGUCCUUUACCAAAUAUGAAGUCUUUGGAGCUUGCCAGGACACACAUUUUGUAUGGCUGAUUAUAAGAGGUGAUUGUGUGGAUUGAGCUUUCAUGUUUCUGGUUGGCCUUGUGCAACUCAAUCCAAAACAAAUGUAAGACGGUAAUUGUGAAUAUUGUUAGUACUACAUGCCGGGUCAUGUGUUGUGCAAUUAAGGUUUUAUACUGGAAAUAAAGAAUAUUGUGUGCUGUUGACCCAUUGUGUCGUAAAAUAUAUAACCAUAGUAACCCAGGAUUUGCAACAUAUUACAGCAAUAUAAAGGUUUGCCUUCAUAUAGAGACCGUAUGCCAUGUGUGGUCAACUACCUCAUUUCAUGUUUACAUGUUCCGGCACUUAGUUGUUCAUGACUUGCUAUAAUAGAAAAGGCACUCGGUCCUCCAAGCCUCCUCCCUAUCCGACCAUAAUUCUCCGAAACAAGCACAUCAGGUGAAGGCGUCAUCGCUUCUUGACCAUGUAUGUACAUGGUCCAAACAAUGACCCGUAGCAACGCACGGGCACAUUUACUAGUUAUAUAUAAUAGAUUCUCAUAUAGCAAUAUUUAAGUAUAGCAUAAUUUUCAAGUAUGUAAACAACAUCAUCAUAAUUUUCACACUUUUCAAACAAAGAUUCAAUUUCAUAAGCACCCUUAAAAGCAACAAAUUAUUCUAUUUGUUCCACAUCAUAGUAAUCAUAUAUACCAUUAGCAUAAGAAGCCAAGGUUUCAUUAUCACUAAAUUCACAUGAAAAGGGAAGGUGUGGAGCCUUCAUCCUAGAGCAACAAGUAUAAUCAUAUCUCAAGCAUAAAUUCCAUGCAUACCAAUGCAACAUAUGAAUUUGAUCCCAUAAUAGUUUCCCUUUUUGAGUCAAGCGAUAAUCCCUAAAGUUUGCACGUUGAUCCAACGUGGCUCCCAUUAUCAGGUUGAAUGGGGUUUUCUCAAGAUUAUCAAAGUAGUGUUUAAUAUUUUCCACAUAAUGAGCAUCGAGGGUUUUAGGAGGUUCUCCAUCUCCAUGAGUAGCAAGUACACCUAAUUUUUUUGGUAUUUCAUGUUCCAUAUCCAUAACUAAAGAUAGAGAACAACUUAGAACAGAAAAUAAAAACUAUUUAGUGAUAAAGCCAACAAGCACACAUGAGAAUAUUCACCCCACGCUAUUGCUCCCCGGCAACGGCGCCAGAAAAAAGGUCUUGGUAACCCACAAGUAUAGGUGAUCAAUUGUAGCCUUUCUCGAUAAGUAAGAGUGUCGAACCCAACGAGGAUCUAAAGGUAGAACUUAUAUUCCCUCAAGUUCUAUCGACCACCGAUAUAACUCUACGCACACUUAACGUUCGCUUUACCUAGAACAAGUAUGAAACUAGAAGUACUUUGUAGGUGUAAAGGGAUAGAUUUGCAAGAUAAUAAAGAACACGUAAAUAAAAGCUAGGGGUUGUUUAGAUAAAGAAACAACUAAGUUAGUUUUAGUAGAGAGCUUUUUGUCACAAGAAAGUUAUUUAUCCCUAGGCAAUCGAUAACUAGGUCGGUAAUCAUUAUUGCAAUUUUAUAUGAGGGAGAGGCAUAAGCUCAGGGGCGGAGACAGGGAGCNNNNNNNNNNNNNNNNNNNNNNNNNNNNNNNNNNNNNNNNNNNNNNNNNNNNNNNNNNNNNNNNNNNNNNNNNNNNNNNNNNNNNNNNNNNNNNNNNNNNNNNNNNNNNNNNNNNNNNNNNNNNNNNNNNNNNNNNNNNNNNNNNNNNNNNNNNNNNNNNNNNNNNNNNNNNNNNNNNNNNNNNNNNNNNNNNNNNNNNNNNNNNNNNNNNNNNNNNNNNNNNNNNNNNNNNNNNNNNNNNNNNNNNNNNNNNNNNNNNNNNNNNNNNNNNNNNNNNNNNNNNNNNNNNNNNNNNNNNNNNNNNNNNNNNNNNNNNNNNNNNNNNNNNNNNNNNNNNNNNNNNNNNNNNNNNNNNNNNNNNNNNNNNNNNNNNNNNNNNNNNNNNNNNNNNNNNNNNNNNAAAGAUUGCCCCCCCUAACGAUCUAGUGCAGAUAUUAGCACUAAUACGUAGCAGUAUAUACAAGUAUUCAAGUACUACUUGUCCGUAUAUAGGUUAACUACUACUAAGGCCGAAACUUAUCUGUCUCUGUAAAUGCCGAAGCCCAAAAAGAGCCCAUGCCCACGUUGAUUGCCCAUUAAGCGGUGAACUGUAACUUGCACGAUAAUGAAACCUAGCGUGCGUUGCAACUUGUCUAGAUCGACUCCAUGCCGCCGCCGCCGCUUGCCAUUAUUCGAGGCCACUACUCUGCGUGAUGCCAGCCGCCAGACGCCAAAUAAGGACACCACGGCGAUGCGACGAUGGUGCCCUGCUAGCCAUGGGCGCCGUUGCCCCUGCCUCUGCUAAUCCUGCCGCAAUGUCUACUGCAUCCGAGUCUGUUGAUCUGGUGUUUAUUCUUCAAACACUCAGUUUUAAAGGUAUCAUGUACUUUACACUUUUGUUGAUGGACUGCUGGCUGCACCCUACUCAUCUAAUUAAUUGGUUCACUUUCAUACAAGAGAAUUGAUGAAUUUACUGCAUGUGUUCCUUCUUAUAAUUAAUGAGAGAUCACUUUCUUUGAACCUUUGCAUUGUCGCUAUAUGAAAAGAUUGUUUGUGAGAAAGUACUUCCAAUUAGAUUAUCAAAUUGUGUAGUCAUGGAUAUAAGUUUAUUAAUUGAAACGAAGUUUUAUAAUGCCAAAUAUACAUUUCUAUGUUGUUUAUAUCAAUGUGCUGCACCUUUUAGCACGACUUGCUCCGCACUGUGCAUUUGUCUGCCAUUGUUGUGUGCUCACAUUUGCGAGGAAGUAGAGCAAAGUGGAAAGAGUAGCAUUAGCGUGCAUUGAACCCCUCUUACUUCAGGCCAAUUUAUAGCUAUAUUGUGUGGUUAAGUGCAAAAAAAUCUUCUUCGCCCCCCUAAUGUUCAAAUCCUGGCUCCGCCCCUCAUAAGCUAACAUACUUUCUCUACUUGCAUCAUAUGCACUUACGAUUGGAACUCUAACAAGCAUCCACAACUACUAAAGAUCAUUAAGGUAAAACCCAACCAUAGCAUUAAAGUAUCAAGUCCUCUUUACUCCCAUACGCAAACAACCUACUUACUCGGGUCUGUGCUUCUGUCACUCACGCCACCCACCAUAAGUGAAUCAUGAACAUAUUGCAAACCCUACAGCGGGGAUCCCUCACGCUUGCGCGACAUAGAGAGCACCAUAGGACAGCACCAAUAAUAAAACAUACAACUCAAACCAAUCAUGAUCAUCAAUCAACCCAUAGGACAAAACGGAUCUACUCAAACAUCAUAGGAUAGCCACACAUCAUUGGGAAAUAAUAUAUAGCGUUGAGCACCAUGUUUAAGUAGAGAUUAUAGCAGGGAGAAGGGGUGUUACACUGCUGCAUAGAGGUGGGGAGAGUUGGUGAUGACGGCGGCGAAGUUGUUGGUGUAGAUCGCAGUCACGAUGAUGGCCCCGGCGGCGUUUCGGCGCCACCGGGAGAGAGGGGAGAGAGCCCCCCUCCUUCUUCUUCUUCCUUGACCUCCCCCCCCCCCUAGAUGGGAGGAGGGUUUCCCCUCUGGUCCAUGGCCUCCAUGGCGGCGGAGGGGAGGGAGCUCCUGCGAGAUUUGAUCUCUCUCUUUGCUUCCUUCUGUUUCUGCGUUCCUGUUUUCUGGCAUUUCACCGUAUCUUAAAUUCUCGGAGAUUCGUAACACCGAUUGGGCUGAAAUUAUAACACGAUUUUUAUAUGGAUAUUAUCUUUCUUGCGGCUGAAGAAGGGCACCAACCGCCUUACGGGGUGUCCACAAGCCUCCCAAGCGCGCACAAGGUAGGGGGCGUGCCCCUAGGGCUUGUGGGCCCCUCGGGCAUCGUCUCGCGUUGAUUCUUUUUCCCCAAAAUCACAUAUAUUCCAAAAAAAUCCAUAACUUUUUAUCGCGUUUGGACUCCGUUUGAUAUGGAUAUUCUGCGAAACAAAAAACAUGCAACAAACAGGAACUGACACUGGGCACUGGAUCAAUAUGUUAGUCCCAAAAAUAAUAUAAAAUGUUGCCAAAAGUAUAUGAAACUUGUAGAAUAUUGGCAUGAAACAAUCAAAAAUUAUAGAUACGAUGGAGAUGGAUCAGUAACAGGUCAGUACCAGAUUUGAGCCAGGUCACAAAAACCCACCAGUUCUGAGCCUAAUGUGUAACGGGGAGCACUGACGGGCUGAUUUGGCCGCGAAAACGGCAGGUGGGUCCCACCUGUCGAAUCGAUGCAUAGAUUACCCCAUUGCCACCUCGAGAAUCUGGGAGUUGAGUAUAAAAACAUAUAUCAAGUGAAUCAAUAUGAUACCCCAUUGUCACCAUGGGUAUUCAUAGCAAGACAUACAUCAAGUGCUCUCAAUGCCAUAAAAGUAUUCAAUUCAAUAAUAACGAAAUCUCAAAGGGAAAACUCAAUUCAUCGCAACAAGAUAGACAUGGAGAAACACCAUAUGAUCCAACUAUAUUAACAAAGCUUGUUAUAGAUAAAGACAGAGAGAGAGAGAGAGAGAGGGAGAGAGAGAGAGAGAGAGAUCAAAUACAUAGCUACUAGUACAAACCCUCAGCCCCGAGGGUGGACUACUCCCUCCUCAUCAUGUGGCCGCCGGGAUGAUGAAGAUGGCCUCUGGUGAUGAUUUCCCCCUCCGACGCGAUGCUAGAAAAGGGUCAAGAAUGGUUUUUCGUAGCUACAGAGGCUUGCGUCAGCGGAACUUCUGAUCUAGAGUUAUUUCUGGAGGUUUAUGUAUUUAUAGGAUUUUUGGUGUCGGUCUCACGUCCAAAUGGGCUUCGAGGGGCCCACUACCCACCAGCACACGACCAAGGCCUCUGGCGCGCCCUGGUGGCUAGUGGACACCUCCUUCACCUUCUGGUCCUCCCACGAAUCUUCUAGUGCCUCUUUUGUUCCAAAAAAAUUAUCAAAAAGUUUGUUGCAUUUGGAGAACUUUUAUUUCUGCACAAAAAACAACACCACAGUAGUUCUGCUGAAAACAACAUCAGUCCGGGUUAGUUCCAUUCAAAUCAUACCAAAACCAUAUAGAAUUGUUGUAAACAUGGCAUGACUACUUCAUAAAUUAUAGAUACGUUGGAGACGUAUCAGCCACCAUACCUUAACUCAUGCAAUUAUUUAUACCCAUGCAUAUACUAUCAUCUCUCGACUGGUUCGCAACGCUCACUCUUGCCGCUAACAAAGAAAACAACCCCGCUCACUUGAGAAUGGGCCACUAAGAGUCUAAGACGCAGUUGGGCCACAUGUAGAUUGAGCAAGAACCCAGUGUUGCUGACGAUAUGCACGCAUGGGGUGCAAAUCGCAAGACCAAGAUGCACAUGCUUCACUCCAAAACCUAGCUAGGGUGGCAGCGGCUGGCUAGGAUGCCACGAACUAGCGAACAACAUGACAGUUGACGACAGAUGGGUGCCUCGAGCAAGCAGGUGGUUGGGUGCAACCGUGACUGCCCGAGACCGAUGCUCCAGAUGCCUACCGCUAUUUUUGUUGUGGCCGCAUUAAUUAUUAGGUUGUGGCAUUCAUCAUCGCAUCAUUCGCAUUGCAUCAGCACUGCGUUGCCGUCAUUUUUUCAAAACUUGCAUUCGUCCAUAGUUGCCGCUUGUCUCCAUUGUCUUCGUUUACCGUUCCGAGUCUAACCACACACUUGCACACGCCAGUGACAUCGUUAAAUAAUUAUUUGAAAAUGGGAUUAAAACAUUCUUGUCGGGGGAAACCGACACCUAUGGAAUUACUGGGAUCCCUUCUACGGUUGGCGGGCGCGAGGUUGUGCAAAGAGCGGGUCUGGCGGUCAGCACAAGGAUCGUUUACCCAGGUUCGGGCCGCGAGGAUGCGUAAUAGCCUAGUCCUGCUUUUGUGUGUAUUCGAGUGUUCUUGAGUUCUUGAACUAGCUAUGGGGUGUAACUUGUCCAAAAGAUCCGAAUCCCUCUCCUGGAUGCCUCGGGCCUCCUUUUAUAGACAAAAGGGGUUGCCACAAUGGCACACAGGAGGUGGAAAGGUGUACAGUGGAUGAGUCUAUCCUCUGGCACCGUCGGACAAACGCAUUUAAUGCGCUGCCGACGUGCCCCUCUUGCUUUAUCGGGGACGGCAAGGAAGCUCGUCCCAGCUGUCGCCGCCUCGCCUGGCUCCGACGCGCGUCCCAGCUGAUGAGGCGUUGCAGCGCCACGUUGGCUGGCUGCUGGGCUGGCGUGGUGAUGGAGUCUUCACAAAGAUCUGCAUGCCACCACGCAGGUGCUAGCUGAGUCGGCGUAGAGGUCGCAUGCUGCCACGCAGGUGCCUGCCCAGCUGGUUGAGCUAGCAGCUGCAUGGGAGCGGCGGCGUAGUCUUGGCAGACGUGGGCCUGGCCGCGGCCCCGCUGACGUCCUCGGAAAGGGUCUUGCCGGGGCCCCGACAAGGGUCUUGCCGUGGCACCACGGUCGUCCCCGGCAAGGAUCUUGCCGGGGGUCUCGUGGAUUUCCUCGGCAAGGAUCUUUGCCAAGAAUCGUCAUCUUCUGGUCCUCAUCUGAUCUUGUGUAUUUAUGAUCUUCACAAAGAUCUGCAUGCCACCAUGGAGGCGCCUCCCGAGCCUUGGUUCCAAUGUGGUUGAUGGUGUUGGAACCCUUGGGCUCAAGGGUGGCGCACUCUGCUGGCGUCGGGCAAGUUGCCCCGGCAAGGAUCUUGUCGGGUCUGCGGAGGCCGCCCCGACAAGGGUCUUGCCGGGGGAGUCCACCUCGCCCUCUUGCUCUUUGUGUCUCCGGUCUUGGCGUUGCUUUGAUUGCCUUGUGCUCCGGCUUCCCUCUUCUGCCCUGCUCAGUGUGGCCGCGGGCGUGGCUCUGACUGCCCGUGCACAAGUAAAGGGGUCAAAAGAGUGUGUACUUUUUUACACCGACAAUUCUCAGAACAGGUUGAAAGUUGGCGUGCGGUCUCAAUAUAUAGUUUCGUAUUGUUCUUUUCAACCUUCACUUCAGUCCUAUCAUUUUUAUCAUUUCAGAGUUUCUUCUUGAAGGUUCUUCAUGGUGGUUUGUGAACGAUUUCUUUCAUUCUCAAAGUGCCCUUCAAGAUUCUCCUCGAAGUUAAGAUCUGCCAAGCUAUACUCAAAAAUGAACAUGGUGUUCAACACAUGUUUUGUUUUGAGGAGUUCAAGCAUGUUUCAUCUUCCAUUCAAGUGUGCAAAUCCUUUCUACCUUGUCUUUCGAUCUGGUCUUAUGUCAUUAUUGACAAAUUUCCCUUCGUGUUUCAUGAUUCAUAGGUUGUAAAGAAUGAGAUAUUAAACCCACCAUUUUCUCUUCGUUCUGGAGAUCCUUUCAACCCAUCAAUCUCUUCGUUGGAGUUAUCUUGGGUUGAUCUCACCUAAAGCCUUCCCUAAGGAAUGUUGCUAUUGUGGUGCGUAUUUAUGAUCCAUGUUUUCUCUCUAUCCUCUCGGUGAAAGUUUUGCAUCUCUUUGUUGCUCUCAAGCAUCAUAUUUUUGGCAAAUGGCAGGCUUUAACCUCAAAAUUUUGAAAUGUUUCCAUAAGGCCAUUUGAAGCAUAUCUGUUGCUUGUUGAUUCUUUCACCAAUUUCCUUCAAGUCUUCUUCGCAAGGAUGCUCUUUAAUGUUCUAUUGCGUUAGAAGAUGUUGGUUUCUCCUCCGCUCUUUUCAUCCCAAGUAUCUAACUCAAUUUCUUUUGCUAAGGAAGCAUUGUGUUGGUGCUCUUUCCCAAGUUCCCUCCAUGUUGCCAACUUCAUGUUCUGCCUAUCACUUCUCUUUUAACCAGAGUCACAUACAAUUGCUUCCAUUUUCUCAAGUUCAUGUUCUAUGCCUUUCUUUUCUUCAACUGGAGUGGUUUCAAAUUCUUUCUCAUCCUUGAUGCCAUCUAUUAUCUCUUUGCAACCUCGUCUCACUCAUUUGUCACAGAAGCAACUUUAUUUUACCUCUUUCUCUUCCUCUUCCUCUUCCUAUUCUCAUUCCUAGAUCUCAGGGAGAGAUCUCUUGUAAGUGGGGGAGAGUUGUGAUAGCCCGAGACCGACGCUCCAGAAGCCUCCCGCUAUUUUCGCUGUAGCCGCAUUAAUUAUUUGGUUGUGCUAUUAAUCAUCACAUCAUUUGCAUUGCAUUGGCAUUCCGUUGCCAUCAUUUUUUCAAAACUUGCAUCCGUCCGUACUUGCCACUUCUCUCCGUCGUCUUCAUUGAUCGUUGCGAGUCCAACCACACACUUGCACGUGCCCCAACAUCGUUAAAUAAUUAUUUUCAAAGUGGGAUUAAAAUGUUCUCGGAAUGGGUUGAAAGUUUACGUGUGGUCUUAAUAUUAUGUAGGUAGACCACCUGCCAAAUUUUCUCGCAUUCAAAAGUCGUUUGGUACCCCAACCGUUAAACUAGAGGCACUAUAUGCGGAUAAACAUAGGACGUUUUAAUAAUAAAACGUGUUGCCGGGCUACCCGAUUUCCCUCUCAUCUCGGCCCAACAAAUCUACAUACCCCACCUAAACCUACCCUAACCACCCUCCACUCCAGAGCCUUCCGAUUGUGAUCGGAGGGCUCCAAAAACCCCACAAAACCCUCAACCCUCGCCAUCCCUGCCUAUUUAAGCAACCGCUACCCUACCUAAUUUGCAACCCUACCCCUCUUCCGCAUUUUCCAUGCGCAGCCUCUCCACCGCCGCCACUUGUCCACCUUCUCCAUCCUCCAACCGUCGUGGCCCUGUGAACCCAUCAUGGACCCGCUUGAACCCAUCGGGGCCCGAGCCAGCUCACGCGCCGCCGCCAUUAGUGCUCGCCUCCGUUGCUCACGCCCGAGCUCCCCUCACCAUGCCGCCUGCUCACCCUCGCGCGAGAUCUCCUGUCGACCGAUGAGCUGCCAGAGACCGCAACCGGAACAGGCCGACCUCGCCGCCUCCUCUCCUUUCUCCUCCAUCUCUCUCCCUUUCCACUCUAACCCUCUCUCUAUUGCAGUCAUGGAUAGGCGUCAUGGACGCCGCCCAAGCUCGGAGCUCAUGCCGCCACCUUGCCUCGCUGCCGCCUCGGGCCAGAUCCGGCAGCCAUGGCCCCUCCUGCGGCCGGAUCCGGCCCGAUCUGCCCACCUGCGCCGCUCCCCUACUGUUUGUCGACCUCGCCGCCGCGCCGAACCGUCGCCAUGGCCUCUGCUUCUCCCGCCGGUACGCCCUCAUCCCAGGAUCCACCAAACCUUGCAACCAAAGAACAUCUGGAACCGCUCCAUCCUAGUUUUCCCGCGAGGUCGAAUUUUUGCUUGUCCUCAGAUUUUUCACAUCGGAUUGCAUUUUGUGAUGAUGGUAACUUUGUGCAUGUUUGUCCGAUGGAAAUGAUCUUUCUAUGAAAAGUGAUCUACUCUUUGUGGGCUUAAUGAUGGUUGUAUUUUCAUCCUUCAUAGGAUUCAUCUACAUGUUGUAAUCUCUGUUGCAAAAGUGCAUCAUGUCGUAAUCUACAUAAAAUUGUUAAAACAUUCAAACUUACGUUGAUCCUUGCCACCAAUCCAUAACUCAUAUGCAUAUGAUUCCUUAAGGUGUUUUGCACUACGCAAUGUUUAUUUUAAUGCGAUGCCCAUGGAUGCCAUGUCAAGUUUCUUUAGCAUGUCUAUUUCUUCCUCUUAAGUGGCUAUCAUGGUAUAAAUACAUUCCUAUUAACAGAAAGUUCCAUUUUGUAAAAAUCAUAGUAAUUAAUAAAUGCAUCCUAUGAAUUUGUGCCUAUGAAGUAAAAUGAACAUUGCAAUGUAUAAUGCAUGUACAUAUAUUAUUCAUAAAUAUUGAAAUUGGUUUACUUAAUGUUUAGUGCAUCUCAAUUCAGCAUCAUAAUUUUACUGUUUUGCAAAUCCCAGAUUUUCCCGAAGUCCCUAGUACUUAGGAUAACAUUGCAUUUUGCAUAAAUCAUAUUAAAUUAAACAUGAUGCCUAUGAACCUAAACCUUAUAUGAAAAUUGUAGCAUGUUCAAGCAACUAUAAAUGCAGAUCCUUUUCAUAUGUUUUAACAACAUGCAUAUUGAUGUUCCGUUGCUCCCAAGUAGGCAUCUUGCUGUUUUGGCAGAUUACAAUCAACACAAGUUGUUCAGGUACGUGAUAGAUUAUGUUAUAUGUAGACAGUUUGCUUGAUAAUUUGUUCAUGUAAACAUACAUGCAUCUAAAAUUGUAAUUGUUUCAUUCUAGGCAGUGUGUUUGGUUACAAAUAUGGGAACACAUUUGAUUAACUAAAGAAAUGAUGGUUGGGAUCCACUCUUUUAAGAUGCCAAAGCCUUUUGCAAAAAAAUGGCAUUCAGAUCCUAAAUAUGGAUGCCAUCUUUAUUAAAUGGGGGAAAUUCUAGAAAAGGUGGGACAAACAAUGUCACUAUUGAUCAUUUUUUCCAUGUGGUCAUCUUCUAUGAUGUUAUAGACACCAUCGCCACAAAGGUUGAUCAUCAUUUUAAUGAGGUAUCUUCAAAGUUGCUCUGGAACUUCUCUUGUCUUGACCAUAGAGACUCCUUUUCUAGGUUCAAUGUGAAAAAGCCUGAGACUCACAUAGAAUUAUCAAGAGUAUUUCUCUUAGUAUGAACGUGAACCUAUAGAAGAUAACCUUGAGCUAUUCAUUAUUCAUACGAGAAGAAUUGAAAACAUGUCAUGAUAUUGCAAGCUUGGCUAGAAAGAUAGUUGAACUUGAAUGAUACAACAUGUUUCCUAUGAUUUAUCUCCUCAUUGAGUUGGCAUUGCUAGUACCAGUAGUGACGAAAACAAUUGCAAGAGCCUUCUCAGCAACGAAAAUCCUUAAGACCGAGUUGAGCAACAUGAUGUUCGGUGGUUGGCUUAGCUAUUCGGUGGUGUGUUACAUUGAGCGAGGAGGGAUAUUCAAAAGUCUUCAUCGUGGUAAAUUAAGAAAGAUUUUCAAAAAGAUGGUAGGGCAUUACCAUUGCUUGGGUCUUCUAGACAUCAUUGAAAGUUUCAUUAUCGGUAUGUUUUCGAUUAACGAGUAAAAUUUCUCGCUGUGUUGCGUUAGUGGGAUUUGAUUUGCCUCGUCGAGAAUAGCUAUGUUUUGAACAUGAUUGAGAUUUAUCAUAUUUGGUGAGAACUGCUAAAAACGGGAUGAUUUAUAUGCAUGUUUAUGAAUCUCGGAGGAUUAUAAACAAAAUCUAACACUAGUGUUUGAUAUUUUUAAUAGCUAGAUACAUAUUUUUUUAGUUGUUUGGAUUUACAUCUUUGAGGUUAGCUAUAGUUGUUUUUUUAGCAAAAGCCAUAGUUGGUAAAAUUUAUAAGAAUAAUAUCCCAAAUCAAGGGUAAUUAUUUUGGUAUUGAUUAACAACUAUACAUGGGCCAAAAAAGUACAAUGGUGGUCUACACGCGUCAUGUCCAUCUAUAUGAAAAUGAACCCUCAAAAAAUCUCUUUUCUUUUGACAAAAAUAAUCAAUUUAUGAUGUAGCAGUAAUUUGACAACUAAAAAAUGACCCUGGUCAACAAAAAAUGGUCGGGUUUCCGUGGUGCCUGUCAUGAUUUUAAGAUCAACGGUCCAUGCAUGUUGUCAUGAUCCAAUAUUAAUUUAUCGCUAAGAUCUUUGGAGAUUUUCUCUUGUCUAUAGUCACUACUAAUUAUAGGGAUUAAUAAUAUCUAUCUUUAGAGUUGUCGAUGCUCUUUUUAUACUCUAACCUCACAGAUUUCGUUUCAUAUCCUAUCCUUACGAGUUUUCCUCGCCUUCGUUGAUCUUAACUAGCAAAUCCUAGCCUUAGACACAAGUGGGUAAUAUUUGUCAAGUCGAGUGACACCACGGAGACCAUGGAUGUCAAGUACCACAACGGCUUCCUCAAGAAGGUGAGGCAGGUGGCCGUUGUGCCGGCAGUGGAAGGGGUGAAGUACAAGGAGUGCGACAGGAAUCAUGCGCUGACUAGUGGUGGGCACGUCGUGGACGGCUGCAGGGAGUGAAUGCCGUUGGGGGACCUCAACCCCGCUGACGCGUCGUUAUACAAGUGCACGACAUGCGGAUGACACCACAACUUCCACCGCAAGGUGAUGACGGAGAGGUCGCCGCCGUUGUCGCCCAUGGCAAGAACCGUCAUAGUAGUUGAGCCUAACUGCAAAAAACGCUAACAUAAAAAAACUUGUCAUGGUAGCUGAAAAAUGUCCCAUGGUAGACGAAAAACGUCUAACACUGGUGUGUGACGCUGGUGGGAGGAGACGGGAAGGUCCAACAGCGGAGGAGAAUGCAUCGGAGGCGUUGUGGCCGUUGGGUUAGUUGCGCUUAUUGUUGUGCCUCCAGUUCCUAAAGACGUCCUUACUGAUGCCAAUGUCAUGGCACCUCGCUUUGAUGAUGUCCUUAUCGCGCUUCUGCAGGCGCCACCCUAGGUGCUUCGACAGCUCCUGCAUCCGCAUCUUCUGGUAGGUAGUGAACAUGGUGUAGGACCACUUCCUCGCCGACAUAACCACAUGGGGCGGUGGCGCCGUCGCCGGCAAGAGCUGGGCGGGGAGCCUCUGGAUCUGCAGUGCCCCCAGCGGGCGGCUGUGUCAUGGAGAAGAGAUGUACGCAGGCAGCUGCUAUGCCAUCGAUGUCGGAGGAUACACAGGUGGAGGCUGAUGUGGUGGGGAGACGAAGCUCGUCGUCGUACUCCGUGGCAUCCGAGUCAUAUUCCGUGCCAUCCGAGUCGGUGUCAGAGUCGGCAACCGGGAGCCAGUCCUCCGGUGUCUGCUCCUCCCCGCGCUACGGCUGGCCAUGGAGUACGAUUGCAGCCAUGGGCGGUAGCAGCAGCGACCUCUCCAUCAUCAUCUCGUGGUGCAAGUUGUAGUGGCCGCCACAAGCCGCCCACUUGUAUGACGAUGCAUCGGUGGGGUUCAGGUCCCCCAACGGCAUCCACUCCCCGCAGCCGUCCACGACUUGCCCACUGGUAGCCAGCGCGUGGUUCCUACUACACUCCUUGUACUUCACCCCUUCCACCGCCAAUGCCACGAUCGCCUGCCUCACCUUCUUGACGAAGCCCUUAGGGUACUUGAUGUCCAUGGCCCCCCUGGUGUCACUCGGCUUCACAAAGAUUACCCACUAGUGUCUAAGGCUUGGAUUUACUAGUUAGGAUCAACGAAGGCGAGGAAAACUCGUAAGGAUAGGAUGCGAAACGAAGUCUGUGAGUUUAGGGUAUAAAAAGAGCAACAAUGACUCUAACGAGAGAUGUUAUUAAUCCAUGUAAUUAGUAGUGACUAUAGAAAAGAGAAAAUCUCGAAAGAUCGUAGUGAUAAAUUAAUAUUGGAUCAUGACAACAUGCAUGGACCGCUGAUCAUAAAAUCAAGACAGGCACCAUAGAAACCUAACCAUUUUUUGUUUGACCUUGCUCAUUUAUUAGUUCUCAAAUUACUCCUACAUUGUCAAUAGAUUUUUUUGUCAAAAAUAGCUUUUUGCAGGGGUCUUCAUCACAUAGAUGGACAGGACGCGUGUAGACCACCAUUGUACAUUUUUUGCCCAUGUAUAGUUGUUAAUCAAUACAAAAUAUAAUUACCCUGGAUUUGAGAUGUUAUCCUAUAUAACAAUCACCCCCACUAAUCUAUUUAUCUUGACAUGCAGCAUAUCGGCCUCAACAUGUAUGCCCCACAUGUGCCACCUUCUGCCACGUCAGCGACUCUUUACAUGCAGCGUUCAGUUACCAAUGUGCAGAACAGACUGUCCACCUGCCUUCUCUCCGUUUCCACUUUCCAGCCAUAAAUCGUUGAUGCCUCUCUCCCUCCCUCGGAAAUAAACACAAACCGAUCGGCCUCUCUCCCCCAGAAAAAUUGACGCCAGUUUUCUCCUUGGCUACAGGUGCACCAGGUCUGCAGGUGGGAGCCGAUCUGUGCAUCAAGGGUCCUCCCAUGGCACGUCCGUUGGUGCUGCUCGCCUCCGCGGUUCUCUAAAAUUCUCUAUGGUAUUACCCCCCUUGGCCCUUGCAGGUUUGGUGCCAUAUGUGCCCUAGUCCUCCCCUCCCGCGUGUGUCUCUAUUCAGGCUAAGACAGCUUCGGCGUCGUUGGGGAGGUCAGUACCGGCCGGUUCCAAUAGAAUCGGACCGGCUAUAGGUGAGUUUCCAAUCUGAAGAUCGCUUUCUUUUCAUCCUGUAAAGAACGAAUUGGACGACGCCGGACAGAGCCUCACCCAUGGCGUGGAGGGGUUAUUAAUACAUAUAUUUGCCUUGAACGAACGCCCAGUGUACCCGAGUCCAAUCAGGUCACCACGCCAUCAAAUUUUCAAUAUUUUUCCUUCUCAUGCUAGAGGGAACGCAUUGGUGUGACGAGGCAGGGCCUCAGCCAUGGCGUUGAGGUUUUUCUUUUGGCUUGGAAGGAACGCCCAGUGUGCAGGAGUCCUUUCAUCUAAAUUUAGAAGUUUGAUGUUUCUAACAGUAUGCAAGUUUGUAAAUUGCUCCAUUGAACAGAUUAGUAUACAAAGUGCUCUUCCCAUCAGGUUAUUCUCAGCCAUGGUGUGGAUAUUUUUAUUUUGGCCUAGAAGGAACGCCCAGUGUACAUGUGUCCUUUCCUGUGAAUUUAAAACUAUGAUAUUUCUAUUAGUAUACAAGUUUGUACAUUGCUCCAUUGAGCAGGUCAGUAUACAGAGUGCUCUUCCCAUCAGCUUAUUAUAUAUGUAAGCGCUACAAUUUCAAUCCAUCAUUCGGUAUGCCUU